rnacentral:lncRNA from 1 species
UUUUAUUAAAAGAAAAAGGGGUGAAAAGAAAAAAGUUUUGUCCAUCUUUGUUCAUCAUAGCUGAAAGUUAAAGAAGAGAAAGGAGAGGAGAAAGCUCUUGAGUAUUUGGUCAUUAGGAGGAGGAAAAUUGAAGGUAAGUUCUUGGUACCUUGCUUCUAUUUUGAGGUUCAUGAGUUCUUCUUGAUUCUACCUUAACUCUUGAAGUAUAUUUUGAUUUUUAGUUGUGUUGUGAGCAUUUAGUCAUGAAUUAAAAUGAAGGAAAUGGUUGUUGUUUCAUGUUCUUUUGAUGAAAAAUGGAAGAUAGGUGAAGUUGAGCUAAACAAAUGAGCAUGCAUGUGCCUUAGAUGUUAAAGGGAAAAAUCAGCUAACAUGUUGUGCUUUAAAAUGAUGAAAUGGAUAUUAUACUUAAGUAAAAUCAUAGAUAUGUGAUGAUUGAUAUUGGUGAUAUACAUGUUUAAAAUAACAUGCAUGCAAGGUAUGUGUGAAAGAGUGAUUUGGUAAUAAAUCUGCUUGGGACAGCAGCAGUAACGUGACUUUGGAAAAUCACCAUAAAUUGUGGGAGAUGAAUUAGAAGCUGAAUAAAUUAUGUAAUUAAAGCUUAUUGAGUCUAGUUUCUAAUGAAAUAAACAAUAACAUAUUUUAAAUUCUGUACAAUGAGAAAUUUGAUUCGUAAUGAAGAGUGGUCAGAUUAGUCAAACAGUGAAACAUGGGAAACUUUAAGAAAAAUCUGGUAUUGAUUUGCCAUACCAAAAAUUCUGAAAAUUUUAUAGAUAAAAGAUAUAUGAGUCUAUUUUCAGGGAAAAUUAACGGAACUUGAUUUGGAUUUUCGUAGCUCCAGUUAUAAAUAAUUUAGUGACUGUUGCUCAGGAAGACAGCUUGCAAUGAAAUUAUGAUUAUGUGGUAAACAUUGACAAAAAUUUGUUAAUGAGUUGCUUAUUGAUUUCUUAUAAGCUUACUAUGAUCUGUAGGUGUGGUUGGUCGAAUAUUGUAAGGGGUUAAUACGUAGUUUGUAUUUGAAUAGUUAGAUUAACGUGUUAGUAAUCCAAUUGUAGGCGGUUCGUGUGUGGAUCUCGUCAGCAUAUCGUCGCAAACAGGUGUGUAACUGACACCCUCUCAUAGACUAGAUUGGCAAAAGCCGAAAAGCCGAAAUGCCGAAAAGUCAAUAUUUUGGGAAUUUGCGAGUGUGCGAAUGCUCGUAAGAUAGUUGAGUUUGUAUAUUUGGUAAUCUAAAGUAAUAAACUGCAGUACGCGCGAUUUCAUACAUUUUGAUAAUUUGGGCUUAAUGGGCCAAAGAUCGGGUUCAUGGGCCAACGGGCCCAAUUCGGUAAGUAUGCGCGAUAAGUGUUCUGAUAGUACGUAAAUAGUUAGGAUAUGCAUGAAAACCCUAAAAGUAGCUAAAUUACUAUAAUACCCCUAUGUAUGGAAAAUUACUGUUAUACCCCUAGGUGCAAAAUUACCGUUAUACCCCUAGGGUUACUUUUGACUGAAAAGCAUGACGAUCUGAUUCUGUAUGAUGUAUGCCAUGAUUAUAUAUCUGUUGCAUGGGGACUUGGGUUAUACUAUGGAGGAAGCGUCCUAGUGGCUAUGCCACAAAUUAUCUGAUCUGGUGGCUCUGCCACAUAUAUCUGUCCUGGUGGCUAUGCCACAAUUAUCUGAUAUGAUGGCUCUGUCACAUAUAUCUGUUCUGGUGGCUCUGCCACAAUAUCUGUAUCUGGUGACUUCGUCACAAUAUCUGGCAGCCUCGCUGUGAUUUCUGUGGUGUGUAGCGGUUGGGUGGGUCGAGUAGUCUCCCCACAUGGUGUAAGGCUGGUACGGGGGUGUUAUGGAUGAAUCUGGGUUGGGUUUCUGCAUAAACAUGUAAUAUCUGUUCUAUUCUGUUAUGGGCCUAUGGGCUUUAUUCUGAAUUCUGUUCUAGGCUAAGGCCAACUUAUUCUAUUUCUGUGGUUUGAGCUGAUAUAGGCUAUGGUUGGGUUAAUUUACACACUGAGUUUCCCCAAACUCACCCCUUUUAUUUUCAUCCACGCAGGAAAUCCCCAACCAUAGUGGGCUUGGAGCUGUGAGGGAAUUCGGAGUGGCCACUCGUUCUGAAAGUUUGAUUUUCUUCUGGUGAACUGGACAUCCUUUUAUUUACGUUUGAAGUUUUGGGUUUUUAAAUGUAAUAAGGCCUCUUAAUUAUUUUUGAUGUUUUAAUAUGUAUUACUAAGAUAGGUAUUACUUAUUUUAACUGUUGAAAUUUGAUAGCUUUAGGGCGCGUUUUCAAAAACAACAAUUGAUUUCAAAAUAACACGACAACAAGCAAAGCUUCCGCAAAGAAAGUAUUUUCCAAAAUUAAUCACUUUUCCUAAAAAUGACUUAAUCAAAUCGGUUUCCUAGAAAUAUCCAUGACGUUAAGGUGUGGCAAUGGCGGUAUGCACGUCUAGGAUUGGAUCUGAAGGGAGCUUGGUACUUAAGCAGUCCGAUGGACUCACCACCUCUUUUCCGGUUUCCUACAUGGUGCAUAGCUUCCAUUCACUUUAACCUAUAAUGAAAUUAUCUUUUAAAACACUAAGUAAGUUUUUCUGGAUCAACAAUAUAAAAUGUUUUGAACGCUUCGAUGUGGCAUGUCGGAUCCGAUCAUAACGUCUGGGCUGGGUUUGGGGUGUUACAUUUAGUGGUAUCAGAGCCGAGUUUCAACAACUCGGCUGUGGAAUGGGUUUACAAAAACAAAGAUUUUUGAGAACGAAAAUUUUAUAAAGAUUGCAAAAAACUCGGUUUUUAAAAUUUAGAUCUUUUGAAGGUAGCACCCGAAUCUCCGGCCCAAGCCUGUAAGUAUUACUCUGAACUUUUCUGAAUAUUUUCCUGAAUUAUCUGUCUGUACUGAAACCCUAUUAGAAUACUCUAGAUAGGAUGAUACUGAAACCAUAGGAAAAUCUGAUAAGAGACUGAAACUGUAGCUAGACUUCGAUUCUGCGAAAACAAACUCUGAACUAUUGUCUGAUUCAUAAAACAUCUGUAAUAAACACUGGAAUAUUAAUUGAUGCAUAAAAAUUCGUAAUCAAGAUAAUACGAUAUGAGUACAAGAGGCCGUGCACGGAGCCGAGGAAGUGCUCGAGCGAGAUCUUCGUCUUCGAGACAUAUGCCGGCGGUGGAUGCACCGGUACCACCGGCAACAGAGGGAGAGUCUCAUGACCACGGUGCCGAAGAUGAUGCCCUGUCACAGGCAAUGCUUCGUGUUCUGGAAAGGGUUGCCGGGGCAAGUACGGGCAAUGGAGUUCGGGGAUCUAUUUCUGAACGACUUCGGGCUAACGGAGCGGAGAUCUUUAGGGGCAUGUCUGGUAUAGCCCCGAAUGUGGCGGAAUAUUGGUUGGAGGCCACAGAACGGAUUAUGGACAACUUGGACUGCUCUGAGGAGAUUGUGAGUGGGGUAUCUGUACUAAGUCCUUUGGGUCACUCGGUUAGGGUAGACAAACUGUAUAGGGAUGUACCCUUAGAAACUCAAGGUAGGAUUUUCCCUAGAGAUCUGAUGGAGUUACCGUUCGGAGAGUUUGAUCUUAUUUUGGGAAUGGACUGGCUUGUUAAGCAUAAGGCGACCCUGGAUUGUGUUGCUAAACGAAUGGUGUUAAGGACCACAAAGGAUGAGGAGGUUAUAGUGAUAGGUGAGCGAAAGGAUUAUUUUUCCAAUGUGGUGUCGGCUUUAAGAGUCGAAAAGUGGAUUCGGAAAGGUUGUGAGGCCUAUUUGGCAUUUGUAAGUCAGUCAGAAGAGGAGGGACUGACAGUUGAUAAGGUUAGGAUCGUAAAGGAGUUCCAAGAUGUUUUUCCAGAGGAGCUUCCAAGAUUGUCUCCGAAUCGAGAAGUUGAGUUUGGAAUAGAUUUGUUGCCUGGAACGGCGCUUGUGUCUAUUACACCGUAUAGAAUGGCACCGAAGGAGUUAGUGGAGUUAAAGGCUCAAAUUCAAGAGUUUAUGGAUAGGGGCUUCAUUAGGCCAAGCGUGUCUCCAUGGGGAGCACCGGUGCUAUUCGUGAAGAAGAAGGAUGGUACAAUACAGAUGUGCAUUGAUUAUCGCCAGUUGAACAAACUGACAUUUAAGAAUAAGUAUCCACUACCAAGGAUUGACGAUCUGUUUGACCAGCUUAGAGGGGCUUCUAUAUUUUCUAAGACCGACCUCCGAUCUGGAUAUCAUUAGUUAAGGGUCAAGGAGGCGGAUAUCCAUAAGACGGCAUUCAGGACUCGGUAUGGUCAUUACGAGUUUUUGGUUAUGCCAUUUGGACUGACGAACGCUCCUGCAGCAUUUAUGGAUCUGAUGAAUCGGGUGUUCCAACCAUUCUUGGAUCGAUUCAUAGUCGUCUUCAUUGAUGAUAUCCUGGUAUAUUCUGAAACUGAAGCGAAACAUGAUGAGCAUCUCCGUAUAGUGCUGCGGGUGUCAAAGGAGAAGGAACUCUUUGUGAAGUUCAGCAAGUGUGAAUUUUGGUUGAGGGAGGUAACCUUCUUAGGACAUGUGGUCUCUGCCGAAGGGAUUAAGAUGGACCUCGAAAGAUUGAAGCAAUUUUGGAGUGGAAGGCACCUAAGACGGUGUCGAAAAUUCAAAUUUUCCUAGGGUUGGCAGGAUACUACAGAAGGUUUGUGGAAGGUUUUUCUGUGAUGGCAGCACCUCUGACAAAACUCAUAAGGAAAGGAGUACCGUUUGUAUGGACUGAGAAGCAGCAGGAAACUUUUGAGAAGUUGAAGAAAGUUCUGACUGAAGCACCUGUGUUGAUUCAGCCGGAGUCUGGGAAGGAUUUUACUGUGUACAGUGACGCAUCACACGUGGGUUUAGGCUGCGUGUUAAUGCAGAAGGGUAAGGUGGUUGCAUAUGCAUCACGAUAGCUUAAGCCUCAUGAGGGAAACUAUUUGACUCGUGAUUUAGAGUUCGCAGCAGUGAUAUUUGCACUUAAGAUUUGGAGACAUUACUUGUACGGAGAAAGGUAUAUUAUAUACACUGACCAUAAGAGUCUUAAGUAUUUGUUGACUCAGAAGGAGCUGAACCUUAGGCAAAGGAGAUGGAUUGAGUUGCUUAAGGAUUAUGACUGUUUGAUCGAGUAUCACCCAAGCAAGGCUAAUGUGGUAGCCGAUGCUCUAAGUCGUAGAGCUGUAUCUGAUCUGAGAGCAAUGUUUGCUCGUCUGAGUCUGUAUGAUGAUGGAAGUCUGUUGGCUGAGUUGCAAGUGAGGCCAACCUGGGUGGAUCAGAUUAAGGAAAAACAGUUGAACGAUGAGUCUUUGGUCGCUCGUUUUCAACAAGUUAAGGAAGGGGAAACUUCUGAGUUUGGGAGCCAGAAGAGACGAUGCAACAGCAAUACCCUCAUCUGUUUGGAUUAGGUAAAUUUCGAGGACGAAAUUUCUUUAAGGAGGGUAGAGUUGUAACGCCCCAAUUUUCGGGAAUUCUGUGAAUGUUGGCAUAGGUUUAAUUAUGUUAGUGGGCCUCUAGAAAGCCCAAACUUAAGAUAAAACCCGACAAUUUUAGUUAAUUUUUGUUCCAUAAGAAAAAUGGGGUGAAAUUAUGAAAUAGGACCUAUGUGAAAAUGUUUGAAAAUGCUAUAGGCUAAAUUGAAGUGGCCAAAUAAAUAGGAGUGCAAAAUAGGAGGAUUUGCAUGACAAACCUCCCAUUUUACAUGAAGUGGCCAGCCAUCACGUUGUUGUAGACAAAAUGUACACUUGAUAUCUAUAAUUUAUGGUACAAUUUGAUACAAAUUGAUAAUAGGUUAGGUAAAUGUUCAAUGAUAAUAGGUUAGGUAAAUGUUCCAUGAUAAUGGGUUAGGUAAAUGUUUCAUGAUAAUGGGUUAGGUAAAUGUUUCAUGAUAAGAAUUUCAUGUCUUUUGUAUUAAAGAAUUAAAUGGAUGAAAUAUGAAGUUUUAUUAAAAGAAAAAGGGGUGAAAAGAAAAAAGUUUUAUCCAUCUUUGUUCAUCAUAGCUGAAAGUUAGAGAAGAGAAAGGAGAGGAGAAAGCCCUUGAGUAUUUGGUCAUUAGGAGGAGGAAAAUUGAAGGUAAGUUCUUGGUACCUUGCUUCUAUUUUGAGGUUCAUGAGUUCUUCUUGAUUCUACCUUAACUCUUGAAGUAUAUUUUGAUUUUUAGUAGUGUUGUGAGCAUUUAGUCAUGAAUUAAAAUGAAGGAAAUGGUUGUUGUUUCAUGUUCUUUUGAUGAAAAAUGGAAGAUAGGUGAAGUUGAGCCAAACAAAUGAGCAUGCAUGUGCCUUAGAUGUUAAAGGGAAAAAUCAGCUAACAUGUUGUGCUUUAAAAUGAUGAAAUGGAGAUUAUACUUAAGUAAAAUCAUAGAUAUGUGAUGAUUUAUAUUGGUGAUAUACAUGUUUAAAUAACAUGCAUGCAAGGUAUGUGUGAAAGAGUGAUUUGGUAAUAAAUCUGCUUGGGACAGCAGCAGUAACGUGACUUUGGAAAAUCACCAUAAAUUGUGGGAGAUGAAUUAGAAGCUGAAUAAAUUAUGUAAUUAAAGCUUAUUGAGUCUAGUUUCUAAUGAAAUAAACAAUAAAAUAUUUUGAACUCUGAACAAUGAGAAAUUUGAUUCGUAAUGAAGAGUGGUCAGAUUAGUCAAAUAGUGAAACAUGGGAAACUUUAAGAAAAAUCUGGUAUUGAUUUGCCAUACCAAAAAUUCUGAAAAUUUUAUAGAUAAAAGAUAUAUGAGUCUAUUUUCAGGGAAAAUUAACGGAACUUGAUUUGGAUUUUCGUAGCUCCAGUUAUAAAUAAUUUAGUGACUGUUGCUCAGGAAGACAGCUUGCAAUGAAAUUAUGAUUAUGUGGUAAACAUUGACAAAAAUUUGUUAAUGAGUUGCUUAUUGAUUUCUUAUAAGCUUACUAUGAUCUGUAGGUGUGGUUGGUCGAAUAUUGUAAGGGGUUAAUACGUAGUUUGUAUUUGAAUAGUUAGAUUAACGUGUUAGUAAUCCAAUUGUAGGCGGUUCGUGUGUGGAUCUCGUUAGCAUAUCGUCACAAACAGGUGUGUAACUGACACCCUCUCAUAGACUAGAUUGGCAAAAGCCGAAAAGCCGAAAUGCCGAAAAGUCAGUAUUUUGGGAAUUUGCGAGUGUGCGAAUGCUCGUAAGAUAGUUGAGUUUGUAUAUUUGGUAAUCUAAAGUAAUAAACUGCAGUACGCGCGAUUUCAUACAUUUUGAUAAUUUGGGCUUAAUGGGCCAAAGAUCGGGUUCAUGGGCCAACGGGCCCAAUUCGGUAAGUAUGCGCGAUAAGUGUUCUGAUAGUACGUAAAUAGUUAGGAUAUGCAUGAAAACCCUAAAAGUAGCUAAAUUACUAUAAUACCCCUAUGUAUGGAAAAUUACUGUUAUACCCCUAGGUGCAAAAUUACCGUUAUACCCCUAGGGUUACUUUUGACUGAAAAGCAUGACGAUCUGAUUCUGUAUGAUGUAUGCCAUGAUUAUAUAUCUAUUGCAUGGGGGCUUGGGUUAUACUAUGGAGGAAGCGUCCUGGUGGCUAUACCACAAAUUAUCUGAUCUGGUGGCUCUGCCACAUAUAUCUGUCCUGGUGGCUAUGCCACAAUUAUCUGAUAUGGUGGCUCUGCCACAUAUAUCUGUUCUGGUGGCUCUGCCACAAUAUCUGUAUCUGGUGACUUCGUCACAAUAUCUAGCAGCCUCGCUGCGAUUUCUGUGGUGUGUAGCAGUUGGGUGGGUCGAGUAGUCUCCCCACAUGGUGUAAGGCUGGUAUGGGGGUGUUAUGGAUGAAUCUGGGUUGGGUUUCUGCAUAAACAUGUAAUAUCUGUUCUGUUUUGUUAUGGGCCUAUGGGCUUUAUUCUGAAUUCUGUUCUGGGAUAAGGCCAACUUAUUCUAUUUCUGUGGUUUGAGCUGAUAUAGGCUAUGGUUGGGUUAAUUUACACACUGAGUUUCCCCAAACUCACCCCUUUUAUUUUCAUCCACGCAGGAAAUCCCCAACCAUAGUGGGCUUGGAGCUGUGAGGGAAUUCGGAGUGGCCACCCGUUCUGAAAGUUUGAUUUUCUUCUGGUGAACUGGACAUCCUUUUAUUUACAUUUGAAGUUUUGGGUUUUUAAAUGUAAUAAGGCCUCUUAAUUAUUUUUGAUGUUUUAAUAUGUAUUACUAAGAUAGGUAUUACUUAUUUUAACUGUUGAAAUUUGAUAGCUUUAGGGCACGUUUUCAAAAACAACAAUUGAUUUCAAAAUAACACGACAACAAGCAAAGCUUCCGCAAAGAAAGUAUUUUCCAAAAUUAAUCACUUUUCCUAAAAAUGACUUAAUCAAAUCGGUUUCCUAGAAAUAUCUAUGACGUUAAGGUGUGGCAAUGGCGGUAUGCAUGUCUAGGAUUGGAUCCGAAGGGAGCUUGGUACUUAAGCAGUCCGAUGGACUCACCACCUCUUUUCCGGUUUCCUAACUCGUGCAUAGCUUCCAUUCACUUUAACCUAUAAUGAAAUUAUCUUUUAAAACACUAAGUAAGUUUUUCUGGAUCAACAAUAUAAAAUGUUUUGAACGCUUCGAUGUGGCAUGUUGGAUCCGAUCAUAACGUCUGGGCCGGGUUUUGGGUGUUACAAAUUCAAUACCUUCUUUUAUCUUUUUUGCAAUCACAAAGUAAAUCCACCCUUGAAAUCAAACGAAAGCUAGAUCCACUAAAAAAUAAACACAACCCUUUGCUAAAUUUAUUUGAUUUUUUUGUAUUCCAAUAUGCCUCUGUAAUCCGUUUACAGUACAAAUGAUGGCUUUUUAUAGCCGAUUUACAGCAUAAAUAAAAGAAAAAUAAAAAUUCUAUUUUCUUGUUGUCAUUUGCUGGCUUAUUUUUUCUGUUAUUAGCAUUACUGCUUUUGUUAUUCUUCUAGCAGGUUCUAUGGCCAUACGGAGUAGAAUUCGCUCGUAGUGACGUGGAGGAGGCUUGAAUGCUGCGAUACUGGUUUCGUGCGAGGCUGCUGCGCGCUUGAGCUUGGUGGCUUAGGGUUUCCAGAGACCUCACCUGUCCGGGACAUUUGGGCCAAACAAUCGGGCUAUUUUAGAAGUGGAUUGUUAAUUUUGUUAGGGAUUUGGGUUUAGGUUUAUUAGGUUAGGUUUAUUUGGGCUUUUAUUGUUGGGUUAUAAGUGAUUUGUAAAUGGACUUCGAUGAUGAACUUUUAUUGGUUUUUAUUUUAUUUUUUUUAAUUUCUGGUUUUUUUCUAACGGGCCCUGGCGAAAUGGGCCUAUUACAGCUACCCCUCUUUGCUCAUUGUUGUGUAACGAGAAUAGAGAAAAUACUUUAAAAGGACCGGUUUUGCUCGGUCUUGCUGAAUAUCGACUUCUUUGGUGCUCCUCCUCUUCAAGUAGUCUCAGUCAAUCCCACCGUCUUCAGGGGUAUACUCCACUAGAACUUGGGAAAAUAAAAUUCAUCAUCUUCGAUCUACUCCACUGCUACCUCAAGGAAAUAAGAUCUACAAUCUUUAGUCUGCUUCCUUGCUACCUCAGGAAGAUAAGACUACAAUCGUCAACCUGCUCUCUUGCUACCUCAGAGAGAUAAGGCUAGGGGCUAAAAUCUGCUCUAUUAUCGAUACAUGGAGAUAAGAUUCGUCAUCUUCAUUCUGCUCCACAACUGCUUAAGGAGAUAAGAUCUUCAAUUUUCAAUCUGCUUCCUUGCUACCUCAGGAAGAUAAGACUACAAUCACCAACCUGAUCUCUUGCUACCUUAGAGAGAUAAGGCUGGUGGCUUAAAUCUGUUCCAUUGCCAAUACAUGGAGAUAAGUGUAACAUCCUUAUUUUGGGCCUAGUCAGAACAAUGGUUUUGGGACCACAAAUUCGAUGAGGAAAAUUUCAUUUUUAUUAUAUUUUUUUGGUCUACGAUUUCAUGGAAUGAUUUCGUGAAAAUUUCGUGUGAAAAUUUCGACGUUUGGGCAAUCAAUUUGGUCAAAAGGACUAAAUUGUAAAAAGUGCAAAAGUUGAGUUCUACAUGUUAGAAGUGUCUAAUUGUUAUGAGUUUUUAAAUUAAAUGUCCUUAAAUGGUAAUUAGACCAUUUUGAAGUUUAUGGAAAAAAAUGGACAUGGUAUGAUAGGUUUUUAAAAGUUUUUCAUUAAGGGCAUUUUAGUAAAUUGGUAAUUAAAUGAAUUAAAAAUGCCAAAAUAAGCCAAAUUUGCUCAUAUUCUUCCUCAUGGACUAAUGUCUCAUGAAAAACACCAUGGCUAGGGUUUUCAAGCUUUCCAAGCUCAUUUGUAAGUGAUCCCGAGCCCCGUUUUUAAUGUUCUUUACAUUUUUGAAGUCCCGGUAACAUGUUCUAGCUAUUUCUACCAUUAUUUUGAGCUAGGUUUUGUGUUUAAAAUUUUACCCAUGAAUGAUAUGCAUGUAUUUUGAUGCUUAAUGGUAGAAUAUGAAGCUUGGAAUUGUGUUAAACAACUUUUGCUAAGUGAUUUUACGUGAAAACGAGUAAAACGGCAUAAUCGGUAAAAAUACCUAAUGUUCAUAAGUACAUGUUGGAGUGAGAAUUUGAUGUUUCCAUAGAAGGGAAAAUGAUCAGCAUGUCAUAAAACAUAAGAAAAUAGGAUGAAGUUUAAUUUCUGAACCUUGGGGUAAAAGUGCAAAUAUGCAAAAGUUUAGGGGUCAAAAUGAAAAUUUGUAAAAAUAUGAUUUUUGGACCUUUAUGAAUAAUGUGACUAAUUAUUAGGCUAAAUGUGAUAUUAUAGAUCAAGGAAAUCAAGAUUUAGGCUUAAAUCGGGAAAAUACAAUGUUAUGGACUAAAAUGGUAAAUUGUCGUUUCUGGAUCGAGGUAAGUUCGUGUGUUAAUAAUAAUACAAUACCAUGCAUGAAUUGUAAUUCUCUAUUGAUAUGGGAUAAAUUGUAUGAUUUAAUAUGUUUAAGAGAAGUUGAUGGAUGGUAUGUAUGAUAUGGAAAAAUGCAAUGCUUGUUGUGUCAUGUGAAAUUGAAUGGCAAAUUAUUGUUACAUGAAUUGAGUGUCAAAUUACUAUUACCUGGGUUGUAUGAAUUGCUACACGGCUGUACUUGACGAGAUUUUGACAAGUAAGCUCGAAUAACUUAAACUAAACUCAUAAUAUGCCUAAUUGCAUGUUUUAUGAAUGUAUGAUAAUUAUAUUUGACGAUGGCAUGAAAAUCCAUGAAAUGUGUGAUUAAUAAUGACAUGAUGAUAAAUGUUCCAGUUGAGGUUAAAAAGAAGUUCGAUGGAUAAACCAUGAUUUACAUGUGACUAGAGAUCUUGCAUGUGUUGUAGACAAGGAUUUAGCCCGGACGGUAAUCCAUUAAUCUCAAUGAUGAAAUGGAUCUACCCUGGACGGGUGUUCCUUUGGAUGAUCGAGCCUCUCGAAGAAUAUAUGUGCAUUGGAUUUAGCCCGGAAGGGUAAUCUGAUUAGGGUCUAAAUUUAGCCUGGACUGGCAAUUUAGAUCCGAACUCAGUAAAGGUGUUUGUCACAAUAAGGGAUUUAGCUUGGAUUGGUAAUCCCGACAUCACCUUAUGAGUUGAUAUUACGGGGGAUUUAGCCUGGACUGGUAAUCCCGCCGUAAGAUGUGAGGUUCGCGGGAUUGCAUACAUGAAAUGAUCAUUCUUAUGAAUUGAUGGUAAAUGGAUAAUCCAUCGGAAUUUCUUAGAAACUCGACGGGAUUAAUAUGAUGUAUAUCAAUGAAAUGAUAAAUGAUGAGCUCUUCUAAGAAAAAUUUAUAUGGUGCAUUGUAAUGAGACUAAUUUGAUGAUUGAGUCCAUGUGAUAAGGAAUUAUCUUAUACUUGGAAUGUAUGACUAAGUGUGCCCAUGAGAAAUAAUAACUUUUAUAUUGAGCUCCAUUGUGAAAAAUGAGUAAGGGAUCCAUGAAAUGGUAAGUUCAUGAUAGUUGGAAAUGAUAUUAUGAUAGUGAUUAUUAUAUUGUACCAAAACAGAUUUGGACAGCAGCAUUGGUCUGACUUUGAAAAUCCACUAAAAAUAGUGUAAAUUUAGUUAUAAGCUUAAUAAAAUAUGAAAUUAACUCUUAAUGAGUCUAGUUUUAGAUAAAGGAAACAGUGAAAGCAAAAGAAUCUUGUAUCAUGAGAUAAUUGAAUUCUUGUGAGACAGAGUCGGAGUGAUUCUAGACUCCCCUGUCUCAAUUGUGGAAAAUCACUAGAAAUUGUAAAAAAAUCAUUAUGAGUUAAAAUUAAUAUUAAUGAAACCCUUAAUGAGUCUAAUUUCAUGAGAAAGAGACAGGAACAUUAUUCGAGUCUCAUACUAGGAGAUAAAUAAAUUUUAAUGAAGAAAGGUCAAAGCUGUCAAACAGCGAAAUAAGGGAGAAUUUGAAUAAUAAAAUGUACUUAUUGGCUGGACCAAAAAUUAUGAAAAAUUUAUUAUAAAAAGAUAAAUGAGUCUAGCUUAUGGAAAAAUGAAUGGAUCUUAAUUUGGAGUUCCGUAGCUCUAGAUAUAAAUAAUUUACUGACUGUGACUUGGGAAAACAGCUUAGCUAGAAUUUGAAUAAAUAGAGAGAAUAUGAAAAUAGCAUGUUAUCUCAUUGCUUAUUAUUUUCAUGCGAGCUUACUAAGCGUAAAGCUUACUCCCUUCUUUCCAUUUCUUUUAGUUUUGUCAGGCCAGCUCGGGGUUGGAGAUCGUCGGAGGCAGCAUCACACUAUGGAGUCAUUAUCCUUGGAGUACUGGCAUGUGUACGUGAAAUGUUUUAUGCGAGUGGCAUGUAUAGGGACUUAGUUUUUCUAUGAUGACUAUUGUUGUGAUUAGCCAAAGGUAUUGGUUUAUAUUGAUUUUUUUUUUAUAGCCAUGAGAUGUGGCUUAUAAAGAUUUUGGCUUGUAAGUUUAUUUAUCCAUGAUAUGUGUUAAUGUCUUGUGAUGUAGUUAUGUGAUUGUGCUUGUUCACUAUGUAUGAGAAGUAUAUGGCAUAUGUACAUGAUGAAUCCCAUUGAAAUCAUGUAUGAGUGUGUAUGUAAAGAUGGUAGAAAGGCUUGGAAAUUAGCCUAAGUCUUGACCACACGGGUAGAGACAUGGCUGUGUGUCUCAGCUGUGUGGAGGACACGACCUUUGGUCACGGGUGUGUGCCUUGGUCGUGUGCCCUUAAACGGUUGUUGACGUCAUAAACAGAGAGUUUCACGGGCUGAGGACAUGGGUGUAUCCCAAUCCACACGGACGUGUCCGACCACACGGACCAACCCAUACGGGCGUGUGACUCUCCAAAGCUAGAAAAUUGGUUAAGUUGCCCAAAGAUUUUCAAAGUUCUCGGUUUAGUCCCAAACCACCCCGAUGUAUGUUAUAGGCUUCGAAGGCCUAUAUAAGGGACAAUAUACAUGUGUUUGAAAAGUUUUAAUUUUGGGCAAAAUUUGGUAACCUGGAUUUGUAUGUUUGUGAAUGUUUAAGUCCGGUAACGCCUCGAACCCUAUCUCAGAGUUGGAUACGGGUGAGGGGUGUUACAAUAAGAUUUGCCACCUUCGAUCUGCUCCACUACUGCUUAGGGAGAUAAGAUCUUCAAUCUUUAGUCUGCUCCUUGCUACCUCAGGAAGAUAAGACUACAAUCGCCAACCUACUCUCUUGCUACCUUAGAGAGAUAAGGCUGGUGGCUUAAAUCUUCUCCAUUGCUGAUAUAUGGAGAUAAGAUUCGUCGCCUUCGAUCUGCUCCACUACUGCUUAGGGAGAUAAGAUCUUCAAUCUUUAGUCUGCUCCUUGCUACCUCAGGAAGAUAAGACUACAAUCGCCAACCUACUCUCUUGCUACCUCAGAGAGAUAAGGCUGGUGGCUUAAAUCUUCUCCAUUGCUGAUAUAUGGAGAUAAGAUUUGUCGCCUUCGAUCUGCUCCACUACUGCUUAGGGAGAUAAUAUCUUCAAUCUUAAGUCUGCUUCCUUACUACCUUAGGAAGAUAAGACUAUAAUCGCCAACCUGCUCUCUUGCUACCUCAGAGAGAUAAGGCUGGUGACUAAAAUCUGCUCCAUUGCCAAUAUAUAGAGAUAAGAUUCGCCAUCUUAGAUCUUCUCCACUACUGCCUAGGGAGAUAAGAUCUGUAAUUUUCAGACUGCUCCACUGCAACCUCAGGGAAACAAGACUUGUAUAUUGAGCCUGCUCCAUUGCAACUUUAGGAAGAUAAGGUUUUUCACUUCAACCUGCUCCACUGCAACUUUAGGGAGAUAAGGUUUACUAUGAUCUACUCUACUGCAACUUCAGAGAGAUAAGACCUGUUUAUUUGUAGCUUCAAUCUAUUCCACUGUAAUUUCAAGGAAAUAAGAUUCGCUAUCUUCAGUCUGCUCCACUGCAACUUCAGGGAGAUAAGACCUGACACUUCAACCUACUCCACUGCAACUUCAGGGAGAUAAGGUUUGUAAUCUUUGAUCUAUUCCACUGCAACUUCAGGGAGAUAAGGUUUGUAAUCUUUGAUCUAUUCCACUGCAACUUCAGGGAUAUAAGAUCUGACUUCACCGAUGUUACUACACCGUCCUCUGGAACAUGUCCUGUAGACUCAGUUUUAUGUAUCCAUGCUUAUGCCAAAUAAUUAGGAUGCUAUGAUCAAAAUAAAUCAAAUGCUCCUAACUAAAUGUGAUGCUUAUGUCAAAUAAUUAGGAUGCUAUGAUCGAAAUGAAUCAAAUUCUCCUAACUAGAUGUGUUAUGAAUGAUAUAUGAAUGCAAAAAUGAGAAUGAUCUUUUUAAAAAAAAAAGCUUAAGGUAUCAUUUUUUGUUGUUAUUAUAACUGAUUUAUUACGCUACCAUCUUGUUCGAUUGGUAUUCUUGACAAAAACCUAAAGAAACAAUCACAUUCUGCUCAGUAAGCUUGCCCCGCUAUAAUUUCAGAGUCCUCUUCACUAUAACUUCUGGGACAUAAAGCUUGAACCUCCCACUGCUACUUCAGGGGAAUAAUCAUUUGAUUUCUUCUAUCCAUCCUACUGCAACUCAAAUGUAUAGGAUUUGUAUCAUUUUCAAUCAAUUUGAUCUGUUACACCAUUCCCUGGGUGUAAUGACCAGAUAUAUAUGCCUGAUAUCUGCAUGAAUACAAAAUACCUUUUCUUUUCUCGAGAAUAAUCCCAUUGCUCACUCUUCAUUGGGGUUAUAACACCGAUGUAAUUUCUUUUUUUAUUCAACUAAUAUCUUUGACAUAAAAUCUAAGGAGAUAAUCUCAAUUUGGGCUUAAAUAUUUCUGAUUCUUAAGCUUGGUGAGUUUUAAACAAUAGUCAUAUUUCAGGCUCCUGUAUUAUUUAGAAACUUCUAGAGUAAUAUGCGAAACUCCUUUUAUGAAAGUAUUAUUAGUUCACUAAUCGUUAUUUCAAUGCAAAAUGCUUUAAAAAUAUCAUAAUCAUGGACAAGAAAGAAAUUAAUUGAGAGCAUAGCUCGAAACAAGUAAGCAAAUGCAACUAAGAAAGAAAUUUAUUUGGAUGUGCCUGAAAAGAAUAAGGUAAUCAAAGAUAGCAAAAAAAAUGGGUAAAAAUAGAAAACUAGGUGCCUCAAAUAUCACAGCUUAAGCUUCUCUGUACCCACUUUCUGAGGACCAUUUUGAGCUCAAUAUGUGUUUUGGGGAUCCGAAGUACUUUGUCGAUGCCCCAAGACGUAACAUACUUCUUUUAUUGUUAAUUCAGGCAUAGCAAGAUUACUGUAUGCCCCAUUUUGAUCCAAAUUUGAGCCGCCCUUUUCGGGUUUUCAACUUAAAUCCCCUUUGGUCUCAAAGCGCCCUUUGCGGGUUUUCGCAUUGGCCUUUCCUUUUCUUUCUUCUUUUUUUUUAUUUUUAUUUUUUUUUUAUUUUUUUAAAUUUUUUAUUUCGAUCUUUUUUUUAAGGUCUCAAGACGCCCUUUGCAGGUUUUCACCUUGGCCUCUCCCAUUUUAGGUAGAAUACUCAUUGACUGGAUUUUCCAUUCAUUUUGUCAAUAUCAAUGCUCUUCCAGAAUAGACCUUCUUUACUACAUAAGGUCCCUCCUAAUUCGGCAUAUUUCUUCCUUUGAAGUCCUUUUGUAUAGGAAGGAUCUUAUUCAAUAUCAAGUUCCCCUCAUGGAAUUUUCUCAUUUCAUUUAUUUCUAGUGCAUUGGACCACGACAAAAUCUCCUCUCUUCGAAUUCAACUGAGCAUAUCAAGCUUAAAUCCAUUCUGUCUUAUCCAACUUCAACUCUGACAAGACCGGAGAAAAAGAAUCUCGCAUUCAAAACCGUUUCAAUCACCUAAACCAAUGAGCAAUGUGUUGCCCCAGUGAAGCUGGCCGAUGUUUGAUAAGCAUAGAGGGUAAAUGGUAACUUCUUUAUGCCAAUCCUUACAAGAUUCAGUUGCAUUGCACUAUGACCUUUGUUUUAUUGUUUUAUUGUUUCUCUUUUUAAUUUUUCUAUUUUUGUACUUUUUUUUGGAUGCCUUUGCUGCACUGUGAUAUGGUGUCUGAUCCUUGAACAGGCUGCAAACUUUUGACAUUGUGCAGUUGUAUUAGAAGUGAUCCUUUUUGACAUUACUUGUCAUCAACCCUUUCUUUUUUUUUUUGAGAUUUGAUGACUAUCGACCUUGGAAUAUUAGCAUAUGAAGUGACUUUCACCCUCUUCAUGAAGUAAUCAGUGACUGCUAAGAUGAAUCGAUGUAUAUUAGACGAGAAUGGCCUGAUAACAUCCAUGCCCCACAUAGAGAAAACCUGUGAAGAAAUGAAUGAGGCACAUGAAUCUUGUCUCCUAAAAUACAGCCUAACUAAUGCAAUCCCCUUCCAUGGUGGAUCAACAAUACCCAAACUUCAUGAUUAGCGUGGCUACCAUGAAACCAUUAACAUGUGUCCUUCUGACACCCAUAUAGACAUUUUUUAGCGUCUACAAGUCUUAGUAUCCCAAGUAUCCUGACAUGAUUUUGAAUUCUUGGAAUAACUCAAUGACAAUUCUCUUUGUCUUUGUGGUGACUCAGGCUUCAAUCUUUGCCUCUUGCUCAAAAUGUCCAUUGAUCCUUCGUAAAGUAGGAUCCAUUUUUCAUCUUGUUCUACUGUCUUUAAAAAAUCAGGAAAUAAGUUACAAUCUCUGUCAUCUACAAAGUUCUGAGAUCCACUUAAACACAUAUCUCACCCCAAAAGGGAGUCAGUUACAGCGUUGCUCAUAUCGUUGAUAUCUGGGGACCUAUUAUAGGUACAAAGGCAAAUUUUAAAGAAUAAAUGAUUCUAAGGAUAAUUAUUUAUAUGGAUGAAGAAUGAAAGCAUAUUUAAAAAAAAUCCAAAGAACAAAAGAAUAUAUAAAGAAUUAAAGAAUAUUUACUCAAAAAGAAUGCAUUUUAUUGAAAUAAAAAUUUUUGGAUACAAGCUUAUUUCACAAAAGGAUUCUUAUUGCCCCUUGGCUUAAACCAACAAGCGUGUUUUGAAUAUUACUCUAGAUCAGCUCUAAAAAUACAGAGAUCUCUUCCACAGUCCCAUUAUUUAAAACACCCUCAAGUAUAUAAGGGUUUGAAAACUUUUAUUCCCUGGACCUCUCUUUGGAUAUGUCAUUCAAAUUCUCUUUUUGCACCCUCAGCUGGCCUAUGUUGACCAAUUUAGAAGGCAUGCUCACGAUGUUCACUUCAUCUUCCUUGUUCAUCGGGGUUGACCUUUUAGUGCUCUCUCCUGCAUCUAUCUGUCCAUUUCUUACCGCGCUUUCAAUCAUCUCACCAGACAUUACUAUGUCUGAAAAGCUCAGAGUAGCGCUUCCCAACAUAUAGUUAAUGAAUAGGGCUUUCAAAGUACUGAUGAAAAGCAUCAUGGAUUCCUUUUCUGGAAGAGGUGGUUGGACUUGAGUUGCUACCUCUCUCCAUCUUUGGGCAUAUUGCCUAAAGCUCUCAUUUUGCUUCUUUUCCAUAUUCUGCAAGGUAAUUCUAUCGAGUGUCAUGUCUGUUACAUGGCUAUACUGAUUCAUAAAAGUUUGUGCUAAAUCCUUCCAUGAAUUAAUUUUAGCACGACUUAAUUGAUUGUACCAUUUAGCUGCUGACCCGAUCAGUGGAAGCAAUGAAUUAAUAAUUAGUCAUUGUUAACAUAUCCUGUCAUCCUUCGACAGAACAUUGUGAUGUGAGCUUCAGGACAACUAGUCCCAUUGUACUUUUCAAACUCUGGAAUCUUAAAUUUUGGCAGGAGUACUAGACCAGGUACCAAACUCAAAUCCUUGGUGUCAAUCCCACAGUAGAAGUCAACAUUCUCCAUUGCUUUAAAUUUUUCCUCCAACCACCUAUACCGAACCUCAGGCUGACUUGGAAAUUCCCACUUUGCUUUUUCCAUUUCGUCCAGAUCAGGAACUACAAGAGUGGUUAUAUUAACCCCCGGAUUGGAGCCCGAGCCUAUAGGGUAAUUCACUGGUACUGAGGUACCGACUUGAUAUUACUGGAUUUUGAUAAUUGGUACACCUUGCGGACAUGUGUGCGUAUUUGUCAGGGUAAAACCCAGAGGUAGAGAGGCUCCUCAUUGUUCUCCCCAGCAUUAAUCAUGGAACUUUUUCUUUCUUCAAGCCCCUUAGUUAGCAAUUGGGACAACUGAUUCAUCAUAUUUCUUUGAGACUCUAGCACCUGGUCUCUUAUAUCCUGCUGAAUCUUCGCCAGUUACUCUUGCAUCUGUAUUUGUAAUUGGUCUUGCAUCUCUCUUUGAAGUUGUUCAAGUCUUUCCAAUCUUUGGUCCAUAUCUUUUGUCUUAGCACGGGUACCGUAACGACGCUUGUUUGGUAAGUUUUUAUCAGUUUCCAGAUUAAUUGAAAUGAUUUCAACUAAUUAGGGACCCUUUUAUGAAAAUCUAAUGCAAAUGAUGCAAUGGUGCACUACAAUGCAAAUGCAUGUGAUGAAUGCAAAGGAAAGAAAGACGUUGAUUUUGAAUUCAAUUCCAUUAGAACAACUUUUCUAGAAAACAAAUUCCUUUACAUAAAACGGAUUACUUAUACGUCCUUGCUUUCAUAUUCCAGGCGAAGACACCGAUCCCUUUUCUUCAUGAAAGUCAAAUCUCGCAAGCUUCCAAUAGAUGCCUCCACUAGCUUCUUUUUACUUAAUCCAGGCCGCGACUUAUUAUCCUCGCGAUGUUGAUUAGCUGCUUUAAGAAAGUCGGGAUGCGAUAGCUCUCAAAUAAUCUUUAUUGGCUUGAAUCCUCAGGUAAAGUCUUGUUUUCCUCCACGAACCAUCAGCCUUUUUCCAUUGUGUUUACUUGGACCAUAUUUAGACAACCGUAUUAUAAUCCACUUUAUUAAGAAAUUCAUUUUCUUAUGACAAACUGUUCUAUUUAGAAAUCAAAUAUGAAUCAACACCUCCUUUCUAUGAUGAUGUAAUGCAAUGCAGUCAUAAAACAAAAACAAAACACGUCAGUACAGAAGAAAUAAAUAAGAAAUAAAGUACCUAUUCGGGUGACCACUAAAUUCGGAAAAGUAUUAUCUAAGGUGGACUCUCAAAGUUCACUAUAUGUGACUCGGUUCUAGAGAAAGGGUAACUGAACUAGCAGAUUCCUUAAUCCUCACCCAUUAUAGGUUCAUAUGGAUCAAGUUCAGUUCAGGGGAAUACAUUUCCCUAUGACCAUGCGGAGAUGAAAAUCUCACAAAAUCAUAGGUACGGAUGUAUCUCGGAAGUAAUCCACUAGCCCAUGCGGAGGUGAAAACCUCACGAAGGCGUAGUUUCUCACUCUCACUUAAAGGUCCAACCACAACGGUCAUGCAAUGCAUUACAAUAUUAUUCUACAAGACUUGGACCCAACAAUCAUGCAAACAAAUGUAACAAAGAAUCAUGAUUUUCAAAUUAGAUUUUCAAUUCUAGACAAAAGGACAAAAAAAUAAUCAAUUUUAUGGUUUGACUCUCUUGUUCAAUCCCUAGUGGAGUCGCCAAGCUGUCAAACCAUUUUUUUAUAUUGGAAAAAAAUGGGGAUCGACUUUUAAAACAAAGUGUGGAGUCGCCACCAAUCCUUUUGUUUAGGUGUGAUUGGAUCACCUAAUAAAACAUUUUAUUCCAUUUAAAUCAAUUUUUGCCUACGUAAAUUUGAGAAAAUGGGUUCGGGAGCCGGUUACGUAUGAGGAAGGAUUAGCACCCUCACUACGCCCAAAAUUGGUACCAAAUUGAUUAAGUACUGUCCUUAUAUCUAAGAUUUAAAAAUAUUUUGAAAUAUGGUUCCUUUUAAAACAUUUGAGUGGUUCAAGUUGGUCGUCAAAAUUCUCUAGUUUCAAAGGUAUUCAGCAUCACAUCCAGAACGAUAGGACAUGAUUCUUUAUACCUUUGAAAACACGAUUGAUUUUUGACUUCCAAAAGUUCAUACAUUGAAAAUUACAAAAGGAUGUCUAAUUAUUUAGUCCAACGAAAAAUUGAAACCCAACACGGUAGGGCACGAUUUCCCGAAUUUCCAAACAUUGAACAUCGCCUUAUUUUAGAAUUUUUAAAUAAAAAAUUAUAAACUAACUCAAAACAUAUUUAUUUGACCUGAAACAAGAUGGAAUAAUUAAUUUUUUAAAAAAAUGGAAAUUACAAAGCAACAUUUGUAUAAAAAGAGGAAUAAUAAACAUGGGAUAAUAUGCACACAUAAAGUACAAUACUUGGUGAAUGAAGAUGAUACAACCUUAUCUAACUAGCUAACGAAACAAACAAUUAAAUAUAAUUAAUCUAAGAAAAAUGUAACCAAAUUUUCAAGCAUGGAUGGAGAACAAUUGAUAUAACAAUACAAAAAAACAAAUAAGUAAUAUACCACAACAGUAUAUAAUAAUCAACACAAAAUGUACAAAACAAAAUGGAAAUUAGAAGUCAAUGUGGUAUAAGACAAUUUUAAAAUAAUGAUGAACUCAUGAACACAUAAUAUAUAUAAUAUAUGAAUUGAUGAAUUGAUGAAUUUGAAAUAAUUUGUAUAAAGAACUAGGGAUAUAUAUAAAAUCAUUAAAAUGAAUAUUAUAGAAUGAAGACAUUUGAAUCAAAUAAUAUGCAAAGUGUUAAAAACAUUUGUUUAAAACUGACAAUAUACACACAAUAAAGGAGAAUUUAAAUAAUAUAUAAAAUAUGAAAAGAUAGUAAAAAUACAUAAUAAGAUAUAAUCUUAGGAAAUAAAUUAUAUACAUAAUAGAUUUACAAAACAUAUAUAUGUAUAAAUAGAUUUAGAAUCAAUUAUUUGUAAAAAUAGCAUGGAAUUAAUAAUGCGUAUAAGAUUAAAUUAAUUUUAUCAAAAUAUAUGUAAUUGAUAAACUGUAAUUUAUUCAUAUUUUUACCCCAUGCCUAACGCAUUUAUGGAUAGUUUCUCCUUAGAUUUGGUGAAUUCGAUGCUCCUAAUCCUUUAAUUUCAUGUUUUAUACUUAGAAGAGCAUAAGAGAGUAAAAAGAGUGAGAAACGGGCCGAAAACGAAGAAAAUAGACCCACAUGGGAAAACAACACGGCCUGGACUUCCUCACACGGGCAUGUUAAUUUGGCAGGAUCGAAGCACGACUUACACAGGUGGAUCACACGCCCGUGCCGAUUUAACAGCCUUGACCACAGCCUUCAAUAAUCGCACACGGGUGUGUCACACGGGCGUGUCCCCGUUGAACCGAAGUUUGCUCCAAUUCAGAAAAGGCCAAUUUUGAGGGCUCUUAGGCAUUCCAAAGCCUAUUUAAAAACUUGAGGAGGCAAUUAGGAAAGGGGAGGUAGAGGAGGAAGCAAAGAAUUACUCAAGGAAAGCCGAUUGAUCCAUUUCUAGAGUCAGAUUCAUCAUCAAGACUGGAGAUCUCCCUUCAAGUUCCUUCAGGAGUUUUGGGUUUUCUUAUGUUUUGUUAUCUAAGGGGAAUGGAACCUAAGACAGAUCUUGUUAUUAUUAUCUGAAUUGUAUGAUAAAUAUUUGACUUGUUCUUAAUUAUGCGUUCUUAAUUCUUGUUUUAAUAUUCCAGGAUAUUGAUUCAAGUUAAGCUCUUAUUCAGAGGAGGAAUGGACCCUGUCUAAGAGUAAAUUUGUCAUAAUUAAGCAAAGUUGAUUGUGCGUCUAGAGAUAGGGUGACAAGAUUUUGCCGAACUAGGGUGAAACCUAAUAAGGGAAUCCAUAGAUCGAGUUAAUGCAAUUCUAGGGUGUUAAUUAGAAAGAGAUUUCAAUUAUUCAACCUAGGGUUAGACGUUAUUAGUCUCGAGAGAGAUAAUAAUAUAACUUACGGAUUUCUACAGAUCAAGUCAAAUGAAUAAAUCGUCUGAUUCAGAGUCAAAUAACAAGUGAAGUCUAGGUGGAUUUGUCCUUAGGUAUUGUCUCAAUCAAUCGAAUUUUCCCAAAAGUAUUUUCCCAAGUUUUUCUUUCUGUGCAUUCUUAGUUAGUAAUUAGUUUAGACAACCAAACCUCUUAAAUUUUAGGCUAGAUAAUAAAAAGGAAGUAAAUACUAGUACUCGUAGUUCCUUUGGGUUCGACAAUCCAGUCUUGCUAAAUGAUACGUGAUAUUCGUGACAGGUUUUGAAUAUUUAUAGUGAAUUGUUAUUGAAACUAACUAUUAUCGCGAUGAAGGAAAGUGUACCUAUCGAACAAUAGUAUAGCUUUAGCAAGACCGGAUUAUCGAACCCAAAUGAUCUAAAAGUACUAGUAUAAACUUUCUCUUUAUUAUCUAGCCUAAAAUAAAAGGGUUUUGUUUAGCUAACUAAUUAAUUAAACUAAGAAAUCACAGAAAAGAAAAUUGGGGAAAUACUUUUUGGAAAACUCAAUUGAUUAAGACAAUACCUAAGGAAAAAUCCACCUAGACUUCACUUGUUAUUUGACUCUGAAUCGGACGAUUUAUUCAUUCAACUUGUUUCGUAGAGAUCCCUAAGUUAUAUUAUUAUCCCUCUCGAGACUAACAACGUCUAACCCUAGUUUGAAUAAUUGAAAUCUUUUUCUAAUUAACACCCUAGGGUUGCAUUAACUCGAUCUAUGGAUCCCCUUAUUAGGUUUCACCCUAAUCCGGAAAAAUCUUGUCACCCUAUCCUAGCCGCACAACCAAAUCCGCUUAAUUAUGACAAAUUUACUCUUAGAUAGGGUCUAUUCCUCCUCUGAAUAAGAGCUUAACUUGAAUCAAUGUCUAGGAAUAUCAAAACAAAAAUUAAGAACAAGACAAAUAUUUAUCAUACAAUUCAGAUAAUAAUAACAAAAUCCAUCUUAGGUUUCAUUCCCCUUAGGUAUUUAGGGGUUUUAGUUCACACUAAUGCAUGAAAACAUCUCAAAAGAAUAAAAAUAACAAAACAUAAGAAAACCCAAAACUCCUGAGCGAAUUUGAAAGGAGAUCUUCAGUCUUGAUGGUGAAUUCCGCUUCUGAGAUGGAUUGAUCGGCUUUUCUUGAGAAAUUCUUUACUUCCUCCUCUACGUCCCCUGUUUAAGUGCCUCCUUAGGUGUUUAAAUAGGCUUUGGAAUGCCUAAGAGCCCUCAAAAUUGGCCUUUUCCAAAUUGGACUAAACUUGGGCUUGGCAGGGACACGCCUGUGUGAUACGCCCGUGUGCGAUUGCUUAAGGCCGUAGUCAAGGAUGUUAAAUGGGCACGGGCGUGUGAUCUACCCGUUUAAAUCAUGCUUUGACCUUGCCAAAGGGACACGACCGUGUGGUCUGCCCGUGUGAGGAAGUCCAGGCCAUGUUGAUUUCGUACGUUGGUCCAUUUUCUCCGUUUUAGGCCCGUUUCUCUUUCCUUUCACUCUCCUAUGCUCACUUAAGUAUAAAACAUGAAAUUAAGGCAUUAGAAGCAUCGAAUUCACCAAUUUUAAGGAAAAAUCAUCCAUAAAAUGUGCUAAGCAUGAGAUAGAAAUAUGUAUAAAUUACGGUUUAUCAAAUACCCUCACACUUAAGCAUUUGCUUGUCUUCAAGCAAAAUCCUCAACUCAUAACCAAAAUAAAUAAUUCUCAACUUAUAAUUUCUAUCGAUAAUAUCUCAAAAUAAUCCGUAGGUAAUCAUACAUUGAAAAUUCAACUGAAAGAACAUCAAAGUUUCAAACAUUCCAAGUUGAGCAUUUUAUUAUGAAAACAUAGGUGUCUCCCCUCAUCUAAGUAAUUACCUUUGAUUCAAAAUAUCACAGAGUUUCACAUCCUCACUAAAGAUUCACUCAAAUCACUCGAGGUGUUUAAGUACAAUAAAUGAAGCACUCAAUAGUCAAUAAUGAAAAGUCAUUACCAUAGGCUUGCAUGAAAAUCAAAUCUCCACCACUAUAAAUUGAGAUGAAAAAUCAAUCAAAAGGUCUUUAGAGGGUUGUAACGUGGCUUUGGUUAGAGGGUGUGGUUACAAGCUGAAAGAAAGGGUUAGAAUCGAGAUUAAAUUGAAAAAUUGUGUAACUAGAAAAAUGUAAUUAAACAUCAAUUGAGUAUAAGUGAGCUUCUUUCUCAGAAGAUGGAAUUUAGAUAUUGCGGCUCAACAAUACUGAAUUAUUACUAAUAUGUAAGUAUGAAUUUUUUAUUUUUUUUAAGAACAAGUUAAAUACAUAGAAGAGCAAAACAUAGCUAAGCAAUUAGUUCAAAUCAAAUCUCGACAAAAAUAGGGAUCAAAUUAAGGGAUUUCAACAAUAAUGGUUUAUGGGUUAAUAUUGAGGGUAAAUCAAUUAAUGGCUUGUUAGGCUCAAAGGGGUUCACUAAGGGUUAAUUAUGAAGGUAGGCUUUUGUGGAGUGAGCGGGUUAAACCUAAGUGCCUUUAUCAUUUUGACAUAUCAACUCAAAUGGUGUGGUCUUGACAUGCAUAACAAGCAAGUUCUAGAAUAACAAUUCAAUACUAACGCACUUAAAGCAACAAUAAAAGUGAGCAUGAAAGAAAUGAUAGAUGCUCUAAAGGAUCAAAAUCUCACAAAAAUUAUGGCUUUGUGAUGUUUAAACCUGUGAAUUUCAACUCAAGAUAAUACCUAAACUUGGAAAAAACAACCUAAAAGUUUUUAAUUCUUCAAAAAUCAACUUAUCAUGCUUGAUUCCCUAAUGUCUUAAAGUUUAAACACUCAAUGCAUAAAUGCCUAUGUUUUAAUUCAAGACAUAUAAAUAAAAAUCAUAAAUUAAUUAAAAUUCAUUCUAAUAGUAAUAUAAAUGAUUUACAUGAGAGUAAGACACAAUUCAGGGAUUUCUAAUGAUGAUAUAAAAGACCCCCCAUAUUUAAUAUGUACAUUGCCCUCAAUGUACAAAGAUAGAUAUAAUGAAAAUGAUAGAUUCAUAAUCAUAAGAGAGGGAGAGAAGUGAAACUUCUUGAAUGAUGAAUGAAUUCCUUGAACUGGAGUUUUGGAGGAUAAUCGGCGUGAGAAUGGAGGAGGAUACUCCGGUGGUGGUAGAGGUUCAUUAGUCCAAAAGUCCUGCGCCAAAAGAAUAUUAUAUCUGGUGGUAGCUAUGGUCGUGGUCGAGCAGAACAUGACAAUCGUGGAGAACCUUUCCCGAUGGAGUUUUCAGUUCCUAUGUGAGGAUGAGCUUUGGAGCUUUUUCUGGCUGUGAUAAAAUCAGGAACUCUUUAAGAGGUAUACUGAAGCAUAAUUACUCGUAAUGAAAUAGUCGAAGAAUAAAAAUUGUAAAAACUCAGGAUGUAAUAGUAUUAAAAGGAAAUAAAAAAAUAAUUUCAAAAUAUAAAGAUAAAAAUAAAAUAAAAUAAAUAAUAGGUGUUUAUAAAGAAAUUGGGGCACAUGGCCGUGGGGCAUGUCCGUGUGCUCUAAGCUCAGCCCAUGCGUUUCGUAAUUUUAGAAAUUAGGCGCAUUGGUGUACACGGCCAUGUUACACGGCCGUGUCGAUCUCCGUUCACUUCUCCUACGCCCGUGUAUGCAAGGGCACGCCCGUGUUAAAUUGACAGGUUUACCCACGGUUUCAAAACAAGGGCGUGCUGAAUGCUCAUAUUAUUUUGGCAGUUUCGCCUACGGCCAUGUCGCACGACCUUGGCUGCUUAUCGCAUCCCGUGUUGGGAAAGAAAUUUUUGCCUGUUUUCACACGACCAUAUCGCACGGCCGUGUUGCAUCCCGUGGUAUGUGCACGGCCUACGGCACGCCUGUGUGCCUAGCCGUGUGGUUCUGAAAAGCCUGUGUUCAAUAAUUUGGUUAGUAUGUUAGAUUUUAAAGACUAAAAUUUAAAGAAAGUAAUAUUGUUAGUGCUCAGGUUACCUCCCGAGAAGCGCUUAUUUAUAGUCUAAGCUCGACUUACCUCUCUAGUGUGUGAUCAUGGAGGAUCGAGGAGUUUACACUCCUCAUCCCUGCUAUAAAUUUUAUCAACAUAAGGUUUAAGACGAGUACUAUUUACCUUGAACGUGCUGAAUUUAGGGUGAUUUACCUCGACUGUACCAUAUGGAAAAAUGCUAGUUACCAUAAGAGGGGUUUUUUCAUUUGGUUCAGAAGUGGCGAUUCGAGGAACUGCUGCAUCUAGUAGUACUUUGUCUCCAACUUGAAGUUGAUUUGGUGAGGCAUUGAGCUCAUUCUGAUGUAGUUUUGGUUUAUCAUGUUUUCUCGAUUUAAAUGUCAAUCAUUCAUCUAACUGCUCUAUUCAUAACCUUCGUUCUUCAUAGGUAGAUUCUUUGUUGUGGAUUGAACAUGGUUGAUGUGUGUCCUUCGAACUUAUUUCCUGCAAAACAGGUUGCACUGUAUGAUCAGUCUUAGUAGAACAAUUUGUACAAUCACCUUCAAUUUUUGAUGUGUUGUUCGGGUUGCGAGCUUGAAGGUUGAUUGUUUUGUCUCCUACACAAAGUGUGAGUUCACCUGUGCGAACGUCAAUAAUUGUUCUAGCAGUUGCGAAAAAGGGCUUUCCCAAAAUUAAAGGAACAUUACUUUCCUCUUCUAUGUCUAAAACUACAAAAUCAACUGGAAUAAAUUUGUUAGUUUUAACGAGUACGUCUUUAAUAAUAUCCCUAGGAAAUCUGACAGUUUUAUCUGCUAAUUGAAUGCUCAUCCUAGUUUGUUUGGGUUUCCUAGACCUAGUUGCUUAAACAAUUUGUAAGGCAUAACAUUGAUACUAGCCUCUAGAUCAGCCAACGCAUUAUUAACAUCUAAACUACCAAUUAAACAAGGAAUCGUAAAACUCCCUGGAUCUUUUAGUUUUUUGGGUAGCUUAUUCUGAAGAAUAGCUGAGCAAACUGCGUUAAGCUCCACAUGCGACCUUUCAUCUAACUUUCGUUUAUUUUCUAGAAGCUCUUUUAAAAAUUUGACUGCAUUCGGCACCUGCGAAAGUGCUUCAAUAAACGGUAGGUUAAUAUGUAGUUUCUUUAAAAGUUUAAGGAAUUUACAAAAUUGUUCGUCUGAGCGGUCUUUUCUUAUCGUAUUGGGGUAUGACACACGAGGUUUAUAUUCUGUGGUUACAGAUUUUUCUUCGUUUUGGCCUACCUCAUUCUUACCUUCGCUUACCACUGGUUUUGGCCUUGGUUUUGCCACUAACCCUUCCUCAUCUUGAAUGGAAAUUGCGUUGAGUUGCUCCUUUGGGUUAGAUUCAGUGUUGCUUGGCAGGCUACCUUAUGGUUGUUCGGAAAUAAACUUGGUGAGCUAUCCAAUCUGAGUUUCGAGCCCCUGGAUUGAUGUUUGUUGAUUUUUGAGUGCCGUCUCAGUAUUCUGAAAAUGAGUCUCUAACACCGAGAUGAAUUUGAUUAGCAUCUCCUCAAGGUUCAGCUUCUUUUCUUGCUGGCAAGGUUGUUGUUGAAAACCUGGAGGAUGUUGUGGCCUUUGAUUUCCUUGACCACCCCACGAGAAAUUGGGAUGGUUCCUCCAACCUGCAUUAUAAGUGUUACUAUAUGGGUUAUUUUGGGAUCUAGAGUUAUUGUUACCCAUAUAUUAGACUUGUUCCUCCUCGAUGCUAGGGUUGAAGGGUUGAUAUCCUGUGCAUGCUCCUCCUUCAUUCGAAUCGCACCUCAUCACUGGAUGUACCUGAGUAGAACCACACAAACCAUCAAUCUUUUUAUUUAAAAGCUCUACUUGGUUAGAUAGCAUAGUAACCGCGUCGAGGUUGAAAACACCAGCUGCUUUCGUUGGCUUUCUUUUCAUAACUUAUGACUGAUAGUUAUUCAGUGACAUCUCAUCAAUAAAUUCGUAAGCCACCUCAGGUGUCUUAUAAUUGAUAGUUCCUCCAGCGGCUGCAUCAAUCAUCUGCCGAGUUGAUAAACCGUAAUUGAUACAUAUUUUUACCCAUGCUUAACUCAUUUUAUGGAUGAUUUUUCCUUAAAAUUGGUGAAUUCGAUGCUCCUAAUGCCUUAAUUUCAUGUUUUAUACUUAGGUGAGCAUAGGAGAGCAAAAAGAAUGAGAAACGAGCCAAAAAUGGAGAAAAUGGGCCAAAUUACGAAAUCAACACGGCCUGGACCUCCUCACACGGGCAUACCACACGGCCGUGUCAAUCUGGCAGAAUCGAAGCACGACUCACACGGGCGUGUCCCUUCUGAGCCCAAGUUGAGUCCAAUUUAAAAAAACGCCAAUUUUGAGGAUUUUUAGGCAUUCCAAAGCCUACAAAUACACCCUAGAGGACUAGGAAAAGGGAGACACAGAGAGAGAUGAAGGAAUUACUCGAAGAAAGCCGAUUGUUCCAUCUCAGAAGCCGAAUUCAUCAUCAAGACUGAAGAUCUCCCCUCAAUUUCCCUUCAGGAGUUUUGGGUUUUCUUUAUGUUUUGUAUUCGUUAUUCUUCUAAGAUGCUUUCCUCUUUAGUUAUGAACUAAAUCCCCUAAAUACCUAAGGGGAAUGAAACCUAAGACGAAACUUGUUAUUAUUUUUUGAAUUGUAUGAUAAAUAUUUAACUUGUUCUUAAUUAUGUGUUCUUAAUUCUUGUUUUGAUGUCCCAAGAUACCGAUUCGAGAUAAGCUCUUAUUCAGAGGAGGAAUAGACCCCGUCUAAAAGUACAUUUGUCAUAAUUAAGCAGAGCUGUUUGCGCGCCUAGACAUAGGGUGACAAGAUUUUGCCGGAUUAGGGUGAAACCUAAUAAGGGGAUCCAUAGAUCGAGUUAAUGCAACCCUAGGGUGUUAAUUAGAGAAAAAUCUCAAUUAUUCAAUCUAGGGAUUAGACGUUAUUAGUCCUGAAUAGGAAUAAUAACAUAACUUAGGGAUCUGUACGGGACAAGUUAAAUGAAUAAAUCGUCCGAUUCAGAGCCAGAAUAACAAGUAAAGACUAGGUGGAUUUUUCCUUAGGUAUUGUCUUAAUUCAAUCAUUUUCCAAAAGUAAUCCCCUAACUCUACUUUCUGUAGAUUCUUAGUUUAGAUAAUUAGUUAGUUAAAACAAAACCCCCUAUUUUUAGGCUAGAUAAUAAAAAGACAAUCAUUUCUAGUACUUUUAGUUCCUUUGGGUUCGACAAUCCGGUCUUGCUAAAAUUAUACUACUGUUCGAUAGGUACACUUGCCUACAUCGUGAUAAUAGUUAGUUUCAAGAACAAUUAAUUAUAAGUAUUUAAAACCUGUCACACGAAAAUCACGAUCACGAGUCCAAGGAUUCAGGCUAUUGUGGAACGUUUGAACCUAUAGCCAAAGCAGUAACGCAUGGUGAGGGCACCUUCUCUAAAGGUCCUUGUAUCUCUCCAAUGCAUCAUAGAGUGUUUCUAAAUCCAUCUGCACAAAAGAAGAGAUAUCAUUACAUAAUUUGGCUGUUUUAGCCGGUAGAAAAUAUUUUAAUAAAAAUUAUUCGGUCAUUUGUUCCCAAGUAGUGAUUGACCCUCUUGGUAACGAGUCCAACCAUUAUUUAGCCUUAUUCCUUAAUGAAAAGGGAAACAAUCGAAGGCGAAUAACAUCAUCAGAAACGCCAUUAAUUUUAAACGCCCAUGUUAUUUUGGCAGUUUCACCCACGGCCAUGUCGCACGGCCGUGGCUACUUAUCGUAUCCCGUGUUGGGGAAGAAAUUUUUGCCCUAUUUUCACACGGCCGUAUUGCACGGCUGUGUUGCAUCCCGUGGUAUGUGCACUACCUACGGCAAGCCCGUGUGCCUGGCCGUGUGGUUCUGAAAAGCCUGUGUUCUGAUUUAGUUCGUAUGUUAGAUUUUAAAAACUAAAAGUUAAAGAAAGUAAUAUUGUUAGUGCUUGGGUUGCCUCCCGAUAAGGGCUUAUUUAUAGUCUAAGCUCGACUUACCUCUCUGGUGUGUGAUCAUGGUGGAUCGAGGAGUUUACACUCCUUAUCCCUGCUAUAAAUUUUAUUAACAUAAGGUUUAAGAUGAGUAUAUUUACCUUGAACGUGCCAAAUUUGGGGUGAUUUACCUCGACUGUACCGUAUGGAAAAAUGCUAGUUACCGCAAGAGGAGUUUCUUCAUUCGGUUUAAAAGUGGCGAUUCAAGGAUUUGCUACAUCUAGUAGUACUUUGUCUCCAACUUGAAGUUGAUCUAGUGAGGCAUUGAGCUCGUUCUAGUGUAGUUUUGGUUUAUCAUGUUUUCUCGAUUUAAAUGUCAGCCAUUCAUCUAACUCCUCGAUUCGUAACCUUCGUUCUUCAUGGGUAGAUUCUUUGUUGUGGAUUGAACAUUGCUGAUGUGUGUCCUUUGAACUUAUUUCCUGCAAAAUAGGUUGCACUGUAUGAUCAGUCUUCGUAGAACAAUUUGUACAAUCACCUUCAAUUUUCGAUGUGCUGUUCGGGUUGCGAGCUUAAAGGUUGAUUGUUUCGUCUCCUACACGAAGUGUGAGUUCACCUGUGCCAACGUCAAUAAUUGUUCUAGCAGUUGCUAAAAAGGGCCUUCCCAAAAUUAAAGGAACAUUACUAUCAUCUUCUAUGUCUAAAACAACAACAUCAACUGGGAAUAUAAAUUUUUCAAUUUUAACGAGUACGUCUAACCCUUAUGUUGAAGACAAUACCUAAGGAAAAAUCCACCUAGACUUCACUUGUUAUUUCACUCUGAAUCGGACGAUUUAUUCAUUCAACUUGUUCCGUAUAAAUCCCUAAGUUAUAUUAUUAUCUCUCUCGAAACUAAUAACGUCUAACCCUAGUUUGAAUAAUUGAAAUCUCUUUCUAAUUAACGCCUUAGAGUUGCAUUAACUUGAUCUAUGGAUCCCCUUAUUAAGUUUCACCCUAAUCCAGCAAAAUCUUGUCACCUUAUCUUUAGGCGCGCAACCAACUCCACUUAACUAUAACAAAUUUACUCUUAGAUAGGGUCUAUUCCUCCUCUGAAUAAGAGCUUAACUUGAAUCAAUGUCCAGGAAUAUCAAAACAAGAAUUAAGAACACAUAAUUAAGAACAAGUCAAAUAUUAAUCAUACAAUUCAGAUAAUAAUAACAAGAUCCGUCUUAGGUUUCAUUUCCCUUAGGUAUUUAGGGGUUUUAGUUCAUACUAAUGAAAGAAAACAUCUCAAAAGAAUAAAAAUAACAAAACAUAAGAAAACCCAAAACUCCUGAGGGAAUUUGAAGGGAGAUCUUUAGUCUUGAUGGUGAAUCCAGCUUCUGAGAUGGAUCAAUCGGCUUUCCUUGAGCAAUUCCUUGCUUCCUCCUCUGCGUCCUCUAUCUAACUGCCUCCUCAAGUGUUUAAAUAGGCUUUGGAAUGCCUAAGAGCCCUCAAAAUUGGCCUUCUCCGAAUUGGACUAAACUUGGGUCGGUAGGGAAACGUCCGUGUGCGAUUGCUUAAGGCCGUGGUCAAAGCUGUUAAAUGGGCACGGACGUGUGAUCUACCCAUGUAAAUCAUGCUUUGACCUUGCCAAAAGGACAUGACCGUGUGGUGUACCUGUGUGAGGAAGUCCAAGCCGUGUUGAUUUCGUACAUUGGCCCAUUUUCUCCGUUUUUGGCCCGUUUCUCGUUCCUUUCACUCUCUUAUGCUCACCUAAGUAUAAAACAUGAAAUUAAGGCAUUAGGAGCAUCGAAUUCACCAAUUUUUAGGAAAAAUCAUCCAUAAAAUGUGCUAAGCAUGGGAUAGAAAUAUGUAUAAAUUACGGUUUAUCACUGAACUAUACUACUGUUCGGUAGGUACACUUGCCUUAAUCGUGAUAAUAAGUUAGUCUCAAGAACGUUUCAUUUAUAAAUCUUUAAAACCUGUUACGAAUAUCACGCAUCAAGUUUUUGGCGCCGUUGCUGGGGAACUAGGAUAUUAGGAAAACUCAAUUUUUAUUACUUUAGCCACUUUAAUUUUAUUACAAUUUAAAUUUUUAUUUUCUUUUCUAAUUUUUCUCUUAUUUCCUUCUAACAGGUUUUUCUAGUUUAUGACCAGAAGAAACCCGUCAGGACCACUGGUUUUUGACGGUGAGAUCGACCGCACAGUCUGUAGAAAUUGGAGAGAAAUAAGGUGAAGCCUAAGAUACACAGAGGACGAGCAAAAGGACGAUUUUUCAACCACAACCGAGGAGAUGGCUAAAAACCAAGAAAAUCUGCUACCUCCUGAGAUUGUUGUUAAUCAAAAUCCUGCUUCGCGCACUAUGUAUGAUUAUGAUAAACCUUCUUUAACAGGAACUGAAUCGAGCAUAGUUAGACCGGCUGUAGCCGCAAAUACUUUUGAACUGAAACAGAAUACAAUUCAAAUUAUACAACAGUUUGUUCAGUUUGAUGGUUUGCAGGAUGAGGAUCCCAACGCUCACUUGGCAAACUUUUUGGAACUAUGUGAUAAAUUUAAAAUUAAUGGCAUUUCUAAUGACGCCAUUCAUCUUCGGUUAUUACCUUUUUCAUUAAGAAACAAAGUUAAACAGUGGUUCAACUCGUUGCCACGGGGGUCAAUCACUACUUGGGAACAAAUGACCGAAAAAUUUUUAUUAAAAUAUUUUUCGUCGGCUAAAACGGCUAAAUUACGUAAUGAUAUUUCUUCCAUUGUACAGAUGGAUUUAGAAACACUCUACGAUGCAUGGGAGAGAUACAAAGACCUCUUGAGAAGAUGCCCUCACCAUGGGUUACAGCUUUGGCUACAGGUUCAAAGCUUUCAUAAUGGCCUGAAUCCUUCGACUUGACAAAUGGUUGACACAGCUGCUGGCGGAACCAUAAAUAAUAAGACACCUGAAGAUGCCUAUGAAUUUAUAGAGGAGAUGUCACUGAAUAACUAUCAGUGGCAAGUCAUGAGGACAAAGCCAAUGAAAAUAGUCAGCGUUUAUAACGUCGAUACGGUCACCAUGCUCUCUAAUCAGGUAGAACUCUUAAAUAAGAAAAUUGAUGGUUUCCUUAGUUCUUCACAGGUUCACCCAGUAAUGCAAUGCGAAGCAACUGGAGGCGGAUCAAGCAGUUCAGAAUACCCACCUUAUGGCCACAACAUGGAGAACGAACAGUUAAAUUAUAUGAGUAACAAUCCUUGAUCUCAAAACAAUACCUAUAGCAGUACUUACAAUGCAGGUUGGAGGAACGACCCUAAUUUUUCAUGGGGAGGCCGAGGGAAUCAGAGACCACCACCUCCAGGCUUCCAACAACCACCCUACCAACAAGAGAAAAAACUGAACCUUGAGGAGAUGCUAACAAAAUUCAUCUUAGUGUCAGAAACUCAUUUUUAGAAUACCGAGACCGCACUCAAAAAUCAACAAGCAUCAAUCCAGGGGCUCGAAACUCAGAUUGGAUAGCUCUCCAAGUUGAUUUCUGAAUGACCACAAGGUAGCCUGCCAAGCAACACUGAAUCUAACCCAAGGGAGCAACUCAACGCUAUUGCCAUUCAAGAUGAGGAAGGGCUAGUUGCAGAACCAAGGCCAAAAACGGUAGUAAGCAUAGGUAAGGAUGAGGUAGGCCACAAUGAGCCAAAGCCAGUGAUUACAGAAUAUAAACCUCGCGUGCCAUACCCCAAUGCGACAAGGAAAGACCGCUCAGACAAACAAUUUGGUAAAUUUCUUAAACUUCUAAAGAAACUACAUAUUAACUUACCAUUUAUUGAAGCCCUUUCGCAGAUACCAAACGCAAUCAAGUUUUUAAAGGAGCUUUUAGCAAAUAAACAGAAGUUAGAUGAAGCAUCGCAUGUGGAGCUGAACGCGGUCUGCUCAGCCAUUCUACAUAAUAAGCUGCCUAACAAACUAAAAGAUCCAGGGAGUUUUACAAUUCCUUGUUUAAUUGGUAGUUUAGAUUUUAAUAAUGCGUUGGCUGAUUUAGGGGCUAGUAUCAAUGUUAUGCCUUACAAAUUAUUUAAGCAACUAGGUCUAGAGAAACCCAAACAAACGAGGAUGAGCAUUCAAUUAGCAGAUAAAACUAUCAGAUUUCCUAAGGGUAUUAUUGAAGAUGUACUCGUUAAAAUCGACAAAUUUAUAUUCCUAAUUGAUUUCGUUGUUCUAGACAUAGAGGAGGAUAGCAACGUCCCCUUAAUUUUAGGAAGGCCCUUUUUAGCAACCGCCAGAACAAUUAUUAACGUUGGCGUAGGUGAACUCACACUUCGUGUGGGAAACGAAACAAUCACCCUUCAAGCCCGUAAUUCUAAUAACACAUCAAAAAUCGAAGGUGAUUGUACAAAUCAUUUGGCUAAAACUAACAACAUAGUGCAACCUUCUUUGCAGAAAACAGGUUCGAAGAACAUACAUAAGCCAAGCAACAACAAAGAACCUAUCCAUGAAGAACGAAGGUUACAAAUCAAGGAGCUAGAUGAAUGGUGGACACAUAAACCGAGAAAACACGAUAAACCAAAACCACGCCAUGAGGAGCUUAAUUCUUCCAAAAAUUAGCUUAAAGUUGGAGACAAAGUACUACUCGAUGCAGCAGAUCCUCGAAUCGCCACUUCUGAACCAAAUGAAGAAACCCCUCUUAUGGUAAUUAGUAUUUUUCCAUACAGUACGGUCGAGGUAAACCAUUCCAAAUUUGGCACGUUCAGGGUAAAUGGUACUCAUCUUAAACCUUAUGUUGAUAAAAUUGAUAGCAGGAAUGAGGAGUGUAAACUCCUUGAUUCACCAUGAUCACGCACCAGAGAAGUAAGUCGAGCUUAGACUAUAAAUAAGCGCUUCUCUGGAGGUAACCCGAGCACUAACAGUAUUAAUUUCUUUAAAUUUGAGUUUUUAACAUCUAACGUACUAACCGAAUCAUGGUACACAGACUCUCUAAAUACCACACGGCCAGGCACACGAGCGUGCCUUAGGCCAUGCGAAAACAGGGCAAAAUUUUUCCAACACAGGAAGCGAUAAAGUCGCCAUGGCUGUGCGACAUGGUCGUGGAUGAACCUGCCAAAACAACACGGGCGUUCAACACGCCUGUGCCUCGAAACUGUAGACGAACCUGUCAAACUGGCACGCCCAUCCGUGGGUGAACCUGUCAAGUUAACACGAGCGUGGGCCUAUGUACACGGGCGUGGGAGAAGCAAACGAAGUGAGACACGGCUGUACGACACGGCCAUGUGCACUCACACGCUCGAGCAACACGAGCAUGGGUCAAAUGUCAGACGCGCUCAAAUUCAAAAUUCACGAAACACACGGGCAAAAAUUAGGGCACACGGGCAUGUCCCACGGCCGUGUCCCUCAAAAUCUAUAAAAACCCCUCACUAUUCAUCACCUCCCUCCCCCAAAAUCCCUAACCCUAGCCACUGCAACACCACACGCCCUGCCCCCAUGCCCGUGCGCCGUCUACAACACCGAUUUCAACGCCUCAAGUUCCUUAUUUUUGCAUUUGUUUACUCUUUUCUCUCUAUCUCCUUUGAAUAUUUUGUUUAUUUCAUGAUUUCUCUGCUCUAUUUGCUUAUUUUAAAUGAAUUCUGAUAGUUAGAACAAUAGAAUACUUUUGCUUGUUUAUAAGAAUUUUGUCAUUUUAGUUACUCAAUUAUGCUCUACUUUUUCAUUUUUCCUAGUUUCAUGAAAUUUUUGCUUCCCAUAUACAUUCAUUCAUAUUCCUGUUACAUUAUUCCAAUAAUACUAUAACUUGAUACAUUUAGUAGUUUUUUUUACUUCAUCCACUACGUAAGUCUCAUGAAAUCUUCAUAUUUAGUUUUGUGCUUCUGUGCUAUUUUUGGGAUGUAUUGGUUGAGUUUCGAUUUUUCAACACAGGUACAAUGUCAUCAUCACGUGGUAUGAAGACUGAUGUUCCCACCUCGAAGAAGCGGAAAGGAGUAGCGUCAUCCUCGGGUCCCAUCUCAAAAAAUCGACACCCCUUUCUCCAAUUUCCACCAGGAAAUCAGGAGGAACUUUUUCAGAUACUUCGAGCCUGACCUUUAAGUGUGGGCCGCUGCAUUGACUGGACUGUGCUUGAACAAGUUCAGUUGGCUGACGAUGCCCGAGCCCUUCUAACAACCGAUCCAUGGAAACUCUUCUUUGCGAUCAUCGAGCCAACGUACCUUGAGCUUACACUUGAACUUUGCUCGACCUUCUAUGUUCAAAAUGUCAUGACCAACUUCGAUGACCCGAGAAUGGUCCAGUUCCGUCUCGGCGAUUUAGUCCACUAGUUAAGUGUGCCCGAGUACGGUAUCGCUUUGGGCCUUUAUACGGAGGAGUUCAUGGAAGACACCCUCCAUCGCCACAUCCACUACUCUCCUUCGAAGUGUUGGGAUGCUUUGGUUCCAAGCUCAGCUUCCUACGAUCCCAGUCACUCCAAGGCAUCGGCUCUCUCUCCCUCCUUGAGGUACCUACACGCCAUCUUGGCACACACUCUGGCAGGAUGGUGAGAGAGCACCGGCAUCGUCAACACUCACGACGCCUACGUUCUAUGUAGUAUGGCGAAUAGGCACAUCUUCGACCACGCCUACUUCAUUGCCCUUGCCAUUUGCCACCAGACGGAGCGAUAUUGGAGGGGGUCAUCUCCAUUGGCCCCUACGUAACUCAGUUGGCUCGACACUUUGGGCUCCUCAACAUAGCGGCCCAAUCAUCCUUCCUCACUCUCAUCGGCCAAAUGUCUCCACAGGGCAUUUCGAGCAUGUUAUAUAUGAGGAUGAUCGAGGAGCGCCGAGGAACCUACCCUCCUCAAUACCGCCUCGCCCAGUCCACCGAGGAGGAAGACCCUGAAGACAUUACUGAUGAUGUCCCUCCAUGUCACGAGGACCCACCGUCUCAACCACCACCUCCUCAUUGUCCAGUUCAUGCAGCGGCUUCAUACACUGACAUCCCUGAGCACCUUACUCAAUUCGAGCAACAGUAUUUUCGGCGCUUCGAUAACAUUGAUGCUACUCUGCAGUAGAUUUGUCAGCACUUCCACAUCUUAUCGCCACCCCCACCUCGCGAACCAUCUGGCGAUGAAGAUGUUUAAAAACUUUUAUUUAUUAUUUUAUGUUGUUCCUUUUAUUUUCUUUUAAGACUACUUUUUAGUUUUCUUUCACCUUAUUUUUAUUAGGUUUUAUAAUUAUUAUUUUACAAUUUUUAAUUUCGGCUAAUUCAUUACGAGUACUUAUUCUUCCUUAUAUAUUUCCUAAAAAAGUUCCUGAUUCUAUCACAGUUAUAAAGAGCUCCAAAGCUCACUAUUACUCAAGAACUUGAAACUCCAUUGAGAAAGGUUUUUCAUGACUGCUAUGCCCUGCUCGACCACGACCAUAGCCAACUUGAGAUAUAAUAUUCUUUUGGCGCAGUAUUUGUGGAACCCAACCUCUACCACCACCGGAGUAUCCUCCUUCACCCUCAUCAUUGCUUUAUUCAAUUAUUCUCCAUAACCUUAAUUCAAAGAGUUCAUUCAUCAUUCAGGAAGUUUCACUUCUCUCCCUAUCUUAUGAUUAUCAAUCUAUCUUUUUCAAUAUAUCUAUCUUUGUACAUUGAGGGCAAUGUACAUCUUAAGUGUGAGGGGUCUUUUAUAUCGUCAUUAGAAAUCCCUGAAUUGUGUCUUAUUCUCAUGUGAUCUUCUCAUGCCAUGAUUAGAAUGAAUUUUGAUUAAUUUAUGAUUUUUAUUGAUAUGUCUUGAAUUAAAACUUAAAAAUUCAUGAAUUGAUUGUUUAAACUUUAAGAUAUUAAAGAAUCAAGCAUGAUAAGUUGACUUUUGAAUUUAAAAUUUUAUAGGUUGUUUCUCCCAAGUUUAGGUAUUAUCUUGAGUUGAAAUUCACAGGUUUAAACAUCAAAAAGCCGUAAUUUUUGUGAGAUUUUGAGCAUUUAGAGCACAUACUAUUUCUUUCAUGCUCACUUUUAUUGUUGCUUUGAGUGUGUUAGUAUUGAAUUGUUAUUCUAGAACUUCCUUGACUAUGCAUGUCAAGACCACACCAUUUGAUUUGAUAUGUCAAAAUGAUAAAGGAACUUAGGUUUAACCCACUCACUCCACAAAACCCUACCUUCAUAAUAACCCUUAGUAAACCCCUUUGAGCCUAACAAGCCAUUAAUUGAUUUACCCUCAAUAUUAACCCAUACACCAUUAUUAUUAAAAUCCCCUAAUUUGAUCACUAUUUUUGUCGAGAUUUGAUUUGAACUAAUUGCUUAGCUAUGCUUUGCUCUUCUAUGUAUUUGACUUGCUUUAAAAAAAAUCAUACUUACAUAUUAUUAGUAAUUUGGUAUUGUUGAGCCGCAGUAUCUAAAUUCCAUCUUCUGAGAAGAAGCUCACUUGUACUUAAUUGAUGUUUAAUUACUUUUUCUAUUUAGAAAAUUUUCCAAUUCAAUCUCGAUUCUAACCUUUUCUUUCAGCUUGUGACCACACCCUCUAACUAAAGCCAUGUUACAACCCUUUAAAGACCUUUUGAUUAAUGUUCAUUUCAAUAUAUAGUGGUAGAGAUUUGAUUUUCAUGCAAGCCUAUGGUAAUGACUUUUCAUUAUUGACUAUUGAAUGCUUCAUGUAUUGUCCUUAAACACCUCGAGUGAUUUGAGUGAAUCUUUAGUGAGGAUGUGAAACUCUGUUAUAUUUUGAGUCGAAGGUAAUUACUUAGAUGAGGGGAGACACCUAUGCUUUCAUGAUAAAAUACUCAACUUGGAAUGUUUUGGAACUUUGAUGUUCUUUCAAUCAAAUUCUCAAUGUAUGAUUACUUAUGGAUUAUUUUGAGAUAUUAUUAAUAGGAAUUAUAAGUUAAGAAGAAUUUAUUUUGAUUGUGAGUUGAGGGUUUUUCUUGAGGACAAGCAAAUGCUUAAGUGUGGGGGUAUUUGAUAAACCGUAAUUUAUACAUAUUUUUACCCCAUGCCUAACGUAUUUAUGGAUGGUUUCUCCUUAGAUUUGGUGAAUUCAAUGCUCCUAAUCCUUUAAUUUCAUGUUUUAUACUUAGGAGAGCAUAGGAGAGUAAAAAGAGCGAGAAACAGUCGAAAACGGAGAAAAUAGACCCACAUGGGAAAAAAACAUGGCCUGGACUUCCUCACACGGCCGUGUCAAUUUGGCAGGAUCAAAGCACGAUUUACACGGGUGGAUCACACGCCCGUGCCAAUUUAACAGCCUUGACCACAACCUUCAAUAAUCGCACACGGGUGUGUCACACGGGCGUGUCCCUACCGAACCCAAGUUUAGUCCAAUUUGAAAAAGGACAAUUUUGAGGGUUCUUAGGCAUUCCAAAGCCUAUUUUAAAACUUGAUGAGGCACUUAGGAAAGGGGAGGCAGGGGAGGAAGCAAGAAUUACUCAAGGAAAGCCGAUUGAUCCAUCUCAAGAGUCGGAUUCAUCAUCAAGACUGGAGAUCUCCCUUCAAGUUCCUUCAAGAGUUUUGGGUUUUCUUAUGUUUUGUUAUCUUUAUGCUUUUGAGAUGUUUUCUUUCAUAAGUAUGAACUAAACCCCUAUAACUAAGCGGAAUGAAACCUAAGACAGAUCUUGUUAUUAUUAUCUGAAUUGUAUGAUAAAUAUUUGACUUGUUCUUAAUUCUUGUUUUGAUAUUCUAGGAUAUUGAUUCAAGUUAAGCUCUUAUUCAGAGGAGGAAUAGACCCUGUCUAAGAGUAAAUUUGUCAUAAUUAAGCAGAGUUGAUUGCGCGUCUAGAGAUAGGGUGACAAGAUUUUGCCGGAUUAGGGUGAAACCUAAUAAGGGAAGCCAUAGAUCGAGUUAAUGAAAUUCUAGGGUGUUAAUUAGAAAGAGAUUUCAAUUAUUCAACCUAGGAUUAGACGUUAUUAGUCUCGAGAGAGAUAAUAAUAUAACUUAGGGAUUUCUACGGAUCAAGUCAAAUAAAUAAAUCGUCUGAUUCAGAGUCAAAUAACAAGUGAAGUCUAGGUGGAUUUGUCCUUAGGUAUUGUCUCAAUCAAUCGAAUUUUCCCAAAAGUAUUUUUCCAAGUUUUUCUUUCUGUGCAUUCUUAGUUAGUAAUUAGUUUAGACAACCAAACCUCUUAAAUUUCAGGCUAGAUAAUAAAAAGGAAGUAAAUACUAGUACUCGUAGUUCCUUUGGGUUCGACAAUCCGAUCUUGUUGAACUAUACUACUAUUCGAUAGGUACACUUGCCUUAAUCGUGAUAAUAAGUUAGUCUCAAGAACGUUUCAUUUAUAAAUCUUUAAAACCUGUUACGAAUAUCACGCAUCAGUAAUAGAUUUUAAAAACAUAAUUAUGUAUACAAAUAGAUUUAAAAGAAAUUAUAUGUAUAAAAUAACAUGGAUUUAAUAAUGUAUAUAGAUCAAACAUAUGUACCAAUAUAUAUAUAUAUAAUAAUUUAAAUAAUACAUAAGAUAUGUAGGAUUUUCCUUUAAAUAACAAAGAUAUAUAAUAAAAUAUGUGAAUAGAUUUAAAAGAAAUUAUAUGUAUAAAAUAACAUAAGAUUAAUAAUAUACAUAGAAUAAAAUUAACUUUAUCAUGAAUUAUAUAUAUAAUAAUGUAUAAGAACAUUUAUAUAAAAUAUUAUACAAAAUGUUAAAAUGAUAUGAUAUAAAAAUUUUACAAUAAUGACUUUAAAAAACAAAAUACAAUUAUCAAAGUAGCUCAAAAUAUAAAAAUAAGUAAACAAGAAUUAAAAAAAAAUGAAUGUGAAAUGAAUCUAAAAAAAUGAUGAAAAAAAAUUAAUUAAAAUAAAAUUAAAAUAAAAGAGAUAAUUUACAAAUGAAAUAAACUUUUGAAAUUAAAAUGAGGACUAACGCGCAAUGUGCGUGAACGUGCGAGGAUUAAAAAUGCAAUUAUUCCAAGUUUCUGAAUGCACCAUGUAAACAUGGAUCAAAUCAAAACAGCACACAAGUGUUAGGAAAGAAUUAAAAACAAAAGAAACAUAAAUGUGACCUAAUUAGAUAACGGCAAAACAAGGAGGGACUAAAUGCGAAAUUAACCCAAAUCAAUUAGGUGCGCGGAUCCUCCCCAGGUCGGGUCGGUUCAUGCGUGGGUUCCUCCAUCACCUAAACGGCACCGUUUCAUUAGCUGUUAAAGUUGGAAAAAUUUUCUUUGAAAAUAUUAUUUGCCAUUUUCUAAAGAACAGCCGUCAUCCUUACUAGGGUUUCGGCCUCUCAAAGGCUACCCUUCAAUGCUUGCUACACCACCAAAUAUGGUGGCCGACGCACAAAAGAUAGCCUGGAUCUGACCGACCAUGAUCACGAAAGUCAGGUAAGUGUUCAUUUCUUUCCCUAUUUUUAUUUUUAUACAUUAACAACAAUAGAAGAAGAUAAAAAAAUGAAAGAUCUAGAUGAAAUCAACUUUAAAUCUAUUUAAAAAAAUAAGAGGGAUAGAUCUAUCAAAACGAAGAGGAUUUCAAUACCUCCUUUUAUCUUUUUUGCAAUCACAAAGUAAAUCCACCCUUGAAAUCAAACGAAAGCCAGAUCCACUAAAAAAAUAAACUCAACCCUCUGCUAAAUUUAUUUGAUUUUUUUGUAUUCCUAUAUGCCUUCGUAAUCCAUUUACAGUAGAAAUGAUGGUUUUUUAUAGCCGAUUUACAGCAUAAAUAAAAGAAAAAUAAAAAUUCUAUUUUCUUGCUGUCAUUUGCUGGCUUAUUUUUUCUGUUAUUGGCAUUACUGCUUUUGUUAUUCUUCUCGCAGGUUCUAUGGCCAUACGGAGCAGAAAUCGCUCGUAGUGACGUGGAGGAGGCUUGAAUGCUGCGAUACUGGUUUCGUGUGAGGCUGUUGCGCACUUGAGCUUGGUGGCUUAGGGUUUCCAGAGACCUCACCUGUCCGGGCCAUUUGGGCCAGACAAUCGGGCUAUUUUAGAAGUGGAUUGUUAAUUUUGUUAGGGAUUUGGGUUUAGGUUUAUUAGGUUGGGCUUAUUUGGGCUUUUAUUAUUGGGUUAUAAGUGAUUUGUAAAUGGACUUUGAUGAUGAACUUUUUUUGGUUUUUUUUUAAUUUUUUUUAAUUUCUGGUUUUUUUCUAACGGGCCUGGGCGAAAUGGGCCUAUUACAGCUAUUUUCUAGGAUUUUCGUUAUACACCUGGAAAUUUUUUGACGCAAAUCCAAUCACGAAGUAUUUAGAACCUAAAAUCAGUAUUUAGAGACAACCACUUCCUACGAGAAUUAAUAUCCCGAAGGAAUGUUAAAUUCGAGAUUCUCACCUAAAUCAACAGAUUUCACAACAAUUAAACUCUUGCCACAAUAAGAAAAACAACACACUCAUAAAACUUAAUAUAAAACACUUACCCACUUGAUCGAAAAACUAACAGCAUGAAGAACUUAGAUUCAAAAGGAGUGAACAGGCAAGGGCGAAAUUAACCAGAAAGGAUAUAGAAUGAUGAAAAAAAAUUAUUGAAACAAAAAACAACCAAAGAACAAAGAAAAAAACGUGAAACGGGAAAAUAAAGGAAAAGAAUGUGAAACAAGAAGUGGGAAAAAAUAGGAAGAUUUUGUUGGGAUUUUUAAAAAAUAAUAAAAUAUUAAAGAAAAUAAAACUAAAACCAUCUCAACUACCUGAUUUUUUUUUUAUCAAAUUAACUAAAGAUAAAAUUUGAUUAAAUCACAACCACUACAUGGUUAGCUCAAACAAAAAUAGCAAAAAUUUUGCGACUUCGCUCAUGCAAAGAUUCGAGCAAAAAAUUAUAGGUUAAGCUAAUACUUUACCACUGAAUUAGCAGGCUCAUUCUAAUACAAAUUGAACAAAAAAAUAAUUUUUAAGUCAAAUAGACAAAGAUAGGACUAGGAACAAAAAUAACCAAUUUUUUUUCAAAAGAGAGAUUUGAACCCAUAACCUCAAACACUCAAUCAAUGCUCUUAACCACUAAAACAAAUAAUUAAUUUUAAAAAAAUUAACAAAUAAAAUAUUCAAAUUUUUGGGGCAUUAGAGUUAAAUAUUAAACACAUUAUAUGUGCAAACUUGUUGUACACAAAUAGAGAACAUAGAUAAAAUUAAUAUAUGAAUUUGAUUCAUACAAAAUAUUAAUUUUAUAUAUUUUACCGAAUUUAUUAAUAUAAACAGUUAUAUUAAUUGAUUUUGGUCAAAAUAUAAAAGACAUGGAAAUUAAGAUUUUUUUGGAAAGAAUAUAAUUAAUAUAUGAAUUUAAUUCAUACAAAAUAUUAAUUAUAUAUAUUUUACUGAAUUUAUUAAUAUAAACAGUUAUAUUAAUUAAUUCCUGUCAAAAUAUAAAAGACAUAAAAAUUAAUAUUCUUUUGGAAGGAAUAUAAUUAAUAUAUGAAUUUGAUUUAUACAAAAAAUUAAUUGUAUACAUUUUACCGAAUUUAUUAAUAUAAAUAGUUAUAUUAAUUAAUUUCAGUCAAAACAUAAAUGACAUGGAAAUUAAUAUUAUUUUGGAAAGAAUAUAAUUAGCAUAUGAAUUUAAUUCAUACAAAACAUUAAUUGUAUAUAUUUUGUUGAAUUUAUUAAUAUAAACAAUUAUAUUAAUUUAAUUUCGGUCAAAAUAUAAAAAACAUGAAAAUUAAUAUUCUUUUGGAAAGAAUAUAAUUCAUUUGUCUAAGUUCCUAUUUUUCUUCUCUAUUAAUAAUAAGGGAAUAAUCAUAUAUUCUUUUGAAAAGAAUAUAAUUCUUUUUUCUAACUUUCCAUUUGUCUUCUCUAUUAAUAAUAAGGGAAAAAUCCUAUAUUCUUUUGAAAAGAAUAUAAUUAUUUUUUUCUAACUUUCCAUUUGUCUUUUCUAUUAAUAAGAGAAUAAUCCUGGGUUUCCUUUUUAAUAUGUGAUAUCAAAGAGGAUAAAAGGAUGAUAAUCUUUUAGUGUGUUAAGGUUACCAAGUUAAUAAAAUAAAGGAUUAGAAACCGUUUUUAAUUCUUUCUGAAAAAUUCAAGAGAAAGUGGUUGUUCUUUUUUACGAGGUGGACUAUGUAGAGGUCGAGAUAUUUUUCGUUGUGCCUUGGAAUUGACAUCGAAUCAGCAACAUCCUUUUAACGGUUUCAGUAAAGAAGUUAUAUUUCAACCUGCUUCGUUCAUCGUACAUGGAUCUGUGGUUGAUGAUUGUCGAAAUAAUUUUUCCGCUACGCCAUGAGGCGUACUAGCAAUCCAACAGAGAAUAUGGACCGCAUUGAGCAACCCCGACACCAACAAAGGGUGCCUCAACGUUACAUCCUUCCGGACAACUCUGAGGUUCCAACAUUUUUUAUCCUUGUAAAUUUAAUUAUUGGUUGUUGUAUAUUUUUGGAAACAACAUUCACAUUACAUUAUUGUAUAUAAUUUUGGUCAACAUGUUUAAUUUUCAUACUUAUUUGAAAAUGAUAUAUUUGAUCCAAAUAUUACAUCUAAUAAAUUUUCGCAUCAAGUCGUGAACAAUAUACACUGAGGCACUGAUCCAAAUGGUACAUUUAAAACUCGUGAACAAUAUACACCCAAGAACUGAUCCAAAUAUUACAUCUAAUAAUUAUUGGUUGAUGUAUAUUUUAUUUCAAGUGAUUCAAAAAAAUUAUUAGUGAAGGCAAGAAUGAAAAAUACAAAACUAAGACUAAUAAAAAGAACCAAAACAGAAGGAAAUAAAUAUGGGAUUAGUAAAAUAAACUUGAAAAAAUUUGGAAAAAAAUGAAAAAAAAAAAAGAAAAAAAAGGGGGAGAAGGUUUUUCAUUUUCCUUUCUCUUGUUUUUUUUUUCAUUUUCAAUAUUGAUGCAAGUCUCAGGACCCAAUUUCAGACUCAUGGAUGUGAUGGGCUUACACUACCUCAAGACCCAACCAAGCUGUCAAUUUUCAAGUUGAAAAGAUUAGUUAACUCGUGACAAAUAUUUGUAUGAGAUGUAGACAUUUAUGGAUUACGAUGUCUUCAUAACAUUUGAAGACCAAUCUCUUAGCUUGGAAACACACUUUAAAUUACUUGAUUUCGAGUUCAGGAACUCAAGUUACAAUCGUUUUAGUUUAAAUAAUAUUGGGUUUAAAUAAUAUGACGAGAAAUACUGCGUGGCCAGAAUUUCUGGACGAGAUUAUGGCGAGAAUUACGAGAUUUAGGCUUUUAAUUUGAGUUUAAAUAAUAUUGGGUUCAAGUUUUAGGCUUAUUUUUUAUUAUAUAUGAGCCCAAUAUUGUAUUUAUCACAUCUUAUAAUUUUUUUAUUAUUUUAUUCUAUUUUUUUUAUAAUUAUGAAGUAUUUUAAGUUAUUUAGGAGUUUUAUGUCGACAAAAAAGUUUAGAUUAAAAUUACUUCUUGUUUAUGUUAAUUAGAGUUCUAGUAAUCUGAAGAGUUUUAUUUAGAUUUAUUUAGCUAGUCUAUAUAAAGGCCUUUACAUUGUACACAAAAUCAAUUCAUUAUUAUUUAACUUCUCUUUUGAGUUAAUAAAUUCUCUUUGAGUUUUUCUUUUGUACAAUUUCUCUUGAGUUUUCUUUUAGAAGAGUUUUAACUGUAACAGCCCGACUUUGGGCCUAGUCGGAAUAAUGGUUUCGGAACUAAUUCGAGGCCGGAUAAAUUAUUUUUAAUAUUAUUUUAUGUGUUAUAGCAUGAUUAUAUGAGUGCAUAAAAAUUUUGGUGAAAUAAUUUUAGCGAUUGUUUACUUAAUUUCGAAAAAGGACUAAAUCGCAUAAGGGACAAAAGUUUUAUUUCAUUAGCUAAAGGUGUCAAUUAGCUAUGGAACAUUAAAUUAGAGGUCUUUAUUGAGUAAAUAGACCAUAAAUUUGUUAGUGGCUGAAUAUAGGGACAACAGAAUUGUAAAGUCAAAAUUAGGUGAAAUUUGGUAACUAAUUUGACUAGAAUAUAAUUAAAUAAGGAAAAAGUUAUCAUUUUUUUUUUCAUUUCUUCUCUUCUCCCCUGAUUUUGUUCAAGAAAUAAGGCCAUGGGAGCUUGAAAUUUUCAGCAACUUUAGAGUCUUGCAAGUAAGUGAUUUUGAUGGUCUUUCUUAAUGAUUUUGUACUUUUGGGGCCCUUGUAGCUUAAGCUAACUAAUGGGAGGGCUAUUUUGAAAAAUGAUUGAGAGUUUGUGGUUUUGACAUGAUAGUAAUCAUGUUUAUUUCUGAAAUUUUAUGGAAUAAAAUGAAUCAUGGUUGUUAAACAAACAACUUUUGUGAAAGGAUUUUCAUGAAAACACCUAAAAUAGACUAUUUUGUAAAGAUGAUAAAAUGAGUGAUAAGUAUGAGUAAUAAUUGGAAUUUUGGGCUGCUUCUAGUAUACAAAGAAUUCAUCUAGGCUUGGUUAGUGAUGAAAUUUGAUGAAAAUCGAUUUAUGAUCCUAGGGGUAAAAUUGUAAUUUUUACAAAGUCUAGGGGCAAAUUUGUUAUUUUACCAAAAAUGUAGUUUAUAAAAUGUCUUGAUUAAUGUGAUGAUUAAACUAGUAAAUUUUAUUGUUAUAGAUUAAAAAAUACGAAAUCUAGACCUAGAUUGAGGGAAAACCAAGCUAGUGGAUUAAAAACCGACUAGUCGCCCACCUUUUGUAUACCGAGGUAAGUUGUACAUAAGUAAGGAAAAUUUAUCGUUAUUAUGUGUGGAAUGAUUGAAUUUGAAAAAUAAUGUUGAAUAUGCUUAUGAUUAAUGCAUGAUGAAAUUUAAUGUGGUAAAUUUCUGGUUGAACCUAGGAAUAGAUUGGAUAUCCAUGCCAUUACAUUUGGGUGAUAUGUGUGCUAGUGUAAGACCAUAGCUGGGACAUGACAUCGACCACAUUAUGAGAGCCAGUGUAAGGCCAUGUCUAGGACAUUGCAUCGGCCACAUUAUGAGAGCCAAUGUAAGACCAUGUUUGGAACAUGGCAUCAGUAAUGUUAUGAGAGCCAGAGUAAGACCAUGUCUAGGACAUGGCAUCGGCCACAUUAUGAGAGCCAAUGUAGGACCAUGUUUGGAACAUGGCAUCGAAAAUGUUAUGAGAGCCAAAGUAAGACCAUGUCUGGGACAUGGCAUCGGCAUUGAGACGAGAGCUAGUGUAAGAUCAUGUCUGGGACAUGGCAUCGGCCUCGACAUGUGAGACAGUGUAAGACCAUGUCUGGGACAUGGCAUCAGCAAUUUACUCUCUUGUGUGAGGAUUAUCAGAUAUCCUUUAGUACCCCCAAUGAUUUCACAGGUUAUUUUAAAGCUUAUGAUAAAUAUAUGGAAUGAUAUAAUCAUGUUGUGAGUGGUACAUGUUCUUAUUCGAAACUCAUGAUAUAUGAGUCUAGUUAGAAUACCUUAAUGGUAAGAAUGACAUGAGUAAGUUCUAUCUAUGAAAAUGAUUUUGGGACGAUUUUGUAAUCUUUGCUUAUACUUGUGAUAUAUAAGCAUGUAGUGAUAUUUACUUUUAUUCACUCAAGAAUGUUGUGUUGAUUUAUAAUAUUCUAAUGUUGUGUUGAUUUAUAAUAUUUUAUGUGUUUAAAAACGUAUAGUUGAUGUUGUUACUUAUUUAUAUGCAGCUUAUUAAGCUCUAUGCUUACUUCCUCUCUUUUCCAUUUUCAUAUAGUGCCGCCAAGCUAGCAUUAGGAAUCCAGGGAUGUCAGAGGCAUCAAUCACACUAUCACCUGAAGCUUUUGGUAUAGCUAGUUUAAAUGUUUUAAGUGUGGCAUGUAUAGGGACUUGGUCUUUUGUCUAGUGUCAUGUUAGUUUAGCCACAAGGGUUGGCUCAUAUGAAUGUGAUAUUCAUUUUGUAUAGGCCAUUAAUGUUGGCUAAUAUUGAUUAUUAUUAAAUGAAUUUGAUGAAAAUUUUCAUGGUUGUGGUUAUUUGAUUAUGUGUGUGUUAUGCUUGGAUUGGUUAUGUUUGAUGUUGUGUAGGUUGGUGCAAGUGAGGGUGGCAAAAAGGCUUGGUAGAUAGCCUUGUUUUUUAUCCACACGGGCAGACACACGAGCGUGUGUCUAGACUGUAUGUGACAGAUGGUUUGUCUUAUGAGCGUGUAGUCAGGUCGUGUGUCCCCUACACCUAAAUUUGGAAAAAUAGAAUGCUCAGUAGCAACCACACGAGAGGAGACACGGCUAUGUAUCUCAACCGUGUAGAGGACACGGCCUAGUACACAGGCGUGUACCAUGGUCGUGUGCCCUUAAAGGAUUGCUGACAUUAGAAACAAAAUGUCAAGGUUUUUGUACAUGGGCUGAAACACUGGCGUGUCAUGACCGUGUGGGAGACACGGGUCAUGGACACGGGAGUGUGCCAAGCCAUGUGAAAGCCCCUAUAGGUUCGAAUCGAAAAAUAUAUUUGCACGGGCUAGGAACACGGGCGUGUCCCCAUAUGUUCAAGCUGUGUGAGCCACAUGGGCCUUAAACAUGGCCAUGUUAAGAAGACACACGGGUGUGUCGCCCUUUCACACGGUCAUGUGCCCCUAUUUACUUUGAAAUUUUUCAAAUUUUUCUAAAGUGUUUAGUUUAUUCUCGAACCAUUUCCAAAGCAUGUUUUGGACCUCGUAAGUCUAUAUUAGGGUCGUUAAGAAAAAGUUUGAAAGUUUCAAAAAUCGAACAAAAUUUUGUGACCUGAAAAUGAUUGUGUGUAUGUGUUUAAGCCAGGUAACAUCUCAUAUCCUGUUCCGGCAUCGAACUCGGGUAAGGGGUCUUACAUUAACAAUCUUUUCAAAUUGUGGAGAUCAUCAUCUUUAUCAUUUGGUAUCAAAUUUGGGUAUUUUGGGUGUUCUUUGUGUUCUUAUAAACUAAUUUCCAACCAACUGUCUCAACUUUGGGUACUCGUAACAAUGAUGACGAUGGGGACAAUGAAAAGCCUUGUAUUCAUUCUAAUACUGGAAGACGAGGAUAUCGUUACACUGAUGAAACUUUGGGUUCUUGUGAGAAGAAUGAUCCCUGUAACAUCCCGAAUUAAGGCCUAGCCAGAAUAGUGGUUUCGAAAUCACAAAUCCGAUUUUAAAAUAAUUAUUUCAUGAUCAUUAUAAGGUCUAGGAUAUGAAAAUAAGCAUGUGUUAAAGUUUCAUGAAGAAAUUCUAUGUGUAAGGUGUCCAUUUAGAAAUUAAGGACCAAAUUGAAUAAAUUGCAAAACUUGGGUUCUAGAAUCAAUUAGUAUGAAAUUGCUAUGGAUUAUUAAUUAGAGGUCCUUAAAGAGGAAUUUUCUAAAUUUCUAAGUUUUUGGACAAAAAUGGACAUGCAUGGAAAAUUUUGGAAGUUUAGUAACGAAUGACAUUUUGGUCAUUUGGUAAUAAACUAAAUAAAAAGGGAAAAAUCAAGCUAAAAUCAACUCAUUUUCUUCUACAUGCUGCCGAAAUUCUAAGGGUCUCCAUAGCUAGGGAUUUCAACAUUUUCAAGCUCAAUAGUAAGUGCUCCCUAGCCUCGUUUUUAACGUUCUUCGUAUUUUUGAUAUCCUCGUAACAUGCUCUUUCUAUUUCUACCCAUAUUUCAAGCUAGGGUUCAUGUUAAAAAAUUUACCCAUGCAUGAGAUGUUUGUGUUUUGAUGAUUUAUGGAGUUAAAAAAUUUACCCAUGCAUGAGAUGUUUGUGUUUUGAUGAUUUAUGGUGGAAUAUGAGAGUUUAAAGGAUAGUAAACAACUUUUACUAAGUAGUUUUUCAUGGAAAUGGCUUAAGGGACCAUUUUGUAAAAGUUGUGAAAAUGGGUAGAAAAAUGUGAAAUGAAAGAAAAUGUAGGCUGCUAUAGGCAAGAAAAAUAUUCAGCUAGGCUUGGAUAACUUAGAAAUUCCAUGCAUCUCAUUAUACAAGCCUUAGGACUACAUUGUAAAAGUGUGAAAGAUUAGGUGCAAAUUAGUCAUUUUGCCCAGGGGUGAGUUUUAAAUCCUAAAAUGAAAAAUGUGAUGUAUUAAUAGUCAAAUUUUAUUGAUAUACACCCCGAGGAACCAAUUCUAGAUGUCGAUCAUGGAAAACGAAAGGUUUCGGAAUAAUCAAAAUAUGAAACCGAAGCAAUUACCAGGUAAGUUCAUAUAACCCGAAGUAAACUCUUCAUAUACUUAAACAUGCAUAUUCUUGAAUGUAUGAAAAUUUAGAUAUUCAUGGCAUGAUAAUUCAUGAAAUACGCUUAUGUAAAUGAAAGAUGAUAAAUGUCUUGGUUGAAAUUGAAAGGGAGAUCCGAUGGAUAAACUAUGGCUUUCAAGACAUGAGAUCCUGCAUGUGUUGUAGAAAAGGAUUUAGCCCGGACGAAUAAUCCAAUGAUCUCAAAAUAGAAAGGAUCUAGCCCGGACUGGUGUUCCUUGAGUGAUCGAGACUCCCGAAGAAUAUGGGUGCAUUAAGGAUUUAGCCCGGACGAGUAAUCUGAUUGAGGACUGAAUUUAGCCUGGACUGGCAAUUCAGAUCUGAGCUUAUGAGAGCAAUUGUCAUCAAGAGAGAUUUAGCCUGGACUCGUAAUCCCGACAUUGCUUUAUGAGUUACUACUAUGGGGGAUUUAGCCUGGACUGGUAAUUCCAGCGUAAGAUAUAAAGUUCACGGGAGUGCGUACUUAAGAUGAUAACUUAUAUGACUUGACGGUAAUUAGGCUAUCCAUCGAGAUUUCUGAGAAAUUCAAUGGGAUUAACAUGAGAAAUAGGAAUGGGAAUAUUGAAUCGAUGAGCUCAUCUAAUAUUAAUGAUAUGAUGCAUUGUUAUGAGUCUAACUUGAUGAUUGAGUGCAUGUGAUAGGGAAACUAAUUCAUGCUUGUUGGAAUUAUUACCUAUUGUGGUUGUAUGUUAAAUAACCGGUAAGUUACUUUCCAAUUAUCCGGACUUACUAAGCCUAUAAAUGCUUACCCUCUUCUCUUUCCCCCUGUCUUACAGAGCUCGUGGACUCGUGAAGAUUGGAAGACGGUUGGAGAAUCAACACACUAUCGACUUGUUCUGCUUUGGUAUAUAGAUACUUUUUAUUUUGUUUAAUGACAUGUAUAGGAUUUUUGGUUAUUUUGUUAUGUGUCAUUUGGCUAGCCAAUGUAAGGGUAUAAAUGGUAUACUUAUUCUUUUGUAUAUGGCCAUGAGAUAUGGUUCAUAUUUAUGUAGGUUGUAAACCUACUAAUAAUGCAUGUUUAUGAUUAAAUGUUUUAUGAGGUAUGAUGAUGAGGUUUAUCAUGAAUAGAUGUUUGAAAUGGAACCUAACAAUUUGAGAGUGGAUAUAGCAUAUAAUGGUAUAUGGUUAUAAUAUGGCCUAAACAUAAAAUGUGCUAUGUUAAUCCUUAAUGCGAAAAGGAUAAUUUAGCAUGUACUAAACCGAUGAGAUGAGGUUAACAUGCAACGAGUUAUGUCAAAGUUAUUCAAAAGUAUAAUUAGGCCAUGUUACAUACCAUUGAUAUCUUUAACUGCGUAUGGAUGAUAGAGGGUGACCAAAGGCUUGGAAAAUAGCCCUGAAAAGGUCCACAUGGGUAGACACAUAGGUAUGUGUCUAGGCCGUGUGUGACACACGGUCAGCCUCCAUGGGUGUGCUGCCCGGCCGUGUGUCCCCUGCACUUAAAAUUUUAGGUCAAUUUGCAUGGUAGUAAACACACGGGUAAAGACACGGCCGUGUGUCUCAACCAUGUGGAGGACACGGCCUAGCGUGCGGGCGUGUGCCUCAAAAUGAAUGAUGAUGUCAUAAACAGAAUGUCCAGGAUUUUGGACACGGGCGUGUCUAGGCAGUGUGAGGGAACAGGACAGGGACACGGGCUUGUGCUUGGCCGUGUGAAAAUCCCUGUAGGUUCGAAAUGAAAAAAAUAAAUCCAAAUAAUUCAACACUGAUGGGACACAUGGGCGUGUCCCUAAGCACACGAGCAUGUGAGGCAUAACCCUAGUAAUUUUUCUAAAAUUUUUUAUAGUUCUCAAUUUAGUCCCAGUUCACUUUUAACAUAUGUAUUGGACCUUGUACGUCCAUAAUCGGGACACUAUGAUAUCGUGUAGUCAGUUUUAAAUUAGAAUGAAAAUUUAUAACUUGUAUUUUUCGAAAGUGUCCGAGUAUAUGUCUGGUAACGCCCCAUACUUGUCCCGGUCUCGAGUACGGGUAAGGGGUGUUACAAUCCCAAAGUAUAUUGUGAGUGAGAAUUAAAAAUUAAACUUAUGCUUCAUCAUGAUAAAUGCUCAGAAAAGGAAAAAGUAUUAUUGGCGAGCUUUGAAUUUUCAAAUUAUGCGCUGAGUUUGUAAAUUCAACUUGGAAUUAAUAGUCAAAGAAAAUACAAAAGGGUAAUUGAAACACGAGAUGAGUUGAAGCAAGUGAUGCGAAAGCGUUACAUUCCUUCUCAUUGCUACAAAGAGGUCAAAACGAAAUGUUAACGCCAUAUUCAAUUUAAUUGAUCAAUUGAUGAGUACUUCAAGAAGAGAUGGCCAAACGAAAGGAGGAGUACAACCAAUUUCUCAUUUUUUGUGAAAUGUUAUUAGUGUAAUUCAAAAGAUUAUGAGGAUUUUGACCGCCUUCGAACUUACCAACGUCCAAAGUAGAAAUCCCGCACAAAAGAUGUGAAAUACGGUAUUCACAAGUAAACGAGUCAGAUUUUAAUAUAGUUACAACAGAGUAGGUAAGUACUCCGAGGAUCGUAUCCAAUGGAGGCUAGCACUACCUUAAUUCAAAUCUAAACAUAAAUAGAUCUAAUUAGUACUUUAAUCAAAUUAUAGUACGGAGAAUUAAAAGGAGUUUGAUAAACUAUACUAAAAAAAAUAAGAAAGGAAUAAAUGAAAAGUAAAUAAAUGAAAAAAACGAGAAAUCAAAUAAUCAAAUAUGUAUCAAAUCUGGGCAUGGGUGAUUAACUUGCUUUGGUAGUUAUAAUCAACUGUUGUCUCAGGUUUUCUUAUUUAAUCAACUAUUCAAUACCCCAGUAGGAUCUUCCGAUUCGUCUACUGAAAUACUGAGUCGGCAAGAACAACUUGUCUUUCGACGUCACAGUCCAGACCGGUUCAGGGUUAAGGUGUUCACGGAUAGGCCAUACCAAAUUUGGGUUAAUUUCCACCUUAAUGACUUCCUAGAGUUGUCAGGCCUAGAGUUUAGAUUCUUCCUUUCCUGAACAGCUAAUCCAUUAAGAAAUCCCUAUAAAAUAGUUAAUUAUUCAUACCUCCACUCACUAAUCCCCCAUAGGAGGACUAGUUCCUCAUGGAUCUAAUAAACGAUAUAAACUUGAUGAAAAGAAUAAAUAUAAAGAACAAUAAUAGAGUUUAGAAUAUGCCUAAUUUGUAUUGGAAUUAAGCUAAAAAUCCUCAUAGAGUUUGACAGUAAUUUUAGAAUCUGAUUUCUCCACAAAAGUAAAUAACAAGAUCGAAAAUAAAAUCUAAAACCUAAGAGAAUGGAAAAACUAAAGACUAAAUCUAAAGAGAAAAUCAUACAAUAUGAAAGGUGUGUAUAACAUGUACAAAAUGAACCUAUUUAUAGAUUUUAGGGUGGUCGUCGUCCUUAACCUAAGUCAACUACUGUCCUCGUGCUUUGUGAGGAAUGCAGUAAUCAAGAAGAAUGCAAUAAUAUUUCUGUUACUUUGUACAGGAGUAGCACAUGCUUUUAUAUAACAAAAGUAAUCUAACAGAUUAACUGACAACUAACUAACAGCUAACAGAUUAACUAACUUUCUUUAUUAGCUACUCUAACAUAAAAUAGGAUUCAUAAACUCGAUUAACUCAAAUUUUUUUCAUUUGAUUCGCUUGAAUGUUCACCCUUAGGUUUGGAGGCACCGACGAACACUAUAGAUUUCAGUUCAUUCUCAUACAUGAUUUUUCAUUUGGGUAAUUUUUAUAAACAAUUAUUUCUUUUGAGUCGGUUUUGAGAAAAAAACAUAGAGAGAUAUCUAAUGUAUAAUAACAAAAAAGAAGGUUUCAUUAACCUUAAUCCUAAUAAGUCCAUCUGCUUGGAACUGCCAGUUAACAAUAUAAUCAUAAUUAGCCAUUGAUGUAGCCGUUCGAACUACUAACCUUACCUUUGGCCUGAUCUAAAGGUCCACCGAAAUGUGGGAGGGUUUGGGCAAAAAUAUAUGCUCGAAAAAUGUGUUUGGACAAAAAAAAUAAGGCCUGUUUAAAAAAUAGGUCGGGCCUCAAGUAAGACAUUUUUGGUCCAGGCCCAGCUCAGCCCGAAUUCACUAAAAGAUAAAAAAAUGCUAUUUUUAAAUAUUAUUUUCUUGUUGUUUCUCCCUAUUUUGCUACCAUUUUACUAUUGCGUUGCUACUAUUUUGUUUUUAUUGUUUGGAUAUUGUAUAAAAUUUGUUUUAUUGUUAAUUUUGUUAUUAUUUUAGAUGCAUUUGUUAAUUUUGUUAUUAUUUUAGAGGCAUUUACUUGUUAAGUUUCAUAUAUCUUAGUGUUAUUUAAGUAUACAUAUUUUUUAAAUUUUAUUUUCUAUUUGUUAGGAAAUAUUUAUUUUGAUGUUUUUAGUAUUUUUGAUGUACUAUAUAUAUUUAAAAAUUAAUACAGGCGGGCCAGGCCCGAAUUUAAUAUUUUUAUCCAGGUCAGGCUUGGCAAAUUUUAGGCCCAUUUUUUGGGCCGGGCCCAGGCCUAAUUUUUUAGGUGGACCGGAUCCAUGAACACCUCUAAUUGAUAAGGACCAAAAAGGUAUUUGCAUCUAUUUGUUAUUCGAAUUGUAAAAUUCAACUCGACUCGAACUUAAAACUUGAAUUACUUAUUUGAGUUGACUCAAAUAACUCGAUUCGGUUAACUUGAAAUUUAAAUAUUUUUCAAUUUUUUCAAAAUCGAAUCAAGUUUUACUAACAUCUAUGAACAAUUCAAAUAUAAUUAUAUUAGUAAUUAACUUCCAUCAAAUCAACUCUAAAAUUAAACACUAAAAACUUAACAUUAUUUUCUUUAGAUAUUAAAAUAUAUAACUUUUGUUAAAAAAAUUUGUCAAAGUUGAGUACCAAAUUAUAUAUUAAAUCAAUUAUUUGAAGUGUUAUCAAAUUAAAUAUUUAAAAUUUAUUUUCAGUUUUUCUAAAGAAAACCCCAGCUUCAGCUCAAUCAUGUACUAAUUUUAGACAAAUGUAUAAGUAUUUUAUUUAAACAAUAAACUAUUAUUAUUUACAGUAAAUAAGUUGACCAAGUUACGUGUUUGGUUAUCCUACACUAAUUUGUGUUGAUAAAAUAUAUUAUUGAAAAAAGUUUUAACAAACAAAAUUGUAUGGGUAAAGAUUACUUCCAAUCAAGCUGUCUAUAUAAAGGGCAAACAAGAUUGUCAUGCUGCAACAAUUCGAGGCCAAGCUCCUUAACUCUUACUGCUCCCCCAUUUUCUCAUUCACUUUAAUCUCUUUUAAUGGCGGUAAUAACACUUUACACUGUUCUGAUAGCAGUAGUAGCCAUGUCUCUACUUUCACUGUCAUUCAAGAAGCUGAGGAGCACAAAGGUUAAGUUGCCACCAGGCCCCUACGGCUUACCGCUCGUUGGCUACCUCCCAUUUCUUGGCAGAAACAUCCACCAAACUUUCAUGGAAUUGGCCAACAUCUAUGGUCCAAUCUACAAGCUCUCUAUUGGACAGAAAUUAUUUGUCUUAAUUAGCUCUCCCACCUUGGCAAAAGAAGUGGUACAUGACCAUGACAUCUCAUUCGCCAACCGCAACCCAACCAUUGCAGCACUGGCUUUCUCUUUCGGUGGAAAGGAUAUUGCAUUCACACCCUAAGGGCCAGAAUGGCGCAUGCUGCGCAGGAUCUUUGUCCAUGAGAUGCAGAGUAAUGCCAAUCUUGAUGCAUUUUAUGCUCUUCGGAGAAACCAAGUCAAGAAAAGUAUUAAAGAUGUAUAUGGCAAGAAUGGAACAAUCAUUGACGUGCGGAUGCUAGCAUAUUCAACUGUCAUCAACAUGAUGACCAGCAUGUUCUGGGGUGGCACGCUUGAAGGAGACAUAGGUGCUAACAUCAAUGCUCAGUUCCGAGAUGCAGUAUCGGAACUCCUCAUUAUCUGGGGGAAACCAAAUAUUUCGGAUUUCUUUCCAUUUCUGGCUAGUUUUGACAUUCAAGGGAUACAAGGAGAUAUGAAAAGGGCAUCACGAUGGAUGGAGAAAAUCUUCGAUUUUGUCAUAGAUCCAAGAACUAAAAAUAAUACAAAUAUUUCUAAUAAUGACUUUUUAGAUUUCCUCUUGGAGUUCAAAGAUCAUGAGACAAGGAAGUCGCUCUCCCGACCACAAAUCAAAGCCCUUUCUUGUGGUGUGGUUUCUCCUUUCAACUAUGUUCUUUCUUCCCUUCUAUAUUACAUGUCACCACCUUGGCAAAACUUGAGUCCCCUUUUGGUAAUUUACUUCGUAUGUUCAAUUUUCAAUGGACAGGACAUAGUAAUUGGGGGCACCGGUACAACCUCCACCUCUUUUGAGUGGACAAUGGCAGAACUAAUGCUACACCCGGAAGUAAUGAAAAAAACCCAGGAAGAAUUGACAAAAGUUGUAGGUGAUGCCAACGUUGUGGAGGAAUAUCACUUUCACAAACUGCCUUAUCUGCAAGCAGUUGUGAAGGAGACAUUAAGAUUACACCCAUCGGCCCCAUUGUUGCUACCUCGCUGUCCUUCCCAAACUUGCACCCUGGGUGGAUAUACUAUUCCAAAAGGUGCAAAGGUGUUCUUGAAUGCUUGGGCUAUGCAUAGGGAUUCUCAACUUUGGGAGAAUCCGUAUGAGUUUCGGCCUGAGAGGUUUGUUGGUGAUUCUAAUAAACUGGACUUCUCUGGGAACAAAUUUCACUAUAUUCCAUUUGGAUCUGGUAGGCGAAUGUGUGCGGGGCUUCACCUCGGGGAGAGGAUGUUGAUGUAUACUUUGGCUACAUUUCUGCACAUGUUCCAUUGGAAAGUUCCGGAUGGUGAAAAGCCUGACACUGGUGAAAAAUUUGGAAUUGUCUUGGAGAAAUCAACGCCCUUGAUUGUUAUUCCGACCCCUAGAUUGAACAACUUAAAGCUCUAUCACUAGAAUUAUCUCAUCCUUUGACUAAUGAAUUUAUGUUUUAGUAGAAAUGAGGAUUUAAAUUUUAUCAUAUACUAGCAGGCUUAGGCAAGAAAAUUUUGGUAAAAGUACCACAAAAACCUCUUAUUAUAUCUUGGAUUGUAUUUUAGUCCCUCUAUUAGAAAAGAAUGAGCAAAUUAGCUCAUGUACAUUAGAUGAGUGAGCAAAACCUCUCUGUGUUUAUAUAUAAUGUAUAAUAACAAAUUUAUCUCUUAAUCUUUACACACUUAUUCAAUUUGACCCCUACUCUUUUAUUAGAAGCAAAUUAGAAAUUUUUUAAACUAAUAAGACUAAAAGGUCAAAAAGGCUUUAGUAUAGAUUAAAAAAGAUCAAUUAAACCCUUUUAAAAUUAAAAAAAAUAUAUUUAAAAAACCAUAAAAUUAUAAACAACAAUUAUAAAAUUUUUAUUAAAAAAAUAAAAACAUCGACCCAUUAAAAUCUAAUGGUUAUAAUUUUUUUUUUAAAAAUUGACCCCAACUCUUUUAUUGGGUCAAUAUUUUUACUUUUUAAUAAAAUUUUUAUAAUUUUAUAAUUUUAUAGUUUUUAAAUUUUGUUUAUAAUUUUUAUAAUUUUUUAAUAAUUUUUAAAUUUUAAAAGGGCUUGAUUUACUUUUUUUUUUAUUUACUAAGGCCUUGUUGAUCGUUUAGCCUUAUUAGUUUCAAAAUUUUCUAAUUUACUUCCAAUCAAAGAGUAAAGAUAAAAUUGAAUAAAUAUGUAAAAGUUAAGGGCUAAGUUUAUUAUUAUACAUUAUAUAUAAAUACUAAAUCAAACAUUUAAUGGUUAAAUUUUAAUGGAGGAAUUGUUUUGUCCACUAAUUUAACACCGGGACUAAGAAUAAAUUUUUCAAUAAAAAAACUAAAAUGGAAUAUUGAAUAUAAUAAAGUGGGUUUUGUAAGAUUGUUAUCAAAAUAUAUAUAUUUUUAAAUUUAAGUACGAUACUUUUUUACCCAUUCAAUUAUGAAAAAAAAAACAUUUAUUUAAGUUUUUGUUUUCAACUAGACUUAGGAUGGACUACAUGUUCAGAUGUAAAGGCUCGCUUGAAAAAUAAAAGAGUUUGAAUAAAAAUAUAAACUUAAAAAAUGGAUUUAACCUAAACUUUUGUUAUGUUGAUGUUUGUUGUUAUUUUGCUACCAUUUUGCUAUUAUAUUGCUACUAUUUUAUUGUUAUUAUUUAAAUAUUGUAUAACUCUUAUUUUAUUGUUAAUUUGCUACUAUUUUAGAGGCAUUUAUUUGUUAGGUUAUAAUUAUCUUGGGCAAUUUACUAAAAAAAGCCCUUUUAUUUCGUUAUUUACCGAAAUGGUCUGACUUUUUCAUUAUUUACAGGAAAGGACCAUUUUCCCCGAAAGUGCGUCCACGUCAGCGCGAAUUCAGGGUACUUGUCAGCAAAACGCUCCCCAGGGAAGCGUUUUGCCCCGUUUUUUAAGGUUAGGGUUUUUAAUUAUUUUAGGGUUAGGGUUUUAGUGUUUUUUAAGGAAAAAUUAAUUUAAUUAGAGUUAAGGGUUAAUUAAUUAAAUUAACUGUGAAAUUUAAAAAUUAAUUAAAUUAGGGUUUAUGGUUUUUUAGGGUUAAGGUUUUUGAUUAUUUUAGGAUUAGGGUUUUAGUGGUUUAGGGUUUUAGUUUUUUUAAGGGAAAUUUUAACUUAAUUAGAGUUGAAGAUUAAUUAAUUAAAUUAACUAUGAAAUUUAAAAAUCAAUUAAAUUAGGGUUUAAAGUUUUUAAGGUUAGGGUUUUUUAUUGUUUUAGGAUUAGGGUUUUAGUGGUUUAGGGUUUUAGUGUUUUUAAGGGAAAAAUUAAAUUAAUUAGAGUUGAGGGUUAAUUAAUUAAAUUAACUAUGUCUGCCCCCAACCUGAUAUAUGCGUUAUAUCGGAUUGGGGCACUGGAAAACUAGUCGCAAUUAAGCGACAAGGAAGCCAAUGGCAUCGCACACACCAUCAGUAUUACCUAAGGCACGUUGCGUUCAACUACUACGAAAUUAUCGAUCUACAACUGAACGACGACAAGUGAACAACAUGGGUAUUUAAUCUCUAUUAAUAUAAUUUCAUUUGUAAUAUUCAAUUUAUUCUGAAUGGAAGAGUGGUUUGUAAUUUUCGUUAUCAACUUAUAUUGGCAUGGUAUGAGAUAAGUAAGGAUCGUUUUCAUGAGAUGUUAGCGGUUUUGCGUUUAGUUAACGAAGAAGGCGCAGACUACCUUUGUAACAUACCUUUUGAACAGUAGACACAAGCAUACGACAGCAGCCUACAAUAUAGUCAUAUGACCUCGAACUUGGCUGAAUGCAUAAAUUCUGUUCUAAAAGGAACGCGUCAUUUGCCGACAACAACCGUUGUGCGAGAGUCAUAUUUUCGUUUAGCGACACUAUUUUCAAAGUGAGCAGCGAGUUAUAAAGGCCAAAUGCAGGGAGGCCAUGUAUGGUGCGCGAAGGUAUUGCAAGAGAUUAAAAAGGCGAAAGCACGAGCCAACACCAUGGACAUAGUAUGUCACGAUCGCGACAACCUAUGGUUUCUUAUGACGGAGUUUGACAGACCGAACCAAGGUAUUAUUGGCAAGCAAUAUCAUGUACACUUGAGAAACAAGACAUGCGACUGUGGGGUGUUUGGCGCACUACGUUAUCUAUGCGCUCAUGUAAUUGCAGGUUGUCAAAAUCUCCGUCUGGAUCCCACGACGUAUGUUGACCAAGUGUACAAAAUAGAAUACAUGUACAACGUGUGGAGACACGUAUUCCCACCGAUCCGAGAUGAACGUAAGUGGCUAUUUGUAUUACUUGCUCCAUUUAAGCUGUUACCAGAUAGAGAAUUGCGUCACAAACUAAAGGGUCGACCUUACCCGACUAGAAUACGUAACAAUAUGGAUAUCCGAGAAAGAACAAACCAACAGAGGUUGUGCGGAUGGUAUAGGAACCCAGGCCAUAUAACUCGAUCAUGUCCAAAUCGGAAUAGCUUAUAGUUGUUGUAAUAAAAUUAUGUUGCAUUAUUUAUAUUUUAUUAAAAAUAUAAAAAUAUUAAAAAUAUUGCCGUAGUCAAAAUAACAUUUAUUUUAAUAAAAAUUAUUAGCUAAUUUAAAAGAACAUUUAUUGUAUUAAAAUUAAAAAAAAGUAAAGUACAAUUAAAAUAUUAAAAACAAAUUUUAUUUUAUUAUAUGAAACUAUAUAAAAAAAGUUUCUACAAAUAUAUUUAAAAAAUCAAUGUUGGUGCCGGUCGAAAUUAAUGCCACCUGGGGGUCAUCGACGGUUAUGCGCUGGAUUCCUCCUUGGUUCAGCUUCCGGUGAGGGUUGUAGUUGUUCCGGUGGGGAUUGGGGUUCCUCUGGCAGGCGAUCUGGUUAUGGGUAUUAGGAGGAUGACCCACCUUGAUAAAAUAAUGAAUGCGGAGGUGUUUGCAUCACCCAUGGUGGAGGUGUUUGAAUCCCAUAAGGCGAUAGGGAAUGGUAAAAAGAAGAGCUUCCUGACGGAGCAUCGUGCGAUCCCUCAUGCGACGGUGGCCUAUUGAUAGGCGGUUGACUCGGAGUAAUUGGGAACGGAGAUAAAUCAGGCCAUGCAUUCCAACUUGCCAUAGGACUAGGAAAAGGAAACAUAAAAGGGUUAGGAUACAUAUAAGGGCUAGGAUACGCACCUGGCAUAAUCUGAAAAGGCUAUGAUAUGGGUGUCGUCGGUUGAAGUGUUGGCACAGGUGGCUGUGUGGGCGUUGUUGAUGGGCCCGGUGAUUGUUUGGGCGCUACUGAUGGGCCCGCAUCGUCAUCCCUCUUCUUGGAUUUAAAGGGCCCCGUCGUUCCCUUUGCACACAAAUUUGUCAUUGCCUCUCCUCUUCCGAUAGUAUAUAUGGCUUGCUAUGAAUCCUAAACCAUGGCAUGUAUUCCGGCACGCAUGCUAACUCAGGAACGAUGAUCGGUUCUCGAGUAGGUAUAUAGUCAUACUGAUUUUUCCACAUUUUGAUAUAUUAUGACUAGUGUCUCGGCCAAUCCGUAUUUAAUAGACUUAAGUCGACUUUGUACUCAUCAUCGAGCACCUUAGGUUCCACAGGAAUCGGUUGUCAGAAUCCAAAUUAGCGCAAUACCCUAUUUGACUGGUGCAUCUCCACGAUAGCAUAGUUUACCAAUGGGACCUUCACAUGCCAAAUGUUCGGAUUUUGAAAAAAAUCAUCUAGAAUUACUGCCCGAAUUGUCGAAUCCUCGUAUGGUGUCCAUUGAAACUAUAUCAACAUGAUAGAAAUAUUAGUUAUAUAGGUAAUACUAAAUAAUAAAUACUAAAUACUAAAUAAGAAACGACUAUUUUAUUAUGUAUAUAUAUUUUAUUUAAUACUUACUUGUGCUUCCAACCGUUGGUCUAAUAGAAGGCGUAUAUCUUCAAGAGAUGAGGGUAUUCCAACAUAACUUGCCGAAUGGUUUCACCUAAUUAAAUAAUUUUUUAGCAUACAAUUAUAUUUUAAAUCAACGUAAUAAUUGUAAAAUCUAAUAUAAAAUUUACCUCGUUAUUAGUGGGAAUGUAUAUGGGUGGUGCACUCGAGGACGUAAAAAUGGAAAGCGAAACCGUGCCCAUGAUUGCAGUAGUGAUAGGCAUCCUCCAAUUUUGGCUUUAUUCAGUUGUGUCGCCCAGCACAUCUCCUGGUACAAUGUUGCUAACACGGUAGACCCCCAACUUAAUUCACCUGCUACUCUAAAAUCAACAAGUUUCAGCAGCCAUCUUAGAUGUACGUGAUUUCGUGACAAGUCCGGCAUCAGAUAACCUCCAAUUAUCUCAUGAAUAUAUGCCUGAGUAUAUCGUAUUCUUUCUAAUUCAGUCAAUCAUUUUCCGGCUCCAGAAAUGUGUCUCGUAACCACCCCAUCUCGAUCCGACCUCCGUUAAUAUAAUCCGGAAUAGCACUCAAAAGCUCAUAGCAUGCGGCCCCCUAAUCAGCAGAUUGAGCGGACCCGGUGACUGCAUACCCAUCGACCGACAAUCCCAAUUGCAAUUGCACGUCUUCUAGAGUGAUAGUACACUCUCCGCAUGAAAGAUGGAAAGUGUGCGUCUCGGGUCUCCACCUGUCUAUCAAUGCACUGAUUAGUUUCGGGUCCAACUUGCACCCCCGGCCUAUCAUGGCCAUGUGCCAAAAACCCACUUUUCGCAGGUAAUUCUCUAUCAACGACGAUGGAGGACCAGGCAUAUUACAGAUAUAGCAUUGCAACACCCGAUCUACAGACUGUUACAAAAAAAAUAUAAAAUAAAUAUUAAUUAAAAUUGCAUAAAUGAAAAAUACAUUAAAUACUAUUCAAAAAUUAAUUAAACUUAUCACUUACCAUUGUCAUUUGAUCGAUGGGGAUGUGUUUCGUAUCGAGACGAAUUAAUUCUCCGGCCAUUGCUAACACGAUUGAAUAGUUUUGUAAUUUUAAAAAUAAAACUAAUUCAAAAAAAAUUAAACACAGCUUUUUUGCAAAAAUUAGAGACAAAUUUGACAAAAAUUGAAAUAAAUUUAAGAGAAUUUGGAAAGAAUUUAGAGAGAUUGUGAGAGGACUAUUGUGUGAAAAAAUGAAAAGGGGAGGGACCUUUUAUAGUUUUUUUUUUUACCGUUGGAGUUCAAAUGGUCAUAUGACCGUUCGGGGCAAAACGCUUCCCUGGGGGAGCGUUUUGUCCAUGUCAGCAAAGCGCGCCUUCAAGGAAGCGCUUUGUGCUGAGGUGGACGAAGCGCUUUGUGCUGAGGUGGACAAAGUGCUCCCCCAGAAAAGCAUUUUGCUGACACGUACCCUGACUUCCCGUUGAUGUGGACGCGCUUUUGGGAAAAAUGGUCCUUUCCUGUAAAUAAUGAAAAAGUCGAACCAUUUCAGUAAAUAACGAAAUAAAAGGCUUUUUUUAGUAAAUUGCCCAAUUAUGUUAGUAUUAUUUAAAUAUAAAGAAUUUUUUUAAUUUAUUUUCAUUUGUUGGAAAAUAUUUAUUUUAAUUUUUUAAUAUAUUUGAUGUAUUAUAUUUUUUAAAUUUAUUUUGUAUAAAAAUGAUAAAAAAAAUUAAUACAAACAAACCGAGUCAAAAUCGAAUUUAACAUUUUUAAUUUAAAUUAAACUUAAGUAAAAUUUUAAACUUCUUUUUUCCAACCAAACUCAAAAUGGAUGGAAAAAAAAAGAUCUCACCUGCCUUUAAUGAUGUGGUGCACCAGAUAAGUUUAGUCAUUAAACACGUGUAAAUUAAACUUGUGUUUUAUUUAGUUAUUUUUUACUCAAUUUUUUCACUUCAUUUCUUCUUCUUUAAACCAGAAUGAUCUGUUUCUCUUGCACCACUGCUCUGCUACCAGCGUCUUCUCCGACCCAAAUAACAACAACAUUUCAUUUUAAAUUUUAAAUUCAAAUUUUAUAUCUUCAAUACUUAAUUUUUCAACAUUUCAUUUUCUAAUUUAUCAAACAAUAACUAAAUAAGCAAAACAAUUAUAUUGAAUCAAAUCCAAUAUCCAACUUGAGAUUUUGGUGUUAGAAAAAAAAAUCCUUUUUCAAGUUUUGUAGGAUCCCUAUAUCAUGCAUCAUCGUGUCAUCUAUUCGAGAAAAUCUUUUAAAUUCAAUGGUAAAAGUUUGGAAUUUUUGAGAAUCCAAAUUUAGGAUUCAUUAUGUGCAAUUAUAUAUUUGGGUCUUAAAGUCCCAUCAUAUGUUGUUACUUUGUUUGGGGUUUUAAUCUAAUUAGUCAAUUUAGUUUGAAUUAUUCUAAUUCUUAAUUCACAUUUACCAUAAUAAUUUGAUUUUAUUUUAUGAUUUCUCAAGCAUAUAUCAUAUCUAUACUUUAAUUAUAUUAUACGAGAAAUUAUUUUAUGGAUCCUUCCCACCACAUAAUCCAUGGUCCCUCUCCAAUUAUUUAAUGACAUUUUAGUAAUUUUUUCAAUGUCAUUGACACAUAAUUUUAGUAAUUUUUUUAUCCUAAACCUCGAACCCCAAACCCCGAACUCAAAAUCCUAAACCUUGAACCUUUGUAACACCCUACACCCGGCUCAAUCGUCAAGCCUGAAUAUUAAGAUUUCACACCACCGUCACACAUCACACUCAUAGUAAAUUGUCAUAUUAUUAUUAUUUAGCAUUCGCACAACUUUGAGUCUAACAUACAACAUCCAACAUUAAGUCAUGCUUAACAUAAUUCCAUUGAACUAAUACUACAACUAUAUAUGCUUUUGAACCACAUAACAGAAAUUUCAGAACAAGUACGUAGGUAUUGAUACUGUAGCAAUGGUAACGAUAUUUCACAAAAAAGGUAUUGGUACCAAUUGGAAAAUCAAUAACAAAAUAGCAUUUUGUUUCUCGUUUAAAAAUCAACAUCCCAACAAUUAUCAGUACAUUUGCUAAAGUAUCGAUUAUUUUACCUCGAGUAUCAAUACUCGUGAUAUGGUAUCGAUAUCAAAUUGUAAAACUGACUUCCUCCACAUUCGAAAAUCACAGAGGUAUCAUUUUUAUAACCCAAAUACUGAUACCUUUGAUCCAGACCAAAAACAUACAACACAUCUAAGCACUUAAUCCAUUCCAACAAAUAUCUAAUCAACGUGCAUCAUUUACCUCUUUAAACCAAUGUCAAAAUGAUCAAAAUAACAAUUUAAAACAUCAAAAACAUGUCCGAGCAAGAAUCAACAUACCAAGGUCCAAGCCUAUAGUUCCUAGGAAUAAUUAAGCUACAAAAUAUCCAAAACAUCAUGGCAAUAUCAUGCAACAGUUCUACCACAUUACUCAACGUCCAUUGACCGUACAUACAGUUCAUGGCACUUCAACAUAGCAAAUCUUCAAACCAAAACAAUACCAAUGAAAUAAUUAUGACAUCUAUUAAAAGUGCUAGAAAACUAAACCCAUAAAAUAUCAUGAGGACCACAAUAAUAAUCAAUCAAAAUGUAACCACAUUUCCUUAUCCGUACAGUUCAAAAAAUAAUAUUAAUACCACCUACGCAAAUACUAAAGCCUAACUUGGAUCACUUGGUAUCCCCACACCGCUCACAUCGUAAACGCUAAAUAUCUGCAAUGGUUAGAGAGUGUGGGUGAGCUUAAACAAGCUCGGUGAAUGUCGAAGUAACCACAAAGUAUACACAAUAUCAAAGGUUAAAUAAGAGCAUACUACAACACAUUCACAACCAUAUUCUAACCAAGUCAAAAUAACAUAUUCAUGUUUCAUUAAAUCAUAAAACUAGCAUAUACUCUUAUAUGCAAUUACACUCAACUCGCUUAUAUAUAUAAUUCAUUUAACAAUAAUUCAUCAAGACUAAACAACGUAUACAUGCUUUAAUAACUUACAAGUCUAGCUCAUAUAUUCACAUGCAUUCACAAGUUAAAUAAAAAUAACCCAAACCACAAUUACAUAUACAAUUACCAUGAGAACAUACUAACAUUUUCAUGAAACUUAAAUCAACACAUUUAACAUAUUAUUCACAUGUUUAUGCAUCCAUCUCGCAUCAUAUUAUCACAAUACAUAAGAUCACAUUUAAACGAUAAUUUGGCACUUGAGGCUGUGAAACAUAAAAGUGGGCUCUAGCACCACACAUAGAAUACACAGAUCUCCAACACACCAAUUGACUAUAGAGUCGAACAUAUCCCAAAAAGUAAAGCAUAAAGCUAACACUCUCCAACACACCAAACAUGUCCCAUUUAAUGGAGCUUAGCUCACAUUCUCUUAUCUCUCCAACUUAUCUCAAGGCCUCAAUGCCUAAAAACGCAAUACAUAUAGGUAAGUACUCACAAUCCUAUGGCAUGUUAACUAUACCCAACAAUUUCAAGAGAUCACAAGGCCAAAAUAUCCACAAUUACACAUUCUUAAUUACUGAUUUAAUGCACAUCAUCUCUGUUCAUAUUCAUCAAUUUACAUCACAACUUGUACACAAUGCAUGCUUAUCGGAUUCAUAUUUAAUUGCACUUUAAAGGUCACAAUAAUGCUCAUUGAGCCAUCACAUAUCCAACUACAUAUGUGUGCAUUAAAAUUAGUACAUCAUAUAUCACAUACAAGUAUUCUCACAUAAUACUUGUUAUAAUAAUAUCACAUUCCACAAUUCAACACAUAUAUACUUACCGAAAUUUUGCUCGCUUUCACUACAUAUUUGCAUUAUUAACAUAUCAUUAUCAUAGUCAUUGACAUAUAUAUCAUACCCACAACACAACUUAAUUCAUAAUAGUCAUCACACAUGUCUCAUAUCACAAUAUCGCAUCAUAAUAAUCAAUCCAUAAUUAUUCAGAUAAUCACAUAAUUUGCCAAAACAAAGAAAGGGAAAUAGAAAGCUUACACUCAGAACUUAGGAUAGAGGUUUAGGCUAUUCCUAAGCUCCCAAUUAACACUAUGAAUCGUGUCUACAAGUAGCGAUUCCAAACACUCAUUGAUCACGCUUUCGUCUAAUUACUGAAAGCUUAAACUAGCUUUUCCUUGUCUUUAUCUUUUCUCGUUAAAGGUCCUAAUGAUUCCAAAGCUUCAACAAGGUAAAUCACACAACAACACAAUCAAUAAUCAGCCGCAGACUCACUUCACACAAUCAAAACACAAGUCUAAGAUAAAUUCUCAUGUAAUCGAAAUCUUCAACAUAGCAAAAUUGAAUUUUGAUUAUCUCGGUCUAUACUUAAUAUUUUCUCCUAAAAUUUAUUUCAUUCAUCUAAUUAUUCACCUACGAUUGAUUCUCAACCUUUAAGCUACUAAAAACUAUCCAAUUCAUGGUAUUUAAAAUUUUUGACAAGUUUAUGUUAAUCUUCACAAAAAAUCAUUAAAAUGUUGGAAAUCUUCAAUGAAACUUUAAAUUAAGUUUAGAAACCUUCUAAUCAUGUCAAAACUAAUUGGAAAAUAUUUUGAAAGCACAUUUUUACUCGAAAUCCUGAAAUCUACCAUUAACGACUCAAUUUUCGGCUUUUAUUUAAAACAUGCGAUUUAACGGCUAAAAACUCUAUUUAAAGCAUCAAAUAACAUCAAAAAUUACCUUAGUUGACAAGAAUCUAAUGUUUAAUCAAAAACAUGAAAAAUCCAAAAAUUAGCAAUGGAGAAAUCUAUGUUGUUCUUAGAUGUUUUUCUUGAAAUACUAUGGAGAUUUAUGGCUUGAGGAAUGAUAUAAAACUAAGAAAUUAAGUUUGGGAAUCAAAAUUGAAUGGGAGGAGCUUUGGAAUGCAAUGGACUACAUAACAAAAAUAUGGAGAAGAGACUAAAGUGAGUUUUAUAAAGAUGAUGAGGGAAAUAUGGUGAAAAUUAAAAUUUGGUUUAAUUUCCUUUUAAAAACUCAUAAUUUAGACCAUUUUAUAAAUCAGUCCUUAUUUCAAAAUUGAAAGUCUUUUGAACAUUAUUUUCAAAAAACAUUUUAUUUUUCAAAAGGCCAUAGACAAAACCAAUUUCGGGUUACCACAAAUCAAAAUUUUCCAAACCCAUUCAGAGCCAAAAUUCCUAAUUUACCAUAAAAAAUUCUAGGCCCAAUUUGGUGUAUGAUAACCUUGAACCCCAAAUCUUGAACCAUGAACCCCAAAUCCUAAACUAUAAUAGUCUGUUUUCUAGUGGUGUCGAAAAUAGUGGUUUCGGGACCACAAAUCCAACAAGUAAGUUCGUAAAUGUUUUUAUUUAAUAUUUACGAGUCAAGUAAGUUCAUAAAUAUUAUUAUUUAAUAUUUACGAGUCAAAUAUAGUUCAAUAAUAAAAUCUGAUUUAAUGAUUUAUAUUAAAUGAAAGAAUAAUUAGGUUUAAGUAGUAUGACUCUAAAGUCAAGUGGUUUUAGAAAAUGAGGUAUCAGAAUCUCGUUUCUAUAAACCGAGCUAUAAAUAUUUUUUAAAAUAUUUUUUAAAUAUUUUUAGAGUGUUAUUAAGGUCGUAUUAAAAUUUGGUUAAGAAAUUUUAAUGUUUAGAUAGUUAAUUAAUUAAAACGGACUAACUUGUAAAAAGUGUAAAAGUCAAUUAUUAUUAGUAUUUAAGUGUCCAUUUGUAUAAAUUAAAAAUGGAUGGUUAUGGUAAACUAGCCAUAAUUGAUAAUAGUAGACGGUAAUGUGGUUGAUUUCUUAAGUUAUUAUUUGAAAUGUUUUAUUAAAUUAAUGUUUAAGUAUUAAAAUAAUAAAACAAAAGUAAAAUAGAUAAGCAUCAUCUUGACUUUGUUUCUUCACCGAAAGUAGAAGGAAGAAACUCCAUUUGAGAAUUUUCUAGUUUCGGCCAAACAAAAGUAUGUAAGAGUGUUGGUUUCUCGUAAUUUUUAUAUUUUUAAGAUCGUUAUAGUUUAAUCUAGUUAGCUCGGGGGUCAAUUUGUUAAAUUGUUGAAUGUUUAGAAUUCUACCAUGGAUGAAAUUGAAGUUUUCUUGAAAUUUUUUGAUAAAUUAUUAUACUUUUUUUUGUUAAAUAUAAGUAUUUUGGUAAGUAAUUUUUGAUGAUUUUCAAGUUUAGGGACUGAUUUGUGAAAAUCGUAAAAUCAAGGAAAAUAAUGUAAAUUGUGGAUAAAUAUAGGCUAUUAUAAGAAUUGGUAAAAAUCAGCUAGCAUGAUUUAUGGUUAAAAAGGGUGAAAUUUCAAGUUUUGAGUUUAGGGAAAUUGCAUAAAUGUUAAAAUAUUAUGGGUAAUUUUGUAAAAUUUCAUUAUUAUGGAUUAUAAGGUAAAUUAAUUAUUUUAAAUGCUGGAAUGAGAUUAAUUUAAUAAAAAUGUUUAUCUAGGUCAAAAAAUGACUCAAACAGACACUAAUGCGGGAAAACCAAAAAAGCGAAUUAGUCGUUGGAUCACGUUAGGGCAUCGUUUCAGUAUAGGUAAGUUCGUAUGAACUGUACUAGUUUCAAUCUUGAUUAAACUGAAUAUUUACCAUGUAAUUUUUAAAGUAAAUGGAUUGAUAUAUAAACGUAUCAAUGCUAUGAUGAAUUGAUGGAUAUUGAGUCUCGGUUGAACCUUAAGAAUUCGUAGGAUAUAAAUGACAUGUCAUUAGGGAUUUCAUGUUUCAAGUGUAGGUCCUGAAUGUCCUACCGAUGGCUAAGGUCCUACAUUUAUUGUGAAUUCCGACCCACAGCUUGUAUGAGUAGCAUCGUGUAGCUUACAUUUCGACCCACAGCUCGUGUAAGUAGACCCAUUUCACAACUCGAGUGAGCAACGAUGUAAAGGAAAGGUUACUAUUAUAUGUAAAGGCACACUAUGUGUGAGCUUUCCCGAGUAUCUGAUGUAAUUCUAGAUGGUUCAACGAGUAUGAAAAGGAAAUGAAAUGGUAAGUAUUCAAAUGAAAUGAAUCAUGAAAUUAUAAAGAAAAAUGGAUUUAUGAACUAAAUGAUGUGAUUACAUAUGUAAGUCUACUUAUUUUAUGGAUAAUGCAUUUAUAUCUUUGACAAAUGCACUAACUUGUGAAUUGAUGAUUUUAUUUAGGCUUAUACUAAGGUUUUGGAAUGGAAUGGUAAGUAAGUAAAUUUGAAUGGUUUAUAAUCUUAUGAAAAGGUUGAUGAAUAUGUGACGUGUCUUAUGAAAUCCACUUAUGUUAUAAAUGAACUUAUAUGGUUUAUAAUUUUAUGAAAAGGUUUAUGAAUAUGUGAUGUGUCUUAAAAAAUCCACUUAUGUUAUAAAUGAACUUAUAUGAGAUGUUGAUGCACUUACUAAUUUGUGAGUUUGAUGGCGUUUCAAUAGGCUUGUACUAAACUUAUGACAUUGGUAAUGGUUCAUGCUUAAUCUAUGAACUGUAUUAAUAAAAUGGUAAGCUAUGUUUAAGUCUAUAUGAGCUUAUUAAGCACUUGAUGCUUACGUAUUUUCUGUCCUAUGUUUUAUAUAUUAUCGGAAGCUUGAUCAGUUGGAAGCUCGUCGAAGACCUAUCACAUUAUCCAAUAGUCAAUUCGGUAGUUUUUGAGCAUUUAUGGUCAAGGUUAAUAGUGGCAUGUAUAGUGUGAUUUGUAAUGGUAUUUUGGUGUAUGUGUUGUUAGAGUUAUGACAUGUAUAAGCUUUAGAAAGCUAUGUUGGUUUGGUACACUUUGAUGCCUUACCAAGUUAUGUUGUUUUGGUUACUUAAAAGUGUUUGUUUAUAAGAUUUCUUGGCAUGUUGAUGAUGAUUUGAAAAUGGUUACUUGCGACAUGUUUUAGUUCAUAUUUGAACUAGGUUAUUAUGUAUAGAAAUGGCAAUAUGAACAUGUGUAGGUUACCUUGUAAUGGUGUCUAGUAAUUGUGUAAAUGGUAAUAUGGAAUGUUUAUGCUUGAAGUUAUGUAUGGAUGUUGGACUUGUAAUGCUUGUUAAGUUGAGUCCCUUUGAUCAAUUUUAGGUAAUUGAUGUGCAUGGCUUUUUGGCAUGUUAAUAUUGGCUUGGAAGUGGUCAUUCAUGAUGUGUUUUAGGCACAUAGUGGAAUUAGGUCUUUAUGCAUGGAAUGAAGCAAUGUUAACAUGUUUAGGUGAAUCAUAUUUGGAUGCAAAUUGUGGUGCCUUUGAAUGACAUAUUGGUUAGGUGACUUAGGAUGCUUGAAAUGAUAUGUUUAUGCAAGUUUGAAUGUUGUUUGAACCCCUUGAAUGUGUGCUUAAGUGGUUUGAGAAGUUAUGCGUGAAAUGGUUUUGAUUUUAGGUACAUUUUGGGUUCACACGGCUUAGGACACGGCCUGGUGACACAGUCGUGUGUCAUUUAAGGAUUUCAUAGGGUUCAAGUCAGUGAGUUACACGGCCUAACACACGGCCUGGCACACGGGCGUGUGGGGCAACUCAGAGAGUUACACAGGUGAGGACACUAGCUGGGACAUAGCCGUAUGUCCCUAUUUCGAAAGUUAUACGGCCUAGAGCCAUGUCAUACUAUCUAGCCUCACAACCGUGUGACCCUUGUUUUCAAAUUUUGUGACUUUUAUUAAACUUUCCAUUUUGUUUCAAAUUAGUCCUGAAUUGCUCCUAAGCUAUUUUUAGGGCCUCAAGGGCCCGAUUUAGGGAUAGUUUGCAUGUGAAUGAAUGAUUUAUGAUAUUAUUAAUAUGUUGAAUGUUAUGAUGUUUAAAAGUUACAGAUUGUAUAGUAACACUUCAUAACUCUAAUUCGGUGACGGAGAUGGGUUAUGGGUUAAGGGUGUUACAUGAACCUUAAACCCCGAAUAAGAUUCAGAGUUUUGGGUUUAGGUUUGGGUUUGGGUUUGAGGUUUGGGGUUCAAGGUCUGGGGUUUAAUGUUUAGGGUUCGAGGGGAUAGAAAAUACCAAAAUUGUGUGUCAAUGACAUGGAAAAAAUUAUUGAAAUAUCAUUAAAUAAUUAGAAAAGGACCAUGAAUGGUGUAGUGGGAAUGAUCCAUAAAAUAAUUCUCUAUAUUAUACUUAUAAACUUCCAAAAUGAAUGGACAAUUAUUUUAGAUAGAUUAAAUAUGUAACACGCCAAACCUGGCCCUUUUGUAACAGCCCAUUUUUCAGUGAAAUCGGAACAGUGGUUUCGGGAUCACAAAUCCGAUCCAAAAUAUAUUUUAUUUUUAUUUUACCAUAUGGCCCGUAAUAUGAUAGAAAUAACGUGUGAAAAUUUUUAUAUGAAAAUUUUAUCGAUUUAGUGCCUAAUUACGAGAAGGACUAAAUUGUAUAAAAUGCGAAAGUUGAAUUCUAGUAGCUAUAAGGAUCAAAUAGUUAUGGAAUUCAAAACUUAAGGUCCUUAUAUGGUAAUUACAUCAUUAAUAAAAGUAUGUAGAUUUUUAUGGUGACUCAUUCAUGGAAUUAUAGAAAAAAACAAGGGUCUAAAUUGGAAAUACCAAAAUACAUGAUUAAUUAAAAGAUAAAAAGAAAUUAUAUCAUCUUAUUUUUCAUCAUCUUCAACCUAAAAACACAUGGAAACCCUAGGAGAGAGAAAAUAAGCUUUCAAGGCCUAAUUGGAUUCGGAAAACACAAAUUCGAUGUGAUUUAUGUUAAUGUGCCUUACUUGUAUGCUAUGGAAAAAUUUAUACAUGCUUGAAAUAGUGAUAAAGGGUUAAGUCCCGAUUGAACAUUGAAUAUCGACGAAUGUAUAUUCUUUCCCGAAAUUAAUAAGGUCAUGCAUUUGUUGUGGAUGGGAUUUAGCUCAGAUGAGUAAUCCAAAUGACCUUGUUAUAUAAAGGAUUUAGCGAGGAUGGGUAAUCCUAAUACAAUACCUCUCGAGUAUGAGUUAAGAUUAGGGUUUAGCCUGGACUGGUAAUCCUAAUCAAGCUUUUUGAGCAUAUGCUAUAUAAAGGAUUUAACCUGGACUAGUAAUCCUGUCAUACGAUAUGUGGAUCGAGAAUGUAUUCCUUGGUUAAGCACCUUAAGGGCACGUUUGGUUCGCUGUAUUGGAUUAAAGGUGUAUUGGAUUAGACGUGUAGUGGAUUAGAGGUGUAUUGGAAUAGAGGUGUAAUAGCAAAUCAACUGUUUGGUUGAAUGUAAUGGAAUAGAGGCGUAAUAGUAAUCUUGUGUUUGGUUGAAUGGAAUAGAGAUGUAAUAGCAUAAUGGAAAAAACUAAAAUGACUAGAAUACCCUUAGCAUAAAUUUGUUUUGGUAAAUGAUUAUUGUUAUUGUUAUUUAAAUUUUAAUAAGAUUAUUAUUAUCAAUAAUAAAUAAUUUAAUCAUAUUUAAACAUAAUUAUUAUUAAAUAUAUUUUAAUUAAAAUAUAUAAUUUAAUAAAAUUCUUAAUAAUUAGCAGAAAUUUGUUUUGGUAAAUUAUUAUUGUUAUUGUUAUUUAAUUUUUAAUAAGAUUAUUAAUAUCAAUAAUAAAUAAUUUAAUCAUAUUUAAACAUAAAUAUUAUUAAAUAUAUUAUAAUUAAAAUAUAUAAUUUAAUAAAAUUCUUAAUAACUAAUAUUCUUAUAUGAAUUUACUCAAAUCAUAAUAUAGAUAAUUUAACAUAAUUAUUAUUAAAUAUAUUAAAUAUAAUUUAACAUAAUUAUUAAUAAUCUUAUGAUUUAACAUCCUUCAAUGGACUUCGAAGGUCCUUAUAGUUUCAACCCACAGUACACAUUAUUCAAGUUAAUCUCCAUAUUAUAUUUAUACAUAUCAAAGCUAUAAGCAACAUAGAAGCUAAUGAGGCCCCAUUUCCCACAAGUUCACAUGUAGAUCCUCGGCAAAGAGAAACUAAAGUUACAAAUAACCUUACCAGCUAUUCAUGCAACAUUCACACACUUUUUGGACAGGUACCAGGAGUCAACCUGUAAAGAAAUGUAACUUCUUCAGCUCCUUCAACUCCAUUUCCUACUUGGCACGCCUUAACAAGAGCAGCACUCAUGAGCAGCACUCAAAACAGAUUUAACACGACCAUUGCAAAUUCAAUUUAACCCCGUUAUGCCAAAUUUGAUAGAAAAAAGCUUCGGCAGAGCAGCAUGGUUCAUUGAGAUCAAUACACUUUCUACUUUGCAAAUUAACAGCAUGCUUCAUGAGAUAAUCAAGUGAUCUACAAUUAAAAACAAAUUAAACAGUACUACUGCUGAAUAUAUUUAAUGAAACACUUGAAAAGGGACCUCAAAAAAAGAUUAUUGAUCAUAAUUAGAAAACUCAUUUCACCGAAUUUGACAGAAAAAUGCUUCAGCAGAAUCAACAACGGUUCAUUAAGAUUCAUACACUUUCAUCACAUAUUGGCAGCAUGGCUCAACAGAUAAUCUAUUACUGAUUAAACUUAAUCCAAUAACACAAACCCAUCAAAGUAAACCCAUCAAAUUUAAAAUUUGACACGGUAAAGAAGGAAAAUAACCACUCAAAAUAAAAUGUGAAGCAGAAAAAAUCGUAAAACUACAUUCUAGUUUUUGUAAUUAAAACAUCUAGGUUAUCAACAAGUGCACAACCAUGUCAUUUACUUCCUUUGCAUGUGGCAGCAUCUGUUUAAGUUCCUCCACCUUGACGAGAAUAUCCAUGCCCCCUUGCAGCUUCCUCUUUUGCUUGUUUGACAGCUGCCUCUUGAAGUUCAACUUCUUUCAUCAAGUUCAUAAUCGAUUGCAUGGUCUGACACAAAAUUUUCUGAACCAAAAUCUCAUAAGUUAGCAGUUCAUCCUCCCAAAAUAGCAACAACAAAAAAAACAUUAGAAGUUCAAAAUUUCAAAGAUCAGUUCAUUCAUCAUGCUGCGAUCAACGAUAUAAUGGACUAAGUUCUAGUAUUAUUAGCAUUGCAUAGGAUCAUUCUCAAACCCAAACAGCCUCCAAAGUUGACAAAAGAAAGUAACAAGUUUAGAGCAAAGAGUACCUUGUUAUCUUUAGCAUCUUCAAUGAUCUCUUCGAGUAGAUCAAUUCUACAUGUUUGACUUGAUCUACUAACAACAGUGUUGAAGGUCUCAUCCUCAACAUCACUCAUUUCACCAAUGCAACCCUUCUGGGAUUUAAGCCCAACAAAAAUUUCUGGCAAUUGUUCUUGAGAGUAUGACGGAACCAGCAUGCUCACAGCAUUUUCUUCACCGACCAUGGUUCCAUUGAAUGAACUGCUUCUGCAUAAAUCUUUAUUAAAAUCCAUGGGUCCAUCAAAAUUUAACUUAUCAUCACUGCUGCCAUUCUCCAAAAGCGGGGCCGUAUCAUCAGCCGAGGUGAAUGGGGCAACCUGUGGCGUCCUCAGAAACCCAUCUUCAAUGUCUGUGGUUUGGUCUUAACUUGAUGAACAUGAGAAAUCAAGAACCAAAAGUCAAGGAAAAAACAUUAGAAGAUACAGUAAGAUCCAUUAAGGUUCAUGAUAACUAGUUUUAGAAUCAACUUAGAGAAAUUUCCAUUGAAAUAGAAGAAAUAACAUACAGUUCACCCCUUUUUUAAACUCAGAAACAAUAAACUAUAUUAUAAUCCUUACUGAAGUUUGAUAGUUAAGCAAGUGAAAGCAUUUGAUAAUUCCAAAGCCCAGAACCCAAAAGAUCACAUAAAAGAAUUGCAUACAGCUCAUUUGACUGCAUUUAUCUUUCUUCCUCAAUAAAAAUGGAAAAGCAAAGAAAUUCUGAUCAGUCCUCUCAUAAAAAUUUUUAACUCCUAACAUAGUACUAGAUUCAUCAAGAUGAUGAUCGUGACAGUUUUCCCAGAGACUUCCACUUUAACACCAGAAAUUAAGUAACAAAAAAUUGAAUUCCAUCAAAAUAACAGAAAUAAGGGCAUGGGUAUUGACAAUUAAAGGGUAAAGAGAAAACCAAAAUCAAAAUUUGACCCAACAAAAUAGAAGAAAUGAAGCUUUUGGGAAUCACCUGAAAGAAGUAUAGUUAUAGAAUUCAACAUCCAAACACAUGAAAAUAAGUGAAGCAGAGGAGAAAAUGGUUAGUCCCAAACGAAGAGCCAAGCUAGCGCUAGUUCCCAAUGCCCCUGGCACUUGCUCCAUCAUCUUUCGAGUCAGCUUACCUCUCCGUUUCUUCAUCUUUAAAUUCCCAAACAAGAAAGAAGAAAAUAGAGUUUCAAAGAAAGUGAAAGAAGUGGUCUUCGAAAUUCCGAAAAGUUAUGCUUGCAAAAAUGGUUCCACCUUUGGGUUUUGUUUCUAUGAUGAAGACCUUGGAAGAGAGAAAUAAGAAAAGGAAGAAAGUGUUUUUUCUUUUUAAAAUUCUGAAAAUAGGAGUUAUAUUGUUUUGACAUAGUUUCAUUCAUGUCUGUUUCAAUGUCUGUGAAACCCAUCUUCAAUGUCUGUUUCAAGAUUUGCAUAUAGACAGAGGGAGCAAAUCGGCAGAAAGGGUAAAACAGGGAGGGGAAACCGAAGGGGCAACUAAUCUACAGAAAAGAGGGGGAUUAGAAAUCAGUGGUUUUCACCGAUUAGGAAGGUAAAGGAUUACACCCGUAUUAGCAAUACAUCAAACCAAACGAUGGAAUACAGUCGCAUUAGGUGGGGCCCACCGAUUAGGGGUGUAUUGACUAUGCCAAUACACCAAACCAAACAUGCUUAAGGGUUACACUUGAUAAGAAUUCACGGAUUAAUGAAUCAUACACCUCAAGUGUUCUGCUUGAGCCUUCAUCAGAAUUUCAAUGAUUCAAUGGACAUAUAACUCUUGAUUUGGCAUGAAAAUCUUGAGAUAAAAUGAUAAUGGCUUGAAAGAAGAUUGCUUGAUGAGCUCAUCUAUGUUACUUGAUUGAUAUGAAGAUUUUAGUGACUAACAUGUUUGAUUGACUGUAUGUGUUUAGGCAAUUUAGCCAAAUGGGUGGAAAACAUGUUAUGUAUGCUUAGAUUUAUUAAACAAGAUUGGUAAGUUUAGUUUCUGUUAUACGAACUUACGAAGCAUGUAUGCUUACUCCUUUUAUUUUUCCCCUUUUUUAUAGUGCUCGGAAACUCGUGAAGGUUGGAAGAUCGUUGGAGCAUCGUCACAGUAUCAACAUAGCAUUUUGGGUAUACUUAGUGAAAUCAUUUUGGUGUAAUGGCAUGUAUAGGGAAACUUGGACAAUAGUGGCUUGAAAUGUCAUUUUGUAACCUAGCCAUUGGAAUGGCUAGUGAUGGCUCAUUUUGGGAUAAGAUUUAGUAAUCUAUUAUGGUACAUAUAUAUAUAUUCACAUGUGUUAUGCUAAGUUCAUGUGAUCAAAUGUUAUUAAUGCCUAAAUUAAGAUAAGGUGAGUUGGUAACCAUGUAUGCAUGAAAUGGUAUGCCUUGUUAAAUGAUUAAAUUGCUUACUUUAAAUACUUGAAUUGGCUUCAUUUUGUCCACAUGGGCAGACACACGGAAGUGUGUUUAGACCGUGUGUGACACAUUGCCUGGUAACACGGGCAUGUGGUUAGGCCGUGUGUCCCCUGCACCAUAAUUUUGAGAAAUAGAAUGCUCGGAAUUGAGCACAAUGGCAGAGACACAGGUGUGUGUCUCAACUGUGUUAGCCACACGGCCUAGAACACGAGCGUGUGUCCUGGCCAUGUAAAACCUGCACCUAAUUUGAAUUAAAUUAAUUAACCACACCGCCUAGCACGCGGGCUUGUGGCAUGACCGUGUAUGCAAGUCAAAGAGUUACAUAGGGUCGAACACAACCUCUAGCACGGCCGUGCCCUAGGGUCACAUCGGCGUGACCCUUGGACCACAUCGGCGUAUGAGCCAUGCACCUUGGAAAAAUUUUAUAAUUUCACAAAAAAUUCUUAGAGGUCCCGAUUAAGUCCCGAUUCGAUUCUAAUGCUCGUUUUGGACCUCGAGGGACUAAUUAAGAGACGUUAUGAAUAAUCUCGAUUAAUAAAUAGUGACUUGCAUGAAUUAAUUGAAAAACAUUCUGAAUGUUCUGGUAAUACUCUGAAACCCUGUUUCGAUGACGAGUACGGGUUAGGGGUGUUACACCUUUAAUAGGAUCCGAGUACGAUGUGUCACUACUUAAAAAUUAAACUAAUCUUCAGCAUAUUUUUGGUAAAAGCUUUGCAAAACUUAGAGUUAUGGAUAACAAACCUAUGACAACUGGUGUUUUACUAGAGUUUGAAUGAAACCAUUAACAGAUUAAAAAUAGCGUAUAAGUCAUAUGCCAUAUAAGUUCAAGUAUAAUAACUUCAUUAAACAUAAUAUAAUACUUUAAAUUCAAAUUAUGAUACUUUAUAAAGAUCUCUUAAAACAAAGUCUUAACAAAACAGAAGUUCUUUGUACACAUCAUUUCCAAAAAUACAUUUACAUGUCACACCCACGAGUCAUGCAUGAUACAAAAGAAAACAGUUAUCUCACAAUAUUAGCUGCACUCUAGCGUAGUCCUUCUAACAAAGCCUUCCUAUAGUCAGCAAGCUUAAGAAGGAAAAGGUAACAGAGUAAGUUCAAAUGAACUUAGUGAGUUACAAAGAGAAAUCAUAAAUAGUAUUACUGAUAGUAUAAUUGAACCUUUCAAAGGGGGGUUUACACAUUUUCACAUAGUACGCCCAAUGGCGUAUACAUAACUCAGGCAGACUCAGUACGCCAACUUACUUAUCACUUAGGCAUAUACUGUACACCAACUUAACAAAACUCAUACAAUCCAUCUUUAUGCUAGCCACGUACACAAAUUUUUGGAGUUAGAUACAUAUCAUACAGUCUCAUUCUUAUAUAUUCUCCCCCUUAACUCCUCAUGUCAUUUUCAUUCAAAAUAGUAUGUUUUAUCAUGAUUUGCCAAUCCGGCUUGCAAUAUAUCUGCCCUACCGUAGGCUACACAAACAUAUCUCCUCAUCUCUAUCACCACAUAUCAGAUCAUGUCAUAUCAUAAAUAUCAGAAGCAUAUGGUAAUGGCUUAAACAUGAAGAAUAACUCAUACUUCAUAUCAUAGACAUACUGAACUCAUAUUGACGACUCUGAACAACCAUUAUCCAAACAUACACUUUUCAUCCUUUAUAGAGAAAGAAUACUUACCUUACACAAACUAUAAAAUAAAUAAACCACAACAUAUGGAAGUAAGAAGAAACUCACCAAAAACUCUAGCAAAAUCUAUAAGCCAGGUCAUUUACCUUUAUCACUUAGACCUUUAGUAGCUUCUUGAGUUAAAAUAAAGAUAAUUAAACAUAGCAAAUCACUAAUCUAUCAAAUCUAAACAUACAUGCAAGAAUCAAAAACUCUUAAUCCAGAAUCAGGAAGUUUCCUUCCUCACACACCAUUUUAACAUCUAUGCAUAUAGAACAAAAAACAAGUAAAUGACUUUAAAGAUAACUAAAUAAAUCAUGAAGGAAGAUCAUGAAUUUGUAACUAGAAAAUAAAAUAUGAAAUGUUUAACCAUAUUUUUCAAAAAUAAACCUGAAUGAAGAUCAUGAAUUUGUAACCAAAAAAAAGAAUAAAUCAAAGAUACCUACAAAGGUUCUUCAUUUUUCUUUAAACAAUGGAAAACAAGAAGAUGAGUGUUAAAAGUCCAAGGGGCGCCAUUCUCAACCCUCCCAAUAUCCAACUCAUGGUAAAACUUGAAGAGAAACUGUUUCUCUCCCAGAUUUGAUAUCAUAACGCCUCCCAAAGGAUGCCAAAUAUUGGCCAUAGUAUUCCUCAUUGCUUAGAAAUUAAUCACACUUGCUGUUAAAAAACAGCCCGCAAGACAAAAUUCAUACUUAUGACUAACAGGAUUCCCAUCUUCAUGGAUACUCCAAGCUUCCUUUUCAUUGUCCUCUAUUCAUAGAUCUUCCAUAUCAUUUUCUAUUCUCGAAAAGUAGUAAAAAUGAAAUAAUAUAAAAAAAACAAAACUACAAAUGGAGAAAAUUGAUUUGUUAAAUGAAUGAAACAACAAUACAAAUCAAAAUUAUAAUACGAAAAGACUACGAGUGCCAGAACAGCAGACAGAGCAAAGUGUGCUAACCAGCUGACAUUUCCGAAAUCUUUUAAUGGAUUACUUAUUUUCAGUUAAGAUCUCAAUUAAAUAUUAUAUUUUAUUAAAGACUCUAUUGAUUAUUAAAUUAUUUUUAUUAUAUCAAGGCAAUAAAAAAACUAUAACUUUUUUUUUAUCAAAAAUAGAAUUGAAAAAAAGGCCGAGGGUGGUAGCUUUAUCGAAGGAACUAUCUUGCUUGUAACAUAUUACACAUAAUACCAAGCCGAAUCCGAUUGAACGUCAAUUGCUUCACAAUCACUUAAUUUCUGAUCUAAGUUCUUCACAUCGGCGUUUGAUCUUCCCUUAUCUUUCCCUGUGAAAAUAAAAUAAAAUAAAGAACACACAGAUUUUACGUGGAAACCCUUUCGGGAAAAAAAACUACGGGCAGAGGAGAAGAAAAUUCACUAUGUCGAAUUCGAAUAAAUUACAAGAGGAAUAGACUAUGCUUAUUUAUAGGCUUGUAAAGUCAUAUUUUAGUAAGAUUGAAACACCUUACUCUAAUCAAUAUAAAAUAGAUGGAGUUUAAUAAGGUUUAAAAAACCUUAUUCUAAAAGAAAAUAAAAGAAGUGUAAUUUUAUAUGGAUUUUACUUUUAUUUUAUUUUACCAAUGUAUUUUAUUUAAAUAAGGAUUCGGGUCAUUUAAUUCUAACAAUCUCCACCUUGACACGAAUCUCAAUGAACAAGUUCUUCAUCGCGAACUCUCAAUGAACAAGUUCUCCACCUCUUCCAUAAAACCCCUUAAGGGUUUAACUUCAAAAAUGAACACCAACCAAGUCCAAGCAAUGCUCAAACUUGGUUAUAGGAAGUGACUUAGUUAUCAUAUCUGCAGGAUUUCAUGAGUAUUAAUUUUGCUCACAACAAUAUCACCACGAGCAAUAAUAUCACGAACAAAAUGAUACCGAACAUCAAUGUGUUUUGUUCUCUCAUGAAACAUUUGAUCUUUUGUAAGGAAGAUUGCACUCUGACUGUCACAAAAUACCGUAAUGAUUUAAAAGUCUUCAUUGAGUUCACUAAAGAGUCCCUUCAACUAAAUAGCUUCUUUACAAGCUUCAGUAAUCGCCAUGUACUCAGCUUCAGUGGUACAUAAAGCGACUGUAGUUUGCAAAGUGGCUUUCCAACUGAUUUCACAACCUCCGAUUGUAAUGACAUAACCUGUGAGAUAUCUUCUUCUAUCAAGGUCUCCAGCAAAAUCAGCAUCAACAUACCCAAUGACUCCAUCUCUAGUUCUUCCAAACUGUAAGCAGACAUCAGUAGUACCUCGUAAGUAUCUUAAAAUCCACUGAACUGCUUUCCAGUAUUCUUUACCAGGAUUCGUCAUGUAUCUACUAACUACACUGACUGCAUAUGAUAAAUCUGGACGUGAACAAACCAUAGCAUACAUGAGAGAUCCCACUGCACUAGAGUAUGGAACAUGUGACAUGUACUCAAUCUCAUCAUCUGAUUAUGGAGACAAAAUCGAUGAAAGUCUGAAAUGGGCUGCUAAAGGAGUACUAACAGGCUUAGCACUCUGUAUAUUGAACCUGCAAAGGACUUUCUCAAUGUACCCCUUCUGACUUAGGUACAAUUUACUUACUUUUUUAUCUCUGAAAAUCUCCAUACCAAGUAUCUUCUUUGUUGGUCCCAAAUAUUUCAUCUCAAAUUCUUCACUUAGUUGGGCUUUGACCUUUCUUAUCUCUCCUUUAUCUUUUACUGGUAUCAACAUGUCAUCAACAUAAAGAAGUAGAUACACGAAAGAACCAUCAUUGUUUUUCUUAAAGUAAACACAACUGUCAAAACUACUUCUUUUGAAAUCGUGAGAAGUCAUAAAGGAAUCAAGCCUCUUGUACCACUGUCUUAGUGACUGUUUCAAACCGUAAAGAGACUUUUUCAGCAAGCAAACAUAGUCCUCUUUUUCUGAGACUGUAAAACCCUCUGGUUGUUGCAUGUAAAUUUCCUCCUCAAGUUCUCUAUGCAAAAAUACAGUUUUUACAUCUAAUUGCUCAAGCUCCAAAUCAUGCAUGGCCACAAUACCAAGCAAAGCUCGAAUCGUACUAUGCUUCACAACUGGGGAGAACACAUCUGUGAAGUCCAUUCUUGGAAUUUAACUGUAACCGUUUGCAACAAGCAUUGCUUUAUAUCUGGGUUCUUCAACUCCUGGAGUCCCUUCUUUCUUUUUAAACAUCCAUUUACAACGAACAACCUUUUUACCUUUAGUAAGUUUCACAAGAUCCCAUGUUCUGUUUUUAUGGAGUGAUUUCAUCUCCUCUUGCAUAGCAAACAUCCACUUUUCUGAGUCUUCACAGCUAAUUGUCUCAGAAUAAUUAGAUGGCUCUCGGUUUGCAUUUAUAUCUUCAGCCACAUUUAAAGCAUAAGCAACUAGAUCAGCCUCGACAUACUUCUUUAGAGGUUUAAUUUCUCUUCUAGUGUUAUUUUUGGCAAUAGAGUAUUGUGGUGAAGAAGCAACUCUAUUCUCAAUUUUUGUACUGGCUUGAAGAGUCCACUCUGUAUUAAUCUGAUGUUCCAUCUGCUUUUGAUUUUCUUUAUUGGAAGAGUCUUUAAGAGAUAAGUUAGGUAGCAUAGCAGUUUCAUCAAAAACAACAUCUCUGCUAAUCACAACUUUUCUAUUUUCAGGACACCAUAACUUAUACCCUUUUACACCGGCUUUAUAACCAAGAAAAACACAUUUAAUAGAUCUCGGUUCCAAUUUUCCAUUAUCAACAUGAGCAUACGGAGGACACCCAAAGAUCUUUAAGUCAGAAUAAUUAGCAGGAUUACCAGACCAUUCUUCUUGUGGAGUCUUUUUCUCAAUGGCAACAGAUGGAGAUCGGUUGAUCAAAAAACAUGCAGUAGAGGCUGCUUCUGCCCAAAAUGACUUUGGUAAGUUGGCAUUUGACAACAUACAUCGAACCUUCUUCAUGAUCAUCAUUCGUUCUACAACGUCGUUUUGCUAUGGAGUAUGACGAACUGUCAAAUGUCUCACGAUCACUUCUGACUUGCACAGUCUAUUAAACUCAUCAGAACAAAACUCUAAGCCAUUGUCUGUGCAGAGGUAUUUUAUUUGUUUUCUUGUCUGUUUUUUAAUCAUAAUUUUCCAAGACUUAAAUGCGGAAAAUACAUCGCUUUUUUACUUCAGAAAGAACGCCCAAACUUUUCUAGAAAAAUAAUCAAUAAAAGUUAGCAUAUAAUUAGCUUCACCUCUCGAAGGCACUCUGGGUGACCCCCACAGAUCAGAAUGAAUAUACGCCAACGUUCCCUCCAUGUUAUGGAUUCCUCUGGUGAAUUGAACUCUCUUUUGUUUCCCAAAAACACAAUGCUCGCAAAACUUCAGUUUGCAAAUUCCUUGUCCAUCAAGAAGUGUUCUUUUGUUCAAUUUUGCCAUUCCAUUCUCACUCAUAUGCCCUAAGUGCAUAUGCCAAAGUUUAGUACUAUCAUCAUCUGACAAGGAAAAGGAAGCGAUAGCUGCAUCACCAGUAGUAAUAGAACCCUGCAAAACAUAUAACUUGGUAGUCUUUCUCUUUCCUUUCAUCACAACAAGGGAACCUUUGGAAAUCUUUAAAACUCCACUUUCAGUUGUGUAUCUGUACCCUUUUGAAUCAAGAGUACUCAACAAAAUUAAAUUUCUCAUCUUCUGAAACAUGUCAUACGUCACUAAGUGUUCUGAAAACUCCAUCAAACAUCUUAACUUUAAUUAUUCCAACACCUACAAUUUUACAUAAAGCAUUAUUUCUCAUCAAAAUAACACAUUCAGACACUGUUUUGUAAGUUGUAAGCCAAUCCCGACUGGGACUUAUGUGGAAGGUGCAGCCUGAAUCAAGUAUCCACUCCUCGCUCACUUUAGAAUUGUUGACAGAAGCGACUAGAAAUUCACCAUCGAUGCAGUUUUCUACAACAUCAGCUUCAUCGGAAUUUUCUGGUUGUUUUCCCUUUUGAUUCGCAGCCUCCCUUUUAAUCUUAUUUUGUAGCUUAUAGCACUCAGAUUUAAUGUGUCCUUUCUUCUUAUAGAAGUUACAAGUUUUACCUCUGUUUGAAGACUUCGAUCUACCCUUAGAUUCACCGCGAGGAUUUCGUUCCUGUGUCCUUCCACGAUCAUCAUCAACAUUCCGAUCUUGUCUCCCACAAACAAUGAGACCCUCUCCUUAAGAGUCGGGUUUAACCACAAGAUGCUUCAUCUUAUCAUACGAGGUCAAAAAAUCAUAAACCUCAUCAAUUCUAAGAGACUCGAGGCUAUAUAAUAUCGGGUUUCUAAAGGUUGAAUAAGACGAGGGCAACGAACAAAGUAGAAUCAACCCUAGAACUUCCUUAUCAUACUGAACCUUCAUGCUUUCCAAGUUUGAGAGAAUUUCUUUGAAAACUAUCGAAACCCUUUUUUAUUUUGAAAACAAUGAGGAUCGACUUUUGAAAACAAAAAUAUGGAGUCGCCACCAAUCUCUUGAUUUAGAUGUGAUUGGGGCACCUACUAAAAUUCUUUAUUCAUGAAAAAUCAAAAAGUGGGAUGAAUCCAAAAGAAAUUACAAAACAACAUGAAAUUACUAGCAUACACAAACCAAAAUGAAUUAUAUUACAAAUAAAACAUUAAUUAUUAAAAUUGGAAUAAAAAAGAAAAGAUUACAAAAUUCAACUACCAAAAACAACACAAAAUAUCACAACUAAUAAUUAACCAUAUAAAAAAAUGUAUGUGCAGUAAAUAAAGAAGAAAAUUAAAACAGGAGAAGCAAUUUACAAAUAAGAUAAUUAUAAAAUUGGAUCAAUGUGCCACGUGCGCAAAUGCGCGGGGAUUGGAAUUGAAAAUAACCCGCACCCACAAUACUAUACUAGACCGUGGAUCAAAGUGAAAAAACGCACAAAUUAGAAUGCUAAAUUUAAAAAAAAGGGGGGUAAGCGAAUUGGGUGCUAAUUGAAAGGUUCGCGAAAAGGGAAGGAUUUGUUUCAUAAAUAGACCCUUUUAGGCACAAAAGCCCCCCCUCAACCCUUCUUACACGGUGCCGUUUUGUUUAAUAUGUUAUUUAAAACCUUUCUUCUCCCAUUUUCUUCUCCAACGCAACCACUCAUUUCACCAAAAUUCACAGCCUCAAAAUCACAUUGUUAGGGCUCAUACCUGCAGCCAUAGAACCACCAUCUCAUUUGGUGGCCAAUAACGCAUGGGCAACGACCAGAUCCUACCAUCGAAGGCUCCACUCGAGGAAAUCUGGUAAACCAUUUUAUUUUUUCCUUUUAAAAAAAAACAAAUCUCUUAGAUCUAAUAUCACUUGUUCAAGAAAAAUGAAACCGAAAUUGAAAAACAACAUAUCUAAUACUAUCCGACCCUCACCCCUUAUCUCAGUAUUUCAGAGAUAUUAGGGAUCUCAUUGGCAUGGUUUCGAGGCUUGAUAUAUAAUAAAUCCCCCUUCCAACUUCGAUCUCAACGAAGUGAACAGAGGUCAAAAGCCGAUUCGCAAGGUAAAACUUGAUUUUCUUUUUUUUUUCUGUUCUAAAAUGCAAAAUGAUGAAAAUAAUCGCAGGAAAAAAAUAAAUAAAUAAUAAGUGAACGAUUUAAAAAACUGAAGAAGAUCACCUUUCGGAAAUUCUUCUCGAAAAUUUUUUGUAUUCUCUAUGCGGAUAGUGUGCAUGCGUAAGUAAAAAUACAUGGGCUAUAAGCAAGGCUUUUUAUAGCCUAAAUUUACAAAGAAAAAUAAAAUUAUAUUUGCUUGCUGUCAUUUUGCUGUAUUCUGUUAGCCCAUUUUUCUUCUCGUAUAUUCCUUUGCAGGUUCUACGGAAGCAGAGCUGUACGGGGAGAAGGCCAUGGAAGCCGUGCAUGGGAACCCCAUUCUGCUGCUACUCUCGUAUAAUCCAGAAACUUCUAGCCUGGGCUCUAUCGGUUUACCUCAAAUAGCCAAGAAGAAGGGCUACUACUGCGGCAUUGAUCAAUUAGUCUUAGAUUGGACCUUUUCCGGGUUAUUUUCGAUCUCAACUUUGGGGUCUAAAAUUUUGCAAAUGGAUUUGGAUUAGAUUUGUGUUUUAUUAUUUAGGCUAAACUGUAAGUAAACUUUGGACCUAUAAUUGGUUCUUAUUUUAAUUUAUUUAUUUUCUGUAAAUAAAAUAGGCCCGGGCAAAAUGGGUUAACUACAAACACUAUUAAGUGUUCGUGUACAAACGCACCUUCCUCCAAACGAUGAGCAUAAAGACGUUGCUUCAUAUGCAACUUGCUUGUUAGAGUUUUCGACAUACAUAUUUGUUUCAGCCUCUUCCAUAAUGAGCGGCGGUCUUCUCCCUCAUCACAUCCUGCAAAAUUUUGUUGGAUAAAUGCAGAUGUAAUUGUGUGAACGCCUUUCGGUCCUUACACUUCUUCUUUUCAUCUGUUAAUGUUGAAGGCAUCUUAUCUAUCCCUAGCAGAGUAUCCUCCAGAUCCAUCUACGCAAUAACUGCUUGCAUCUUAAUUUUCCACAAUGCAAAUCUGGCGUUGCGAUCCAACAACGGAAUUUCAUACUUCAAAGACGCCAUUAUCGUGAUCGAGAUGAAUAACUCGGAAGCUCUGAUACUAAUUUGUGAAAAUAAAAUAAAAUAAAAUAAAGAACACAUAGAUUUUACGUGGAAACCUUUUCGGAAAAAAAAAACCACGGGCAGAGGAAAAGAAAAUUCACUAUGUCGAAUUUGAAUAAAUUACAAGAGGAAUAGACUAUGUCUAUUUAUAGGCUUGUAAAGCCAUAUUCUAGUAAGAUCGGAACACCUUAUUAUAAUAAAUAUAAAAUAGAUGGAGUUUAAUAAGGUUUAAAAAAUCUUAUUCUAAAAUAAAAUAAAAAAAGUGUAGUUCUAUAUGAAUUUCACUUUUAUUUUAUUUUACCACUGUAUUUUAUGUAAAUAAAGAUUCGGAUCAUUUAAUUUUAAUAUUGCCAUAUCUUCUUUUAUUCAUUGGACAUCGUUUUUGAACUCUUCAUUUCCUUCUUCUUGAUCACGCUCAGCACCUCCAUUGUUAUUGACUUAAAUUAGAAGCUCUCAACUAAAAUCAAAGCCAAAAGAGAUUGAUAUAUAAACUUGGAUUGUAAUGAGUGAAAUGCCAUCAACAAUGCAUUUAUAUAUGAAUUUAAUUUUAGCAAAACUGAAUCUGGAAUUUUUGGGGGCAGGAGGCAGAUUUCAGCAUGUGUUUAUGUUAGCCAAUGCCAUACGUUGUGGGACACAGGGCUGUUGCAUAGGCCCUAUACCUGCACCACAUGAUGAGCAAGCCCCUUGAAACAAGAGUUGUGACCAAUCUCCAUUUGGCUUUUAUGAUUGGAUACCUCUUUAAAAUUCUACAACAAUUUCAAUUCGACAUCAUGUUAUUAAUGGAAGCAUGACACAGAUAAGCAUCCACUAUUCUUUCCGAUUUCGUUACUUUCGUAUGCUGUAUUAAACAGCCAUCACAUUGGGCAUUACCUUUAAAAGUUGAAAGCCACUACGAUGUAGUGACGUUUCUGCAAAGUAAUCAAAACAAGGAUCUCUUUUCAUUUAGACCUCUGAACAUAUAUAAACCAGGGUUUCUUCUUUAAUAUUCCUACACGGCUACAUCCACUUAAUUUAUUGGGGGUGAGGAAUGAGUUGCUUGGGAUCAAACCCAAAUUUUCAUACCCAUAACAUAAUAGUCUUGUCAUAGGUCAAGAGGUUGUUGGCGGCUACAAUUAUAAAUUCUAACUGCCCAUUACCCAAGAUAAACAUAAGACUAUUUUCAUGCUGAAGCAGCUGGCCUGCAAACUGGUAAAUCCUUUUCAAAAUAGGGUGGAGCUCUAAGAAUCGGGUUGCUCUCGAAGAAAUUAACUGGCUUCAAAUCAAAGCUUGAUGACACUGUUGGCAUUAUAGGAAAAUCCUCCUGGCAUGGUAUGUGAUGGAACCCUAAUGUAUACCAAACCACAAUGUCCUUGUUCUCGAUUGGUCGAUCCCUGCAAACCCAAAAAAAAAAAUUAAUGGAAAUGGAAUUGGAGAAUAAAAAUUUUAAUCAAAAGAUUCAAAACCAACAUUCUUUUACCUUUCAGACCAAACAUCAAGUGUGUCUUCACCGUGGCUCUGGUAAACAAAUAAUCCACCAGCCCAUUGCUCACUUCUGUUAUAUGGAGUGACCCAUAUUUGGUUAUUUGUGAAUGCACCUCUUUUCUGUGGUGGGUCAUCAUGAUCCAGCAAACUAGCUGCUGUGCCACCAGGAACAACCUUGUACCCGACAGGGUUCCCAACCCUUGUCUUUUUAGUUGGAUUGAUAACAUGGAACUCCGAUGGGUCAUAGAGUUUAAGUUGAAUUUGAGCAUCUUUCUCUGUUUUAGCCACAUUUCUAACAGCUUUUAGAUAGCUUUUCCUUGGUGACUCUCCUGGAGAAGUUUCUUGCCUUUUGAUAUUUACGUUAACAAAGGAAUUAUCAGAGCCGUCUAUGUCCAUAUCCAAGUAGAAUGUGAUGUAAUGAUCAUGGAUGACGCCAAUGACGUUUUCAGACAGAAGGGUACCGAACAGAUUUUCUUGCCCUUCCACUUGAUUCAUGUUCUCAUAUGCAGUCCCUUUCACCAUCAAAAUGCCGCUAAGUCCAACCUGCGCUCAGUAACCUGGAAAUUAGAAGGGCCUACGAAGUACGGAUCAUAAACACACCUAUCAAUGAAUGAUCAUAUCCCACAAUUGUCAACAUAUCAACAGACCAAAUUUAAAAGCCACCGUUGAUAGAAAAUAUCCAUGAUUUUUUCCGACAAAGAUGAUAUAUACUUAACGAGAUAUCUGACGUAUAAUAGAAGAAAAAGGAGGUUUCAUUAACCUUAAUCCUGAUAAGUCCAUCUGUUUGGAACUCCCAGUCAACAAUAUAAUCAUAGUUAGCCACCGAUGCAGCCAUUCGAACCACUAAUGUCACCUUUGGCCUUACUUCCUUAAUCUGCCAAAUAACCAAAAACAAAUAUAGGUGAAGUUGAUUAUACGCAUGUCUUUUUAAAUUUAUGGCCAAAGAUUCUUUAUUUCUUACCUCCAUACCCGUAAUUGGACUCUCUGCAUGCCGCCACCCUAUAUCACCUGUGUACCUCUCAAACAUGCAGACCAUGUUUGAUCGGACAUAGGGUACACCAUCACCGGCGGCGAACACCCCAUCCAUAUAAUAUGCAUUUCUUGGACAAUCAUUAAGCGGGUCAAGUGGCAUAGCUUGCAGCCCGAACCCGUAUUCACCCGCAUCCAUGUAAGUCUUAAAAUACCAUGCAUCAGUGGGGUCCAUGUAUGGAACAAACAAUUCUGAAGUAAAGCCUUUGUACAUCACAUCCCUCAACACCCCACUCUCAAGGUCCCGGACCUUAGCCCGAGAAACCACCACACCUGCUCUCGGAUCGGGUUUCAAAUGGAAUUCCCAGUUUGCCCAUUUCACCAAAUGUUCAUCCUCGAUAACAAAACUUGGACCCUUUGGCUGUUCAAUGGAUAUGGGGUUUAUAGAGUUGAGAUCCUGCUGGAGCUUCUGCUCCGAAAAACGAUAAUCGGUGUUGGUGGCUUUGGGUAUGGGGAUGGACCGACCCGUAUCCGAUACCUCCACCACUUCUUUUGUAUCCAUAUCGAGUAAAACAGUUAAGCCCUCGAUUGGUCUCAUGUAAAAGUUUGCAGUGUCUUCCAUGGAGUAGCACUGUACCUUAAUUAACCUCCUGUUCUCCUCCUUUUUCCCGAACCAACCUAAGGAUAUCGGCAGGCAUGCCACGUCUUUAAGAUUAACGCCUCGUUCGAUGAUCGUACGGUUGAACUUGGCGUUCGAAAGUGGAGCCCACGUAGCCGAGGUCAUGUCUUCUAUCGUCAUCGUCGGGUAACCUGUCGGAGGAGCCGUGUUUAGAACGGUGACAUUGUCGGUUUCUAAGUUGACAGUCAGCACGUGCGAGACGCCGUUGGCACGUGCGAUGACGGAGGCUAUUCGUGGGAAGAGUGGUUGGCCUUUUUUCCAUUUAAGGACAAGUUCUUUGUUGGGUUCUUCUAGGACGACGGAAUGGAGCGCGUAGUUAUUGGAGGACUUGAAGAGCGCGUGGGAAGAAAGGAUUUUGCGGACCUUGUUGAACUCUUGGAUGGUGAGGGGGUCGAGUGGGUGGCGAGGGACAGCUGACUCGUGGUGACGACGCUGGGAGGUGGAGGCACGUGGGGUUUUUGUGAGUGUGGGUUGUUUGGACUGAAACCGGUUCUUGGAGGAGGUGCACCAAGGAGAGUUGCUGGCACAGUCGAGGAGGGUGGUGACGCCAGGGGAUGGCGCGUAAUGGAGGUGAGUCCAGGCGAAGAGAAAAAGGAAAGCUAUGGCGAUGAAGAAAAAGAGGAAACGAAAGAAAGGCUUUGAUUCCAUGGGUAUGUUUUUACUUUGAGUAGGGAUAGGUGAUAAGCCAGUUGUAUAUAGUGUCAAAUAAGAACUGCCUUAAGAAAUUGGACAAGCUAGCAAUUUGGAUUACAUGCUGAUCGAUGCAAACGUGGUUGGUGUCUGUCCAUAUAAUAUAUUUUACAGAAGAUUUUAAAAAUCUAAGUUUUAAAUAUACACUCUUGUACUAUAAAAAAUCUUUCGCUAUUUAUCAAAAACAACUAAAAACUAUUCUCUUUUAAUUCAACUAUUAUAUUUUCAUUACUCAAUUUUAAAAAAUUAUAUAUUGGUAAUUGAACUAUCACUAAAUAUAUAAAUUUACACUUUAUUUACUCAAUCUUUGCACCACUACUCCCUAACCCAGUAAUGUAAACUGUAUCAAUAACAACUCAAGCUUCAAACCCUAACAAAGCCAUUGUCAAACCUUUGUUUCACUUCUAACACAUCCAACUCAAUAUCCCUUCAUUUUUAACCCAUUCAUCAUUUUUAUUUUAACCAAAACCAUAAUACAAGAAAAUCCACAAUCAAGCUAUUCACACACCCUUACCUUUAAUUAUCAACCAAAUAUCACCACUACCACAAUCAAAAGCAAACAAAAAUAUCGAAAAGGUAAAUAAAAAAGAAAGAAUGUCUCAUGUUUCAACAAGCCCUAAAUAGGACUUAUAGGAGCUGAAGGAUAGAGUAAAAUCAAAGAAAAGAGAAUCAAAAUAUACAUACUUGAUUCAAUUACAAGGUUGCCGAAGUGUUCCAAGUGAUGGGGGCUCAACCCAAAAAGUCAAGGAGAAAGCCUUAUUGAGAAGAGGAUCAUAUCGAAGUCAAGUGGUCAUUUGACAAUGGUGGACGAAGAGCUUUUUCGUUAGGGUUUCAGGUUUAAAUCAGUGGAGUUUCAUGUUAUUUCAAAGAAAACUAAAUCAUAAAGUUGAAAUAUAAGGAAAAAAAAGUUUUGGUUUGGUGUGAUUCCUUGCCGAAAAAGGAUGAUGAAUGAUGAUGAGAUUACUAGAAUAAAAUUGUAAAAGAGGUCCCUAAAACUUUCAAAUAGUUCAAUGAUCAACUUAUAACCUUUUUGAAUUUGAGGGACCAAAGUGUAAAAUUAUUUAUAGUUAAGUGACCUUAGGCAUACUUUACCCUAAGAUGAACUGUGAGUUAAAGGCCAAAUCUAAGGUCCGUCGCCAAGUUAACGGGCCGGUGACCAACUUAUAAGUUUCGAAUAGUUCAAUGAUUAAGGAAGUGACCAAAGUGUAAAUUUACUAAUUCUUAAGUGACGUUGGAUGUAGUUUAUCCCCCAAAAAAAUUGGUUCAAGCACUUUCACUUUAUAGAACUCAUGGCCUCAACCACUCAGAUGUUGCAGACAUGUUAGUGAAAUAAACAGUAAUGUAAAAUAUUUAUUUAAAUCAUAAGAUCGAACCAGAACAAUAUAGAUAUAUAUAUAUAUAAUCUGAAAAACAGAAAUUGAAAAUAAAAAACUAUAUAAAAAGUUUAUACUCGUAGGUAGGCAAGAAAAAUCGAUUGGUAGUUGAGGCAUGUUUUCAUAGUUUCCUUAAAACAGAUUCAGUCACUCUUUUGGUGCUGGAGAAAACAUUGUCGACUAUCUCCCAAGAUACAACAACGAGAUGAGCACAGCAGUAGGACGGAUACAACAAUCAACGAACUGUAGCUUUUCUUUCUUAUAUCACUAAAACAAGUUCGAAAUAUACAGGUAAAAGAUCUCGAAAUUUCGGAAAACUAAAUGUGUAAAUUUUCUUGCAUAUUAUUUGGUUUUAAAUAAAAUUCAAAUGAAAAAACUUCUGAAAAUUUUGACUAAUGGAGCCAAUAAUGUCCGUGAAUUAAGGAACUAUUAACGUCUGAAUUAAAGAAGUUAUUAACCUUAAUUUAAUAUUUGUCCUUUUAAUUUCAAACAAAAUUUGAAGAGAUAAGCUCUGCUGAGGAAAAUAAAAUUACAUAUUAGGCUAAAAUAUCCACAGGCCUAGAAGGGCCCGACCAGCCAGGACAUUUCACGUCGUCCACGUCAUGCGAGCACCCCCAACCCCGACAGGUUUGGAUUUGCACUCCCUGCGUCCGAAGGAGAGCAUUAGUUUAGUCAUUCAAUAAUCACCAAGUUGGUUCAAAUAUAUAAACAUAUUUCACACUUGAUAUCUAACCAGCUUUCCAUUUUCCUCAACAUAAUUCACAAGUGGCUUACUUUGAGUAUCAAUUUCUCAUUUAUCACUCAACCAUUUUGAGCAUAUGAUAUACCAUUGUAAAGGUCUCAUGGGGUAGAAUAUAAAAGCAUAAUUUUAUUAUUCAAAUCUCCACCUUUACUAAUUGAGAAUAUGUCUCAAAGCUUCCAAAAAUUUAUUUUUUCCAACAAUCACCCACAUGAAUAAAAAAUGGUAGUUUUAACGAAAAAAAAUUGACUCAAUGUGGUAAUAGAAUCUACGAUCAAUAGUAACAUAGGAUAGGUAGGCAUAAACCCUUGUACCUUCCCUUGUGAAAGUAUAUUUACUUUACUAGCUGACCAGUAGACGUGAUGUCCUUGAAUUGUUCUGUCAUUUGUGUAAACGAUGAUAUACCUAACACAACUACCUCCUUGGCAAGAUUUUAGUUCUCCUAGGUAUAUUCAUAUGGCCGUGAACAUCUCAUAGUUUUGCAAGAGUUAAAGAGAACUAUACCCCAGUAGCCUCCUCGAAGUGGCCCCACUUCAUUCUCACAUAGGUGACUUAGGUUGCUUGGCUCACCGAAACAUGCAACGGUCAUUAAAAGCAUUACUUAACCUAUUCCACUUUUAAUCAUUGUUUAUAUCAUAGGAACAAACUUAGUAUAAGAACCCCCAUAGUAACCUCAUAAGGUCUAUGUAAGUAGGUUGUCCCUUUGAACCUACAUCUCGGGAUCUCCAAUCAACUAGGUUAGAUUUUCCUUCACAUAAUGCCUUUAAUUUCCAUGGGCGUUAGUCUUAUUCCUUUCAAUACUUUAUCAACCUGAUCUCGGUUUAAGCCUUUAGUUAGUAGAUCCGCAAUGUUAUCUUUUGAUUUUAAAAAAUCAAUAGAGAUAACUUCAUUUAAGUCUAACGGUAUUGUGUCGAUGACGCAUAUGUCUCAACUUACAAUUAUACAUUACAUUAUGUGCUCUACAAAUUGUUGUUUGGUUAUCACAAUAUAUGCAUAUUGUGGACACAGACUUUGGCCAGUCAGAAAUAUCCUCCAAGAAGUUUUAAAGCCAUUCAACCUCUUCUCUAGAUUUGUUUAAAGCAACAAACUCAGAUUUCAUUGUGGACCUGGUUAUAAUCGUUUGUCUUGAGGAUUUCUAUGACACAACUCCUCCUCCCAACGUAAAAACAUAUUCAUUUGUACUUUUGGUAUCUUGAAUAUCAAUAUCCAACUAGCAUCGAAGAAUAUUUCUAAAAUAGUAGGAUUUUUGGAAUAAUGCUGUCUGUAAUCCCUAGUAUAUCUGAGAUAUCUAAGUACCCUCACAAUUACUUUCCAGUGGUUUUCCAUUGGAUUUCUUGUGAAUCUGCUUAAACUGUUCGCAGUGAAAGCAAUAUUUGGUCUAGUAUAGCUCAUAAGGUACAUUAGACUACCUAUGACCCUUGCAUAUUCCACUUGGUCAACACUUUCACCUUUGUUUUUGCACAAAUGUUGGCUCGUAUCUAUUAGAGUUUUGGCUAUACCAGAAUCAUCCUUGUUAAAUUUCCUAAGAAUCUUGUCCACGUAGUGUGACUGAGUCAAUAUGAGACCUUAAGAUAACCUCUUAAUUUGGAUGCCCAAAAUCACAUCAGCUAUUCUCAUAUCUUUCAUAUCAAAACUUGCAUUUAACAUGUAUUAGGUACGUUUUACCAUUUCUUUGUUACUUCUAAUAAUGAGCAUGUCAUCAACAUACAAACAUAGGAUUAUAUAUCCAAUGUCAAUAGUUUUGACAUGCACACAUUUGUCACACUUAUUAAUCUUAAAGUCAUUUGUCAUCAUAACAUUAUCAAAUUUUUCAUGCCAUUAAUUUGGUGCUUGCUUAAGCCCAUACAAAGGCUUCACCAAUUUACAAACUUUCCUUUCUUAUCCUGGAACUACAUAACCCUUAGGUUGUUACAUGUAAAUCUCUUCAUCAAGAUUACCAUUUUGGAAAGUUGUUUUAACAAUCAUUUGAUGUACUUCUAGAUUUCGUAAUGCGGCAAUUGCAAGUAUCAUCCUUAUAGAAGUUAUCUUGGAUACUGGAGAAAAAAUAUCAAAGUAGUUAAGGCCUUCCUUUUGUCUAUAACCUUUUAUAACCAAUCUGGCCUUGUACUUAUCAAUUGUUCCAUCUGCUUUUAUUUUCUGUUUGAAAAUCCACUUAGAAUUUAAUAGUUUAAUUCCUAAAGGAAGAUCCACUAAUUCCCACGUAUGAUUUUGCAUGAUGAAAUCAAUUUUACUUGUGCUUUCGGGUGAUCAUAUAGCAUCAUUAUAUGUUUAAUGUUCGGCAUUUAACAUAAAGGUUAGAAAAUUUGAUCCAAAAGAUUUUUUCACCCUUACUCGUUUUCUCAUUCUUGGCUCUAUCUCAAUUUCAACCUCUUGUUGAACGCCUUGACUAUUUUCAUCUAUAGUCUCUAAAGUUCGUUUCGUUGAACUUGAAUCAACUUCCCUAGUUUUAAAAGGGAAGAUAUUUUCAAAGAAUGAGACAUUCCUUGAUUCUAAUAUACUAUUCUUGUGAAUGACAGGAUUCUUUGAUUCAUACACAAGAAACCGAUAUACAUUGAUAGGAUCUGCAUAGCCAAUGAAAAUACAAUCCAUCGUUUUAGGACCUAUUUUCAUUUACUUUGGUAACGGAGUCAUUACCUUUACAAGACACACCCCUACACUUUCAAGUAGUUGUAAGAAGAUUUUCUACCUUUCCAUAACUCAUAUGGUGUCUUGUCCCUUUUUUUGCAGGGAAACUUAUUUAGUAAUUAGCUAAUAGAAUAGCUUCUCUCCAUAUGUUCUAUGAUAAUCCAAAGCUUCCUAGCAAUGCAUUCAUCAUUUCUUUUAGAGUCCAAUUUUCCACUCGGUUACUCCAUUUGAUUAAAGAGAGUAUGGUGGUGUCACUUCAUAAAUAAUACCAUGUUGUGAACAGUAUUCACCUAAUGGUUUAACAUAUUCACCACCACGAUCACUUCUCACCAUUUUAAUCUUUUUAUUAAGUUGGGUUUCAACUUCUUGUUUAUAGAGAAUAAAUUUCUCUAUAGCUUCGUCUUUACUCUUAAGUAAAUAUACAUAGCAAUAUUUUGAGCUAUCAUCAAUGAAGGUAAUAAAAUAUUUAUUCCCUCUUCUGGUUUGAACAAACUUUAAGUCACAAACAUCACUAUGUAUUAGAUCAAGUGGUUCUGUACUUCUUUCAACAGUUUGAAAUGAAGACUAUGUUAAUUUUGCCUCAAUACAAGUUUCACAUUUGUGAUUAUAAUUAAUGUGAAAUGAAAGAAUGUGCUCUAAAUUAAUUAAUCUAUGUAAAGUAUCAUAAUUAACAUGUUCGAGCCUACCAUGUCAUAAAUUAAAUGACUCAAUCAUAUAAAUAGAAUAAGAAGCGACAUUCUUGUUCAUUGUCUUUGCUUUUAUAAAAAUUGUAUUAAGUUUCUAUAUGUCAUUUUAAUACAUAUCUUCUUCCCACAAACAUUCCCCCUUUAGACAAAAUUAACUUCUGGGAUUCAAACACCAUCCUAAAAUCAUGUACACUUAGGACCGUGUACACUGAGAGGCGUCCUAUAAAAAUGGUUCUUGUGUAUGUCAGGCACAUACAACACAUUUUGAAGCUUGAGUUCUUUGUCAGAAGUCAUCUUUAAGACCACAGUACCCUUCCUCUUGAUUUUGAAAGUCACGACAUUUCCUAUAUAGAGCUUCUCCCCUUUGUCACAACGCACCAACUCAGAAAAUGAAUCUUUUUUGGAGCAGAUAUGACGUGUGGCACCAGUAUCAAACCACCAUUCUCUUGGAUUUGAGUCAACUAUGUUGACUUCAGAAAUUACAGCACAUAGGUCCAUAUCAGACACUUUCUUAGAAAUUUCUUCUACAGUAUUAGCCUCGUUAGCUCUAACUUUCUUUAGAAGCCUACAUUCAGAUGACUUGUGCCUCAUCUUGUUGCAACUGAAGCAUUUCCCUUAAAAUUUUUGGUUAUUGGAAGUGCCACCUUUUGGUUCCAAUUUAGACCUAUUCUGAGGUUGUUUUCUCUUCUUGAAGUCCUUCUUGACUUCUACCAUGUUUGCCUCACCACCAUUGACAUUUGCUGCUUUGUUCAGGUUUUUCCAUGUAUCUCUAUUGUCUUCUUCAAUCCAAAGUCUGACAAUAAGGUCUUCCACUGACAUUUUCUUUCUUUUGUGCUUUAAGUAGUUCUUAAAGUCAUUCCAAGUAGGAGGUAGCUUCUCAAUAAUGGCUGCCACUUAGAAGGAUUCACUUAUGAUCAUCCCUUCAGCAAGAAUUUCGUGAAUGAUUAAUUGAAGUUCCUACACUUGAUUCACAACUAGUUUAGAAUCAAACAUUACAAAAUUCAAGAAUUUGGCAACUAAAAACUUUUUAGCUCCAGCAUCUUUGGUUUUUUAUUUAUGGUCCAAUGACGUUCAUAAUUCCUUAAUCGUCUUCUUGACACUGUAUACUUUAUACAAUGCAUUCAACAACCUAUUCAGGAUGUAAUUUCAGCACAGGGAAUCAGAAUGAUCCCAAGCUUUAACAGCAAUAAAGGUGGUAACAUCAUCUACCUUACCCUCUUUAAUAGUAGGAAGGCCAUCCUUCAAAAAUUUGGCCAAGUUCAAUAUGGUCAAAUAGAACAACAUCUUUUGUUGCCAUGUCUUGAAAUUUUAUCUAAAGAAUUUCACAUGCUUCUUAUUGUGGCUUACAACCACUAGCAACAUUGAAUUUUAGUUUGAAGCCUGAGUUGGAACAAACACUCCAAAUCGUGAAUUGAAGGGAAUUUCCAUUUUUCUGUUAAGAUUCCAGAAACAGAACUAGAAUUAGUAAUAAUAAUAAACAAAAAAUUUCAAUUUCAAUUUCAAUUUAUACUACUGUUCGAUUCUGUUAAACGGCAGAAUUUAGUUAGGAAUUAAAAAUUUUGAAACAAAAUCAAUAAGCAAUUUCUGGUAAUAGAAUUGUUACUAUCAAAUGAUUUUUGUUAACAACAAAAAUCGAAUAAAUUUUGUUGAACGACAGGAAUAGAAACAUGAAACAGAAUUAGUCAAUUAAUUUCUGUUUGAAAACAGAAAAUCGAACAAAUCCUAUUGAACAGCAGGAAUAAGAUCCUGAAACAGAAUUGUUCAAUUGAUUUCUGUUUACAAACAUAAUACAAUUUCACCUUGAUGCCCUAUUCGUCUCGGAUUAGAAAAUGGUAAAAAGUUUGUCUUAAGAUUGUUGCACACACAUUAAUGAAAUAAAUAAUAAUGUAAAAUAUUUAUUUAAAUCAUAAGAUCGAACCAGAACAAUAUAGAUAUAUAUAAAAUCUGAAAAACAAAAAUUGGAAAUAAAAAACUGGAUCGAAAUUUAAUACUCGUAGGUAGGCAAGAAAAAUCGACUGGUAGUUGAAGCCUAUUUUCACAGUUUCCUUAAGAUAGAUUCGACCGUCUGUCUUAAUAUUUUCGUACACACGUUAGUGAAAUAAACAGUAAUGUAAAAUAUUUAUUUAAAUCACAAGAUCAAACCAAAACAAUAUAGAUAUAUAUAAAGUCUGAAAAACAGAAAUUGGAAAUAAAAAACUAGAUCAAAAUUUGAUACUUGUAGGUAGGAAAGAAAAAACGUUGGUCGACUAUCUCUCAGAAUACAACAACGAGAUAAGCACGACAGUAGCCCAGCUACAGUAAUCAACAAACUGUAACUUAGCUUUCUUCUAUCACUGAAAAUAGGUUCAAAAUAUACAGGUAAAAGAAUUCGAAAUUUUGGAAAAUUCAGUGUGUAUCUUUUCCUGCAGAUUAUUUGGUUUUAAAUAAAAUUUAAAUGAAAGACCAUAAUAAUUGGGCUAAAAUAUCCGCAUGUCUAGAAAGGCUCGAUAUGUCACGUCGCCCACGUCGCGCGGGUGCACCCCCAACCUCAGCAGGUCUGGAUUUGCAACCCCUACGCAUAAGGGAGAGCAUUAGUUUAGUCAUUCAAUAACCACCAAGUUGGUUCAUAUAUAUAAACACAUUCCACACUUGAUACCUAACCAAUGUGAGACUAAGCUUUCCAUUUUCCUCAACAUAAUUCACAAGUGGCUUACUUUGAGUAUCAAUUUCUCAUUCAUCACUCAACCAUUUUGAGUAUAUGACAUACCGUUGUAAAGGUCUCAUAAGGUAAAAUAUAAAACCAUAAUUUUAUUAUUCAAAUCUCUACCUUUACUAAUCGAGAAUAUGCCUCAAAGCUUUCAAAAAUCUAUUUUGUCCAACAUUAGACUCUCCACAGAGUAAAAGAAAAACUCUAGUUUGGGACAAUACCAACCCAUUAAAAGAAAAACUCUAGUUUGGGACAAUACCAACCCAUUAAGGAGUCCAUCAACUCCAAACUAACGACACUUUAAAUUAAGACUUGUCUCGAAAGAGUUAAAUUUAAAAAAUUUCUCUCAAAAGAGUUGACAUCCCCUCAACAGUAAUCAUAUUGAUUGAGUUCCCAUUUUACUUUUCAAAACAAACUUUAGUUUUUUUUUUUUUUGCUUUUUUAAAUUAAGUCGAAUUAUAAAUUUCAAACUCCAACCUAAUCUUGGGUGAAAACGAAUAUUUAAAACAAUUGAAAUUGAAUAAACUUAAUAUGAAAUGCAACAGACUAAAAAAAAGAAAGAAUAAAUCUAAAUAAAAUAUAAACAUAAUAAAAACUUAAACCUAAAAUAACUUAAAAAGAAGUCGCCUAUAAAUGGUGAAACUCUUAAAAUCACAGCCCCUCAACAUUCACUAAUUGUUACUUACAAUGCAUGAUUGACUAAUUUGAAUAUUUUAGAAAAUCAAGAGAUAUAUAUUAAUAUUAUAGAUACCAAGUAGGGAUCCAUCAUCCUCCAUGUGCCACGCCCCCCCAACUACUCCUACUUGUUUUCUUUAUUUCUUUUUCUUUUAUAUCAAGUGCUUCAGAAAACGAUCUAAAGUUUGGAGACAUUCUCGCUCUAAAAUUACAAUUUCCAACUAUUAAAUCUUUUAAUUGCUUUUUGUUUUUAGUGGACAACUUUGCCCGCAUGGCCCUAAAAGGGCGGGAAAUGUAUCUUUCAGCCAGUCAUAUUCUUUUUGUUUAUACCAUACGCAUCAAUCUAUUAAAUUAUAACCUUUAAUACAUUAUAUUAUUAAACAUAAAUCAUAAAAUAGAUACGAAUCAUUUAAUUUUUAUGAUAAUAUUGACAGUCCAUUAGAACUUAUCAUCAGCAUUUAGUGCCAACCCUUGUUGACAUUCUAACGAUUAAUGUACAAAUCUUCUUAUUAUUAUCUCCUCAUCCAAUUUGUUUGUAUUUAAAUUAAAUUUAUGAUUUAAUUUUUUUAUUAUUUUUCAUAAUUUAUGUAAUUAAUUACUAAUAUAAUUAAAAAAAUUUAUAUUUCAAAUACAUUAAUGCGAAUUUUCUCCCAAAAAGAGAAUAACUAAUUAUGAAAUGUACUUUAUUCCCACCUUGAACACUAAUUAAGUAAUACUACUAUUCACACCUCAUGAUUUUUUUUUGUAUUCAACAAGUCUGUUUUAUGGCUCAUGAUCGGAGUUCAUGACUACCCCUUCCAAUAAUGUCAUCUUCAAGUUUUGAACCCGUGUCUCCCCUUGAAAAUGUAAUAUACCUUACUAUUGCACCCAACACUUGUUGGUACACCUCAAGGUUUAAUUUAAACUAGUUUCUAAUAGGACAUGCGUUGCAUAUGAUUUUACAUGUUUUUGUUUUUUUAUAAAUUAAAAAUAAAUCAGAUAUAGUAUAUAUAACAUAUUUAAUGUAAGUAAUGUUUAAAAUAAAUAAUAUUUUAUAAAUAAAAAGUUAAAAAAUAAUAUAAAAAUCUAGAACUAUAUUAGAAAGUAAAUUAUAACAUUAAAUUUUAAAAAAAAAAGUAAAACAACAUACAAAAAUUGUAAUAAUGAUCCAAGAUAAGAAUGAAAAACAUUUACAGUAAUUAAAUAUGAAAGAUAUUUACAUUAAAUUAAUAAACACAUUUAAUAGUAGUGAUUAAAAAAUAAUUUUUGAAAUCUUAUAUGGUAAAUAUUUUUUUACUUUUCUAAAAAUCUCUCUCAUUUGUCUACAACUUUAUGUAUAAUAAUAGGGUAAACUAUAAAAAUAAUUAUUUUUGUUUGUUUCAGAUUAUAUUUUAGUCACUUAGGUUUGAAAUGUUACGUUUUAGUCACUUAUGUUAUCGUUUUGUUACGAAUUGGUCACUCUACUGUUAAGCUCUGUUAUCUCCCUAACAGAGGUCUUCUGUGGCAAUCCAAAUCAAAUUUAUUUAAUUAAAGACCUAUUUUUAUCCCAGCAACUGGACAUCCCAGUUGGCAUUUAAAACACAUUUGAACUGCCACGUAGGACUACUGUUAGGAAGGUAAUGGAGUUUAACGGUAAAGUGACCAUUUCGUAACAAAAUGAUAACGUAAGUGACUAAAACAUAACAUUUCAAACAUAAGUAACUAAAAUGUAACCUAAAACAAACAAAAGUGAAUAUUUUUAAAAUUUACCCAUAAGAAUAAGACAAAAGAAAAAUAUAAAAGAUUACUUACUUAGCAUGAAAUAAACAAUUUAUGGAAAAUUUAAAUAAAAUGAUACUACAUAUCUAUCAAGUGCUUUGCAGUACCAUGAUGGUUCGAAUAUUUUUUAAAAAUAUUAAUUUAGUAAUAUUGUGGUGGGUUUAAAAAAAUUUCCACUCUUACAUUAUAGAGAUACUAAACCCUAAAUAUCAUUUUAUUAAAUCCUAAGCCUUAAAAUACGGAAAAAGUUAAAAUAAAAAAACCAAUGGCUUAGAUUUUAAUAUUCUAAAGGACGGUGUCUUUCUCCAUAUGGGUUCUGAGAUUCUCCUAUUUAUAUCCUUUCCCAACUUUAAUAAAUCCAAACUCAUUUAUUUACUUCACUUAAACUUUAUAUGAAUUCCCAUUACAAAGGAUCGCCAUGAUCAAGGAAACGGUUGUCUGUGCCUCAUGCAAAGAUUAAUGAAAUUCUGGUGCAUCAUACCACUUCAAUUAAGGAAUGUUUAAUCAGUUUUUUAGAGAAAUUAAUAAAAUAUUUUUAUUUGGAUAAUUCUUUUUGAGUAUUAAUCCUUUAAUUAUAUAGUACUAAAAAAAAAGACAUUUUUCUUUUUAUCUUUAGCUACUGUUAUCUUUGUUCUAAAAAGCUGGUUCCCCCAAAUUUGUUAAAAGUGAUAAAAAUGUUGAAAAUUUUAUCAUGUAAUCAUCUUUAAUCUCGAUUUUUUUAUGCGGUUCCCGUAAAACUCACUUCCUUAAUAACAUUAGCAAAUGAAUUAUUAGUCAUUUUUCCUUUUUCUUAUAUGGGGCGGAGGAAAAUAUUUGAUUUCAGGAUUAAAUACAAAAAUCAUUCCAAAAUGUAAGUGAAUUUAAAAAAUAUAUAUUUUAUUUCCUCGCAUUUUUUUAAUUUUAAUAAGUAAUGAAUUGCUUGCAAAAAAAAAAAAUUACAUUUUCAUAUUUUGUAUCAAGUAGACCAAUGAAACAUUUUUAUAUUUUAUAUUUAACUUUUUAGCAUUCAAAUUUUCAAUUGUAAGUAAGUAUUAGGGGAAGGGUGAGAGAAUUAGGCGUGAAGUACUCACAUGGAAAUAAGAGGAGCGGACAAGUCAUAAUGGUUAGGAACACACCAUUUCCCGUUAAUUUAUGAGUACACGAUAACUAGAGAGAAGUAGAUAAAAGUUGUAUAAAAUAAUUCAUUUUUCAUUAAUCAAUCAACUGUAGAUUAAAUGCUAUUAUUCAGUAAAUUUUCCCUUAUUUGACCCAUUUAACAACUCCCUUAUUUGGGUUUUAUGCAUCCUACUAACGGUUGGGCUCUUGUUGCAAAGAAAGGGGAGAUUAGGCUCGAAGCAACACCACAUAUUAUUACUAUUCACUUUUAUUCUAGUUAUAUAUUUUUUAAUUAUAUUAAAAAUUUUGAGGAAUACUCAUAACUAUUAAUUAUAUGAAAUAAAACUCUUCCUUUGAAGAUAAUACUACCGAGUUCUUUCAUCUGCUAAAAUAAUGCAUUUCUCUUAUCUACUCAUAGAGCACGUUUCUUUGAUUUUCGCUAGGGUUUUGGCUUAGUUGGGUUUAGGGAGACCAGCGGUUUUGGAGGAAGAGUUAGCAAAUAUGAAUCUUGCGGAUAAGGAGGAGGUGUCAAUACAGUUUCAAGAGGAUUCGGAAGGGUAAAGGAGGAUUAUAGAUUGUGUUUGGUGGGAAGAAUCUUGACAGAUAGUGUGGUUCAUUUCCCUUCUAUGAGAAGGACUUUGGCUAAUUUAUGGCAUCCGUUGGCAGGAGUUUCCAUCACUGAUAUCAGGGAAAAGAGGGUUUUGUUCAUAUUCUAUUAUGAAGUUGAUAAAAAGAGGGUAAUAGAGGGCAUGCCUUGGUCAUUUAAUGGGCAUCUUAAUAUAUUCUAUCGAAUAGGGCCAGGGGAAGAUCCGUUACAAGUACCACUAAUUUACCUAGAAUUCUGGUUACAAAUUCAUAAUCUCCAAAUGGAAGUGAUUUCGGAGGGUCUAGCACGCCAAUUUGGGAAUUCUAUCGGUCAAUUUGUUCAAUAUGAUUCCUCAUUGGUGACUAGAGGAAUUAAGAGGUAUAUGCAAAUCUGGGUUAAAAUUAAUGUGAGAAUGCCUUUGAAGUGAAAGAAGAAACUGUCCUUGGAUCAGAAUCGAGAGGGAUAAGCCUACUUUCACUAUGAGAGAUUAAUGUUAUUUUGUUUUCUAUGUAGAAAGUUAGGUCAUGGUGAGGGAUUCUUUCCAGUGAGGAUAACAAUCGGGGUUCAAAAAGUGGAAUCUAGUUGGGAUGCUUCAUUAAGAGUGCCACCAAGAAAGGAGGCUAUGGUGAGCAGCAGGUGGCUUCGAGAGGACUCCUUAGGCGUUAGACAAGUAGAUGGUAAUUCGCUGGGUAUGGAUGUGGAUGGGCGUGUGAAUGGAAGGAUUUUUGGUGAUAUCCAAACUCCUAGUCUUUAUCUGAAUGGAUGAAAUAGGGAAGGAUUUAUGACUGGAUAGGUAAAUAUUGGGACAAUAGAUAUGGGCUUUAAUUCAGAAGAUAGCUCAAUUGAGUAGGUGGAUGAGAAGAAGAGACAACGAGUGCAGGAAGGAAAAUUACCUAGUUCUAGUUUUAUUGAUGUGGUGAAUGAGAAAUCUGAUAUAUUAGUGGCUAUUGGAAAGUAGGCCAAUCGAAUGCAAUGAAAGCCCUAAGUUGGAACGAGUUGGGGCAUCCACGGGCGAUUAAUCGUGUCAGUAACAAGUUGAGAUAUGUACUCCCCCAAAUUUUGUUUCUCAUACAGACAAAGUUAAGUGCAAGGAGAAUGGAGCAAGUCCGAAGAAAAUGUGGAUAUGUUAAUGGUAUAGAUGUAGGAGUGCAUGGGUCGAGAGGGGGAUUGUUGUUGCGAUGGAGAAGUGAUUGUGUGGUUCAGUUUAAGAGUUUUUCUUCUAGUCACAUUGAUGUAAAGAUACAUAAGGGGAAUGGUUUGUCGUUUUGGAGGUUAACAGGUUUCUAUGGGUCAUCUAAGGAUCAUAGAAGAAAGGAAUCAUGGGAUUUGUUGAAGAGACUAAGGAGAGAUCAAAGUUUGUUAUGACUGGUAAUGGGUGAUGUAAUAGGCAAAAUUUGGCUUGGGCCCCCAAAAAAUAAUAACCGAAGUCAAAGGAUGCAAUCGGUCGAAAACAAGUUAAAAAAGGGCCAAAUUGAAAAACAAUCAUUAAAUUGUGGCCAAAUCAAAAAGAUGAAGAAAGCCAAGGAGUUAUCAAAAUUUUUUGACUUCGUAAAAGGCUAAAAAUAGGAAGAUAUUUAUUUUAUUUUAUUAUUAAAUUAUUUAGGCUAUCUUUAGUAAACUCCAUGAAUAUAAAUAAGGGUAUUUUGUUCUUUGAAAGGAAACGAAUGACUUUUGGAGGACUUUUGGUAUUCCUACUUCAAUUUGGAAUUGGAUUAUUCUCUCUUUUCCUAUUUCCAUUGGAAUUGAAUUAUUUUCUUUUCUCUUUCAAUUACGUGGGAAUUUUAUCCAUUUCAUUUCAAUUUCUUUGUUUUUUCUAAAUUUGUUCGAUUGCUUUUAGCCAUUCUGUUUUUUUAUUUGUUUUGCAAUUAAGUUUUCAUUAUUCUUGAUUUUGGCUCUAAAAUUUAUUUUGACUACAUUUUGGUCUUCCUUGAAGCUGUGUGUUUUGGAGGGUGGGGAUUACUUCCCUUUUGGUCCCUCCUUGUUAUUCGCACAUUCAAAUUGGUCCAUUUUCUUUUAUUUAUUUCUGAUUUGCCCCAGAAUUUUGCUUUAAGGUUUGAUUUAAUCCUUUUUUAUUUUCACUAUUUUAUUAUCAAAUUAACUAAUUUAAUAUAUUAUUGCUAUUAUUUUUAUGUUUCUAUUUAUAUUUAUUUUACUAUUCUAAUACUAUUAUUAUUUAUCUAAUUUUUAUUUAUCUAUUUGUAUUUCUACUAUUAUUAUAUUUCUAUUUAUUAUGUUUUUAUUUCUAUUUAUAUACUAAUAUUAUUUUCAUUAUUAUUUUUCUUAUAUAUGUUUUUCACUCUUGUUAUUAACAUUCUAUUUAUUUAUCUAUUUUUUUACUUUUUUUGUUAUUAUCUAUUUUAACUUUUUAUAUAACGCCCAUUUCAAAUUUUUAUACAUUAUUUACUUUAAUAUUUUCAUAUAUUAUAUAUUUCAAAAUUUUUUUUACACUUUAUAUAUUUUGAAUUGUUUAUAUAUUAUUUUUAAAGAGCUUUAUAUAUUAUUUAUCUUGAAUGGAUACUAAUUUUUUUAAAAUUAUUUUAUAUACUUUAGAUCGCUUUUAUAAUCAUCCUCAUUUUAAAAAACCUCUCAAAAUAAGGAAAUAUUUUGUGUUUAUAAAUUCGAGAAAUCGUGCCCUGCUGUGCUUGGUUUCGAUUUUUCGUUCAACCGAAAAACUGAAUAUCCUUUUGAAAUUUCGUCCAUGUUUUCUUAAAUUAAAAUGAGGCAAUAUUUUGUGUUUGGAAAUUCGAGAGCGUGCUGGGUUUCGAUUUACCGUUUGACCAGAUAGUCAAAUAUCCUUUUGAAAUUUCAAAUGCAUGAGUUUUCGAAAUUUUAAGAUGAUUUUGUAUCGAAGGUUUGAAAUGUUGUGUCCUAUCGUGCUGGAUAUGAUAUUUUAUUCCUUCUAAGCGAGAGAAUCUCAAUAUCCAAUUCAAGUUAUCCAAACGUUUUAAAGGAAUUGUAUUUUAAAAUAUUUUUCAAAUUUUCAAUAUUAUGACGUUAAUUGAUCAAUACGGUACCAAUUUUGGGCGUUGCGAGGGUGCUAAUCCUUCCUCAUGCGUAACUGACUCCCGAAUCCGUUUUCUAGUUUUUUGUAGACUAAAAACGUUGUUUUAAUAAACCGAAAUGCUUUAUUAAAAUGAUCGAUCACAAGGUGACCCGAUCACACGUAAACAAAAAGUAUUGGUGGCGACUCCAUUUUCGUUUUAAAGUCGAUCCCCAUUUUUCAAAAUAAAAAAUGGUUUCGACAGCUUGGCGACUCCACUAGGGACAAAUAAGAGAGUCAAGCCAUAAAAUUGAUUAUCUUGUGUCCUUUUGUCAAAAAUUGAAAAUUUGAUUUGAAAAAUCGUGAUUCUUUUGUUGCAUUUGUUUGUGAUUUCCAUGAUUGUUGUUAUUUGAGUCUUGUAGGAUAUUCUUGCAUUACAUUGUAUGACCGUUAUGGUCACACCCUUUAAGUGGGAGUGGGAAGCUAUGCCUUCGUGAGGUUUUCAUCUCCGCAUGGGCUAGUGGAUUACUUCUGGGAUACAUCCGUACCUAUGUCUUCGUGAGAUUUUCAUCUCCGCAUGGCCAUAGGGAAAUGUAUUCCCCUGAACUGAACUCGAUCCAUAUGAGCUUAUAAUGGGUAAGGAUCGAGGAAUUUGCUGGUUCAAGUACCCUUUCUCUAGAACUGAGCCACAUAUAGUGAACCUUAGAACUGUGCCCAAAUUUAGUGGUCACCUGAAUAGGUACUUUAUUUGUUAUUUAUUUCUUCUGUACUAACGAGUUUUGUUUUUGUUUUGUCUAUGACUGCAUUGCAUUACAUCAUCUUAGAAAGAAGGUGUUAAUUCAUAUUUGAUUGCUAAAUAGAACAGUUUGUCAUGAGAAAAUAGAUUUCUUGAUAAAGUGGAUUAUAAUACGGUUGUCUGAAUAUGGUCCAAGUAAACACAACGAAAGAAGGUUGAUAGUUCGCAGAGGAAAACAAGACUUUGCCGAGGAUUUAAGCCAAUAAAGAUUGUUUGAGAACCGUAGCAUCCUGACUUUCUUAAAGGAGCUAACCAACAUCGCGAGGAUAAGUGAGUGAUAAAUCGUGGCCCGGAUUAAGAAAAAGGAGCUAGUUGGGACAUUUAUUGGAAGCUUGCGAGAUUUGACUUUUACAAAGAAAGGAAAUCGGUGUCUUCGCCUGGAACAUAAGGGCAAGGCCGUACAUGUAAUCCGUUUUAUGUAAAGGAAUUUGUUUUCUAGAAAAGUUGUUUCGCAUCGAAUCGAUACCAGGUGUGUACCGAAACUCAGAAAAAUUAGAUUCGACAAAAGUCGAAAAACCUUACUAAUGAUGCUACACGGGUGUGUGGUCACCCGUGUGGGCCCACACGGGCAUGUCACAUAGACGUGUGAGCCCACAUAGGCAUCUGAGCCCAUUAAAUUUAAAUAAAUUGAAAUAUUUCAUAGGGUUACACGUGUCAUUCUAAUCGACUGUGGGCCUACCAUAGGGUCGGUAAAGGCUAACUAAACCCUAAAACUAUGUGAUCUAUUAUACUAAAAUAUAGUUCUAAGAAUGUCUGCGUUAUGAAUAUUUGUUAUCUAUUUAUAUAAGCAUGUUAAGCAUGAUCUAUUUGUUAAUUCUAUGUGUAUGCUCUGUAACUGUUUAUGGUGGGAUUGAUAUAUGAGGAGGAAGUAUUCCGUACGAUGUUAAUCGCCUAUAUUCUGGCAGCUUGACUGCAUAUUUUCUGAUAUAUGUGUCUUCAUGGCACAACAUGGUGUGUAAGGAUGGGUGGGUGUUUUUAACCCCACAUGGUGUGAUGGGAUGGUCGAAGAUGGUGUGUAGAGGAUGGGGGUAGGAACCUGUAUAUCUGAAUUUGAUUCUGUAAACUGAUAUCUAAAUUUGAAUCUGUAUCUAUUUCUGUCUGCGAUUAUAAUUCUGUAUGUUUUCAUACUUAAUAUUGCUGGGUUACACACUGAGUUUAGGUAAACUCACGUCUGUUUGCUAGGUCUGUCAAGUAAUCCACAGUCUUAGGCGGACAGGUGCUACAGAGACUCAGCGGUGACCACAUAUUCGUAAAACUGCUUAAAUUAUUUAUGGUUUAUCUAUGAUUUGGUAAUUAUUUAGAGAGUUGUAAUUUUUGGGGACUCUCUGGGCUGUUUGAUUUUUAACUGGUUAUUUCUGAUUUAAUUGUUUUGGUAAAACAUUUUAUUAAAAAUAACGGUUUUAUGCAGACAAUGAUUUUCCUAAAAACACGACUACGUUUUCUAACAUAAGUGAUUAAAGCUCCCGAUGUAAUAAGUAAUUGGCAAAUAAACUGUUGAAAUAAUGUUUUCUAUAUUAAGCACGAAGGAAUGUGGGUUUUAUAAAUGAUUAGUUAAUUAAAUCAACUUGUUUUCAAAAUCUUUCCAUGUGACAUCACCAAAUUCGGCCAUAACGUCUAGGCCGGGUUUGGGGUGUUACAAUGAGAAUCUCGAACAACAUAAAUAUCAAUACCGUUAGGAUAUGAAUAGCAAGACGAUAGUAAAAACAAUCACAUGGAAUGCUCAUGGAAAAAUUAUACAAGCAACAUUAAGAAAAUAAUAGCAACAACGAACAUGGGCAUCGUCAAUGUGGACAACAUCUAAGUACAGAGAUAUCUUUAAGAUUGUUAGCAAAUAUUUCACCAAAUUAACGAAUAAAAAUAUGAGUUGAAUAACUUGAGGCAUGUUAGACAUUGUUCUUAAAGAUAUUUCAUCCUGUAGUAUAUCUCCUCGAAUUCAACAAGCUCUUUCGUUAUAAAACGAGAGUAGGAAUCAACAAUAAAUCACAACAUAAAAAUACUCACCAAUCUCAAAAGAAUAGAGAGGACGAGCGAGAGGAGAAGGAUAAAGUUUUUAAGGAGUGUAUAUUAUGAAAGUGAACCAAGAUACUUCAACUCGCUAAAAAUCACAAAGGUAAGUUGAGUAAAAAGUGGAUUUGACUUAGUCAAAAAUAGUUUUAAAAUGGUUCCACAAAUUUAGACUUGGCUAAAUAUGGUUUCAAUCAAUUAAACUAUUUUUAGCUUGGCUAAAUAUAAGUGUUACUGGUUAAAUAAUUUACUUUUCUUGGACUCUCAAAAAUUCAGUAAAAAAGUACAGAAACAAAAGGGUUCAGACACUGCAAAUACAUUUAUUCACACUACACUAGCCUUUUGAGGCCAAUUCUCAUGUGCACGAGUUCACCCUCUCAACUUGUUUCUUACUAACCCAAUGAAGUAUAAUAGUUUAUAAUUGAUGAUCUUAAGGUUAUUCUUAAAGAAUGUUGGAUUUGAUUCUUUUGGAAUAUCUCAAUAUUUCUAACAGAAUCUUUUUAUUUUUGCAAUAUUUUAAGUAUCAAAAUAAUUAAUAUAUUUUAAUUAUGUUAAAAUUUUUGAAUAAUAUUAAUUUAUAUUAAUAUAUGAAGCAAUAAUAUAUUAUUUAAUGAAUUAAGAAAAUAAAUAUUUGUGACCCAUGUUACAUUAAGAACUAGUUAUCCUAGCUAAAGAAGCCUUAGCUUAAUCACAAGGUUGAGGCUCUAGAACUUCGAGAUCCUAAGUUUGAGUCCCAUGGUGCAUAAGUUCUAGUCUAGGUUUUUAUUUUAGUUUAAAUAUUAUCAUGUGUGGGUUUAUCUAGAUUCAUUCUUAUCUAACUUAGAACAUUAUUCCAAAUAUCAGUUUGAUCCGACAUUAUAAUAGUUAAUUAUGGUGAUAAUUGUUGGAAUUUGUACUAUUUGUACUUCUAUUCGUGAUUAUACCUGUAAUUUAUUUAUAUAUACAAAAAGUUAUCUCAAAAUCUAGAAAAUACUAAAAAUUUCUUUAUAUAUUUGAAAAUUUAUAAUUUUAAAUCCAUUGAUCAUAUCUAUCAUAUCAAAAGUUAUUUUUAGGAAAAUAAAUAGCUACUUGAUAAGUCUAAAUUAUAUAGACUUUUCUAAUACAUUUUUACUUAGAAUUCAUGCAAAUCCUGAGCAUUUGGAUAGCUAAUUAUGUAAUUUUGGUUCAUAUUGAGACAUUGGGCAUAAUUUAAGUAAAGUUUGUAAUUUUACAUAAUUAGGUGUUAAUUUUACGUAAUUUCAUUGAAUUAUGCUACAUGAUAAUUUCUUUGUUAAAUUGUUGCAGUAUGGACUAUUAAAUUACUCAAUGUUGGGAACAAUUGAAGAAACAUAUAAGUGAGAUGAUUACCCAAUACUUUCGACGGCAAAUAAUAUGAAUUAGGCUUAGAAAUAUUGCUUUGGCCCAGCUUGAAGAUGGUUUUUGGAGAGAAUUAAAAUUCUUUUCAAUUGGGUUGCCAAAACCGUCCAACAAGGGGAAAUAAGCCCAAAUUCUACAAGACAUCAAGAGUAACCCAAAUUAAGUUUGGAAUAAUUAAAGUGAAGGUCCUUGGAUGUAUGAAAAAUCACAAAUCAACCCCUAACUAAUACCUUGAUUGUCGUCCUACCCCUUGCAUGAUUCAUGCAUAAAAUCAAGCAUGAAUCAAGCAACCACUCAACCUUUAUCCUACAAUUGAUGGCUGGCCAAAUAAGGGAGAAAUCCAAGGGAUAUGCAAGCUAUUUUUAGCAAAUUCCCAAUCCUCCUUUCAAGUACAAAUAACAUCCAUCAUCCUUCAAUCCCAUUCAUUCCACACAUCCCUCAACUCACAGUAUUCUCUCAUCUUUCUCUACUCUUUUCCACACCUAAGCUCUCCAUUUUUCCCUUUCCUUAGCAGGAAUUUCCUUGAGAAAAAUCUCUCCUGGUCGGCCACAUUGAGGAGCAAUUUGCGAAAGAGCAACCGCAAGAAUUGGAGGAAGCCACCACAAUCAAUCUGUGGGGAAUUUUCAAACUCAUCAAAGAGUUUCUUUUUCCUUUAUCUUUUUACUAGUUCUUAGUUGUUCAAACAUGAUUGCAAAUUGUUUAAAUAUUUUUCCAUUAAUAAUGAUGACUCAAAUUUGUUUUAGCUAGAAUAAUUGCAAUGACUUGAUUAAAUUCAUGCUAUUCAUGUUUAUGUUGUUUUGUGUCUCAGUUGUUCAUGCUUCCAAUUAAAAUCAUUCAUGUUAUUCAUGCAUUAAAACAUGUUUAGAUGUAUUAGAAUUAGUUGCUUAAUCCUAAUCAGAUGGUGCUAAUGGACGCGAUAAAUGGAAGGUGCAUGCUUAAAUUAUAUCCUAAUCAGAAUAAGUUAAAGGUUCGUAAUAAUCUAAGAGAACUUAUUACCUUGCAUAACUUUAGGGUUUAUGUGACUAAAUUGUUUCAAACCUAAUCCGUCCUUGUUACUUCACAUAAAAUCUAAGAAAUCCUUAUUUAAAUAUGGACAUAAAAAUAUACGUGUUUUUCUAAGUAUAGGACUUCAAAAGAACUUAUAUGAGAUUCCAAGUUAAUAAAUGAUCGAGUUGUUAAGGAUUUUUUUCGGAACAUUGUUAAACAUGACGAAGAAUGAAUUGUGUCAAGUGUUGUAGUUGUUCUAGUUCAUUCAUGUUAUUAUUGCAAAAACUUGUGAAAUUGUUUCUAAAACCAUUUCAUUACAUUAUAUUUUAUCAUAUAGGGUAAAUUGCAUUUAGUUAAUUAAUUUUAAUAUCUAUCACCCCAAAUUAUUGUGUUUUAUUUGCCAACUUGUAAAUUCUUAAUUUUACAAUUUUUUUUAUUAACAAAUACAAUCCCUGUGGAGACGAUAACUCUUUUACUUACUUAGUACUUGAUAACAACUGUUUACACUUGCACAUUUCAUCGCGAACCACUAUGAUAGUUCUUAAAUCUUCUUAUAACAUUUUUUAUUCAAAAGAAAGGUUUCAUUGAUUGCAAAUUCAUAACAAAGAAAAGAAUUCCUAGGAUCCAGAAACAAUGAAAGCCCUUUAGAAAAUACAACCAACAAAAUGGUAUGAACGCUUGACUGAAAGUCAAGUCAUACCGAAAAAUAGCAAACUACACUUGAGACAUGCCUCUAUGACUAUAAGAAAAUAGCAAAGCAAAAGUCAUGCUAGACCACCAACGAACAUGAAUCGUCAAAACAUAGGCAAACAACAUUCAAAGCAACCAAGCCACCUUGAAUUGUAGAGUCCCUUUCCAAGUCCUUUCUCUUGUGGCGAUGGAAACGUCAUUGUUGACCUAAAAUAAAAAAAUGUGUAGAUGCUAAGAACAAAUCAACCAAAAACAAGUCAAAGAUGACUGAAGAAAACGAAACACAAAGGAUCCGAGAAACACAAGUAUCUAUGACUUGAGAAAAUCUCCCCAAGGGAAGAUCCAAGGGAAAACCUUGGUCAACAUUAUUUUGCUAGUAAAGGAGGAGAAACAAUGGUGAGGGUAAAAAGAAGGUUAAAGGGAAAUGUAGGAAAGCAAUAGUAGAAGGAGAUAAUUUUAAAGAUUAAUGAAUUACUUCACCCUACAAAAUUUAUUGUCAUAUGCCACUUAAUGUUAUAUAAAAAUUUAUUGUCAUAUGCCACUUAAUGUUAUAUAAACUAAGCAUAUUAGUUUAAGUUGUAGAUUUAACCCUUCUACGUUAAUUUGGUCAUUUUGAUAUUCUAUACUUUUAAAUUUUGAAAUUUCAAUUUUGACCCAAAUGAUAACUUUUCAAAUUCAUUAAGUUUAAUUAUUUUAUUUCCAAAAUUUUAUGCAACAAACAUAUUAUUAUAUGUGUAAUUUCAAGUCAGCUUGUUACUUUCGCAUAAUACUAAAAAAAAUCAUGUCAUUAUAGUUAAUGGAUUUAAUGGUUAUUGUUUGGAUCACAACUAAAUUUUUGAAAUUUGAAAAGUAUAUGGAUUAAAAAUAGUUAAUUUGGAUAAUAGAGACUAAAUCUACAACUUACUUAUAGUACAAGGCUAACAAUAGAAUUUGACCUAACGAUUUAAUUACUACCAUUUGAAUCAAGAUUAAAAAUUCGACAAAUAUAGGUGGCACAUUGCAAUUACAUGUUUGAGCCUUAAAAUGCUUCAUUUAGUAGGCAAAUUCAGUCGCCUUAUAUUCGCAGACUUAAGAUAUUGUGUUAAUACAUGAUUUUAUUAGUAAUUCAAGUGGUGGCGUACUGAAGUAAAAACAUGCUUCACUUACAGAAGAAAAGAAAAGAAUAAAAGUAAUGUUGUGAAGAGAAGCAAAGUAUAAAGAAAACACCUUUUUCCUGGUUUGAAUUCAACUGUAAUGCUCAUGAUGAGAGUUUGGUGGUUGGUUCCCAGUGAUAACAACUCCCAAAUUCCAGACAUCCUACCUUAAAUUACAAAACAAGAUACCUUACUAGCUUCAUUCUUUCGACACCCUCCCUUGCCGCCUUUCCAAGUUUACUUUUCACUGUUUCAACUGAAAAGAAUAUUGUUCUUACCUUAUUAUUCUCUCUUACAAGCUGUACAAGCUUGUAAUUACCAUAAGAUUGUUCGAAUAAAGCUGUAAGACAGUCUUUUUCGGGACACUAUAAUACAUAAGAUUUGAAUUGCACGCCCUAAAUAAUUACAAUAUUCCAUUGUAAUUACCAUUUAAGUAUCAUCAAGUUUGCUUGCACCAACAAUCAUGAUUUUUGUGGAGAUUCUUGUAUUAGAAAUUAGAUUAUAUUUUAUUUUUUUAUUUAAAAAAUAGGUAAAAUAAUUUUUAUAUGUAAGAUCAAAUAUCAAAUUUAUAUUUAUUUCUACUAUUAAAAAUUGGUUCUUGUACAUCGGUUUGAGGUACACGUGGCACAUCACAUGUCAUUUUUUGGUUAUUCCAUCAACUAUGCCAGGUUUUAACUAUAUAAAUGGAUAAAAUUUUUAACAAAAUGGAUCAAUUUGCUCUCUCUUUUUUCUUUUUUUUUUACUCUUUAAUCUAAUUAUAUAGACUAAUUUAUUUAUUUUUUAAAUGGGGGAAAAUAUAAUUUAUCUCCUAAUAGAUAUGUUUCUAUCAUACUUUUACUUCAUGUUUGUUAUGUUCUCAUCUGUUAGCCAAAACUAGCAAGCAAAAUAAAAAAACAUGUUCAUUUUUCAUUUUUUCUUUAAAUAUUAAAAUUACAUUUGAACUUCGUAAUGUUAUAUCUAAACUUUAAUUUUUUUAUAAUUUUAUAUAUAAAAUUUUAAUUUAAUUUAAAAUAUACAAAUCCCUAACAACAUUAUCACCAUUUUUACAUUUAUAUAUUACAUACAUAAAUAAUUAUUUAAUCUAAUAUCAAAUAAAUUAAUGUAAUUAUUUAUUUAAAUAUGUACAAUUAAAUCAAAAUUAAAAUUUUAUAUAUAAUUAGAUAAAAAAAUUAUAUAACAAAUCACACUUUAUACUAAUGUGUAUGAGUAAAUUUUAUAUUUAUUCUUUAAAUUUUUAUUUCUUAAUUGCCAAAUAAUUCUCCAAAUAUAUUGUUCUGGCCAUAAAGUUAGGGAUGAUUUACUAAUUUUUUUUUUGUGAAAGGGAUUUAGAAAAUUCAAUUUAAAAUUAUUGAAUGAUAUAUCAAAAUUAAUGCACCACUAUAGAGAUUUCUUAUUUAUAAUUACUCUACCUAGUAAGUUGCUACAGUAUUGGGAUUGUAGAAAAAAUAUUGUUAUUUACUUAGGGUCUUUGUAUGUAAUUGGAUCUACAUUUCAGUAAGAUCCAACAUUUUGUUGGUUUAAUCGCAUCUCAAGUCGUGGUUGGAUCACUAUUAUAAUAUCAUACAGCUUCAACAAUUUCUAAAUCUUUUUAUACAAUUAUUAUUAUUAUUUAUAAUUCCAAAAUUUGAUUUAUUUAGCCUAUUCAAGCGCAUUUCAACUCACAUUUUUUUAUAGUAAUAAUAAUAAUAUCAAUUAAGUUAAAAUUCAAUUCAUAUAAAUAUUUAAAAUUAUUAUAUGUUUCAUUUUAAUUAAAAAUAUUUAAGAUUAAAAUUCAACCAAAAUUAAAUUAAAAAUAAAAAAAAUUAUUUUUCAAUCUCUCUCAUCCCAUCUUCAUCUCCUCCGCAAAGAAAUUUCUACAAAUUUUUUAUAUAAACUCUAGUCCAAAUUUCUCACAUUAAAGCAAACCCUCAUUUUCAAUAUUAAAAUAAACUCUCAUCUUCCCUGCUAUUAAAAUAAACACAUUUUCAAUAUUAAGAGCUCAAAAUAUGGAAAAGGAAAGCAAUUAUAGAAAAGAAAGCCAUCAUUUUUAUGGGUUUUUAUUUUUAAUUUAAUUUAACUUUUACUUAAAGUCUAUUUGCACAACACAGAGUAUUGAAUUAAAGUGUAAUUAUUAGAAUAUUAAUUAGACUCUCUUGUAAUUAAAAGAUUUGUAAUUUUUUUUAUGUGUGUUUGAUAAUACUAAUCAUAAUUACACAGUUAUAUAAUUUAUAUUUUUAAGCAAGUAACAAAAAUUAAAAUAAAAUCCUUAUACGUAUUAUGUUAAUCUAAAAAAAUAGUAUACAAUUAUUAAUAAUCCAUAUAAAAUUUUAUUUUGUUCUAGUGCAUAUUUGUUAGGUUUUUCCUUCUUUAAUAUUUACCAUAUGCUCUUUAUUAUCAUCUGUUGAUCAUUGACUAAAUUCAUCAUCAUCUAGAUUUUAAAUCUACAUCAUUAAAAUUAUCAAGAUUUCUUUCUUCCAUGUACUCUACAAAGUAUCGAUCAUCUCAAUUCCACCUAAGUUAUGAAAUAUGCAAUGCUGUAGUUCAAUUCAACCUUUUUUUUAUGUUAUACUAAGGUCGUGUUAUUUAUAUGAGAAGUAUUUUUUAAAAACAACAAAUGUAUUCUCAACCACAUUUCAAAACCUUUAAUGUUUCAAAUUAAAAAUCCCGCGAGCUGUUUAUGGUGUUUGUGUCUGGCACUAUUCUCUCAAAUAGUACCAUACCCCACAAUAUGAUGAAUGAAAAUCUCUUCUAUUUGCAUAAUUAGCAUUGACCUUGUAAUAUUUAGACCCACAAUCUGAAUAAUUUAUAAUUUUAAUUAUAAAAAUUUAUAUAAAUUUAAUUUGGAGAAAGACUUAUGUUAUGUUAUAUUCUUUUUUUAUAAUAUGUAAAUUAAUUAGAAAUAAUAUAAAAAUCAUAAUAUAUAACCUUUAUAAAAAAUUUUUAUAAAUUGUGUAAAACUUUCAUAAUACUUGUCAUAAAUAAUAUUUUUUUUGUCAUAACUUUAAAAAGUUAUUUUUUUAUAAAUAAAAUAUGAUAGAAAAAAUUAUAUAUAUUUUUAUGAAUAAGUAUAUUAUUUUUAUAAUAUAUAGCUUGUAUAUGUAAAUGAGUUAUGUCCAAACUUGAUCAUAACUUUUUAUAAAUAAAUACAUUAUAAGUUAUGCCCAUACUUAGUCAUAGUUUUUUAUAAAUAAAUAUAUUACAACACUUUUAUAAUAUGCAAUUUAUUUUUAUAAUAAAUUUUUUCUUAGAAUUUUUUUAGAAUUUAAAUAAUAUAUUUUUUAUAACUUUAUAAAAUAUGUAAAUUAUUUUUAUAAUAUGAUUUUUUUAAAAUUUAUAAUAUAAGAAAAAUUUUAUCAUAACUACCUCAAACAUUCAUACGUAUUCACGCUUAUAAUAUAAUUUUUAUAAUUUGUAUAAGAAUUAUUUUUUAAAAUUAGAUUUGGGUGUCAUUGGGUUUCUCCGAUUAUACCCAGUUCGAUGGGAUCCACCAAUUAUAAUAGUUACCUAAACAUGCCACCCUUACGUAGUUACAAGCAAUUAUGCUCAAAUCCAAUUACUAGAUGACUUUUCAAACACUACUUUAAUAUUAAAUUUAAAUCUUUCAUUUAAUUAAAAAUGUCACUCGUCAUAAUUUGAUUUAUUCAAAGGGUUUUAACAAGAGUUAACGGUUGGUAACUAAAGUGGUAAAAAAUAAAUCUUUAGGUAUCUACUUUGACAAAAAAAACACUUUAUUACCUAAAUGGGAAAAGUUACAUAGUUUUAAGUACAUAUUUUUCAUAUAAGUCGUUUGAAUUUUAUCAACCAUCCAAAUCGACCAUUUGUGGUAGUAGUAUUAAUAAUUUUAAUAAUUUAUAUUAAAUUAUGACACAUUCACAAUAUGACUGCAAAAAAAAGUAUGUAUAAAACUAAUGAGGUUUUGGUUGAAAUUUUUAUUAUCUUGUGAUGUCGACUCAACUAAAAUCUUAAUAAUUAUAUUCAUAUUUUUAUGUAUUAUAUAUUAUGUUGAUAUUCUUUUCUUUUUCUUUUACUUUAUUUAAUACUUUCUCUGGCAUUUAAUUUUUGGCAUGAUGACUUUUUUGGCCAUACAACUUUACAAAGAAGUCAUUUUAGCUCUCUUAUUAAAUUUUCUCCUUUUUUAGCCAUUGAAACUUGAUUUUUUUUAUCAAAUCACCUCUAAAAUAGAUGGAAAAGGUAACAUUUAUUAACUUUGCUAAUGUGACAUAUACGUGGAUUGCCACGUAGAUGAUACAUCAACAUUUAACUUUUUAAAGAGUUUAUUGUAACAGCCCGUUUUUAGUGAAAUCGAAACAGUGGUUUUGGACCACAAAUUUGAGGUCAAAAAAAUUAUUUUAUGGUCUAUAGCAUGACAGCAUUAUCGUAUAAAAAUUUAGUUAAGAAAUUUUAUUGUUUACAUGCUCAAUUUGAUAAAAAAAGACUAGAUCGCGUAAAGUGCAAAAGUUGAGUUCUAAUAGCUAAAUGUAUUAAAUAGCUAUAGAACUUAAAAGUGGAGGUCCUUAUACGGUAAAUAGCCCAUUAAUAAGUUAGUGGAAGAUAUUGGUCUGACAUUAUUGAAAUUUGGUUGAAAUUAAAAGGUUAAUUAAGUAAAUUAGUUAAUAAUGAUAUAAUAACUAAAACAAAUUAAAAGUUAUCAUCUUUAAUUUGUUUCUUCACCUGAAACUUCAAAGAGAAGAACCCAUUUUUGGAGACCUAGGUUCGGCCAAGCUUUUAUUGUCUAAUUAGGUGCAAUUUUUGUUCUGUUUUUAAUAAUUUCUAUGUUUCUGAGAUUGUUGUAGCUUAAUCUAGCUAGCCCGGGACUAAUUUGCAAAACUGUUAAAGUAUUAGGGUUU